AGGUGAUUGUGGGGAGCUUCAUGUACGCGGGGUCGAAGAAGAGCAGGAAGGGUAAGGCCGGGCAGGAGUCUGCUGCAGCGGAGGAAGAACAGACCGGCGAUGCCAACGGGGGCAGGGGCGGAGACGGAGUCGGAGUUGGAGGCGAGGCGGAGGAAGAGGGCCCUUCGCCGCUGAUGCCGAUGCCCCGCGGAGAGGAGGAGCUGCCGUCGGACGCGAUGAUGAGCGGGUGGACGGGCAUGAUGCGGCAGAUGGAGUCGCGGUCCUGCGGCGGCAUCGACAUCAACUCGAUCCGGGAGUGAAGGAUGUAGACUGUUUAAUUAGUUUGGUACGGCGGAAGUUGAGCCUAGGCUAGCUUAGCUAGUGGAUGAUGGAUGGAUGAUUCUAGGGUUUGGUUGGGCUGGUUGUGUUCCUCUCCUGCGUGGGUUUAAAAAGAAGUCUAGUUAGUAUAAUGAAUGUUGUCGUCGACUAUGAUCAGUUUAACCGAUGAUGUUGGCGCCGGUCGGUCGGGCUGAUCUAUGAUGGAAAUAGUGGAUUCGGUUGUUGGUUGAUGGUGUGGUCUGGUAUGGUAUGGUAUGGUAUGAUGUAGUUAUAGGCAGCAGCAAUGAGCAACUUGUUUGUAGCUAGUCUCUUUCUUGGUUGCAGACAGACAGACAGACUUUGACAGUUUUAUUUUCCUUUCUCUUCUUGUGUUUGCAUCCCCUUUGCUUCUUUCUUUUCCUUCUUACUAGCAAAUAUGCUUGUGCGUUGCAACGGGAAAACUAGCAAACAUGCUUGUGCCGUUGUGCGUUGCAAUGGGAAAAUGCAGGGUGUGAAAUUAGGUUCAGAUACAUAAAUAUUCUAGUGGUGCGAUAUCAAUCAUGUCCAACAUGUACCUUCAUGAUCCUAGCUAGCUACUCCAUCCGUUCCGAUUUACUCGUCGUGGUUUUAGUUCAAAUUUGAACUAAAACCACGACGAGAAAGUAAAUCGGAACGGAGGGAGUAGAUAGCAUUGGCACCUUUUUUUUUUACCGUUAAAUAAUAUUUUUCUUUAUCCGCAAAAAAAUAUUCUUUUUCUUUCUCCACCCAUUAUCUCAACCUCAAUUCAAACCCGCCAUCGAAUAAAUGGAAGCAAUAGUCUUCGGUCACCUUACCUGGCACCUGGUGUCUUUGCCUAUUAGUUCUGAAUAUGCAAUAAAGAUUUUCCAUACUACAAGAAUUUAUCAUCAAGCUUGAUGCAUAAAGAAUUUGUCACCUAGAGUUAACAAAAUCUUUUGGUCUCUGACGCCAUGAACCAGAGGAGAGAGCCUUGUGCAUGCUGGUGACGGAAGCAAUGAGCGUCUUGCAGAACAUGCGGGGUGCUUUCACGUCAUCGCUGUCCUCUUUGUUGGGGCGGGGUGCUUCAAUAGUGUCAGUCCCAAAUUUCCUCGUUGUUCCCUUCUAGUCCUACACUCCCACUUCAAGCAUCCACCUUAUUGUAACCAUUAGCAGCACAUACUCCCUCUGUUCCGAUUUACUCUUCGUGGUUUUAGUUCAAAUUUGAACUAAAACGACGACGAGUAAAUCGGAACGGAGGGAGUACUUUUGAUGAUUCAACUGACAUUAACCGCAUCCGCCUUCCUGUAACCAUUACCAGCGCAUAUCUUUGAUGAUUCAACUGACAUUAACCAUGUCAAAUUCAGAUUAGUGCGCCAAUCCCUCCCUCCCCGCCCCAACCAUCAGCGACCCUUUUGUGUUUGGGCAAAUCACUGCCUCUUCUCUCCUAUCGGGUUUGGGAUUGUUUUCACAAGAGUAAUGCACUGAGGAUAAAUACCAUCAGGUAGGUAGUAUCCUUUGUUAUAGUGGUGACCAUUGAUCUCAAUAUUGAACUCUGGGCAGUUGCCUUCUGCAAGCCUUUCAAACACCAGAGAACGCUGAAGCACGUUGAUGUCAUUGUGAGAGCCGGCCGUGCCAAAAAAAGAGUACCAAAUUCAAAGAUCUUGUGAAGCACGGCCUCAAGUAUGACAUUGCAAACUUUCACAUGACCUCUAGACUGCCCCUGCCAAGCAGAUGUGCGGUUCUUCCACUUGCAGUGCUUACAAUCUGUGUGCGACCAAGCAUCCUUGGAAAGCCCCUAUCUGCAUUGAUCGCCAACAACCUGGUGCAACAGUUGGCUCUCUCAAGUACUUCCGGCCAAACACCACUAGCACAAUCUUGCAGAACCUGUACAUGGAUUUGUUGGGGAACGUACCAGAAAUUCAAAAUUUUCCUACGUGUCACCAAGAUCUAUCUAUGGAGAAACCAGCAACGAGGGGAAGGAGAGUGCAUCUACAUACCCUUGUAGAUCGCUAAGCGGAAGCGUUCAAGUGAACGGGGUUGAUGGAGUCGUACUCGUCGUGAUUCAAAUCACCGAUGAUCCUAGUGCCGAACGGACGGCACCUCCGCGUUCAACACACACGUACAGCCCGGUGACGUCUCCCAUGCCUUGAUCCAGCAAGGAGAGAGGGGAGAGGUUGAGGAGGACUCCAUCCAGCAGCAACACAACGGCGUGGUGGUGGUGGAGGAGCGUGGCAAUCCUGCAGGGCUUCGCCAAGCACCUGCGGGAGAGGAGGAGGUGUCACGGGAGGGAGGGAGGUGCCAGGGACUCAGGUGUGGCUUCCCCUCCCUCCCCUCCCUUUAUAUAGGUGCAAGAGAGGGGGGAGGGCGCAGCCUUGCCCCUUCCUCCAAGGAAGGGGUGCGGCCAAGAGGGGGGGAGGAGUCCAUCCUCCCCAAGGCACCUCGGAGGUGCCUUCCCCCCUUUGGACUCUUCCCUCCCCAAGUCUCCUUGGUGCAUGGGCCUCUUGGGGCUGGUGCCCUUGGCCCAUAUGGGCCAAGGCGCACCCCCUACAGCCCAUGUGGCCCCCCGGGGCAGGUGGACCCCCCCGGUGGACCCUCGGACCCCUUUCGGCACUUCCGGUACAAUACCGAUAAUGCGCGAAACUUUUCCGGCGACCAAAAUAAGACUUCAUAUAUAUAAAUCUUUAUCUCUGGACCAUUUCGGAACUCCUCAUGACGUCCGGGAUCUCAUCCGGGACUCCGAACAACAUUCGGUAACCACAUACAAACUUCCUUUAUAACCCUAGCGUCAUCGAACCUUAAGUGUGUAGACCCUACGGGUUCAGGAACCAUGCAGACAUGACCGAGACGUUCUCCGGUCAAUAACCAACAACGGGAUCUGGAUACCCAUGUUGACUCCCACAUGUUCCACGAUGAUCUCAUCGGAUGAACCACGAUGUCAAGGACUCAAUCGAUCCCGUAUACAAUUCCCUUUGUCUAGCGGCAUUGUACUUGCCCGAGAUUUGAUCGUCGAUAUCCCGAUACCUUGUUCAAUCUCGUUACCGGCAAGUCUCUUUACUCGUCCCGUAACACAUCAUCCCGUGAUCAACCCCUUGGUCACAUUGUGCACAUUAUGAUGAUGUCCUACCGAGUGGGCCCAGAGAUACCUCUCCGUCACACGGAGUGACAAAUCCCAGUCUCGAUUCGUGCCAACCCAACAGACACUUUCGGAGAUACCUGUAAUGCACCUUUAUAGCCACCCAGUUAUGUUGUGACGUUUGGUACACCCAAAGCAUUCCUACGGUAUCCGGGAGUUGCACAAUCUCAUGGUCUAAGGAAAUGAUACUUGACAUUUAGAAAAGCUUUAGCAUACGAACUACACGAUCUGUGCUAGGCUUAGGAUUGGGUCUUGUCCAUCACAUCAUUCUCCUAAUGAUGUGAUCCCGUUAUCAAUGACAUCCAAUGUCCAUGGUCAGGAAACCGUAACCAUCUAUUGAUUAACGAGCUAGUCAACUAGAGGCUUACUAGGGACAUGGUGUUGUCUAUGUACCCACACAUGUAUCUGAGUUUCCUAUCAAUACAAUUAUAGCAUGGAUAAUAAACGAUUAUCAUGAACAAGGAAAUAUAAUAAUAACUAAUUUAUUAUUGCCUCUAGGGCAUAUUUCCAACAGUAUCCCACUUGCACUAGAGUCAAUAAUCUAGUUCACAUCGCCAUGUGAUUAACACUCACAGGUCACAUCGCCAUGUGACCAACAUCCGAAGAGUUUACUAGUGUCAUUAAACUAGUUCACAUCAUCAUGUGAUUAAGACUCAAUGAAUUCUGGGGUUUGAUCAUGUUUUGCUUGUGAGAGAGGUUUUAGUCAACGGAUCUGAACCUUUCAGAUCCGUGUGUGCUUUGCAAAUUUCUAGGUCAUAUUAUAAAUGCUGCUUCCACGCUCCAUUUGAAACUAUUCCAAAUGGUUGCUCCACUAUACGUAUCCGGUUUUCUAUUCAGAGUCAUUCGGAUAGGUGUCAAAGCUUGCAUCGACGUAACCCUUUACGCCGAACUCUUUAUCACCUCCAUAAUCGUGAAACAUGUCCUUAUUUACUCCAAGGACAAUUUUGACCGCUGUCCAAUGAUCCCCAUUCCUGGAUCAUUCUUGUACCCCUUGACUGACUCAUGGCAAGGCACACUUCCGGUGCGGUACACAUCAUAGCAUACUAUAGAGCCUACGUCUAAAACAUAGGGGACGACCUUCGUCCUUUCUCUCUUUUCUGCCGUGGUCGAGCUUUAAGUAUUAACUUCAUACCUUACAUCUCAGGCAAGAACUCCUUCUUUGACUGAUCCAUCUUGAACACCUUCAAGAUCAUGUCAAGGUAUGUGCUCAUUUGAAAGUAUCAUUUAGCGUUUUCGAUCUGUUCUCAUAGAUCUUGAUGCUCAAUGUUUAAGCAGCUUAAUCCAGGUUUUCACUUGAAAAACACUUUUCAAAUAACCCUAUAUGCUUUACAGAAAAUUCUUCAUCAUUUCUGAUCAUCAAUAUGUCAACGACAUAUACUCAUCAGAAAUUCUAUAGUGCUCCCACUCACUUCUUUGGAAAUACAAGUUUCUCACAAACUUUGUAUAAACCCAAAAUCUUUGAUCAUUUUAUCAAAGCGUAUAUUCCAACUCCGAGAUUCUUACUCCAGUCCUUAGAAGGAUCGCUGGAGCCAGCAUACCUUUUAGCAUCCUUAGGAUCGACAAAAACUUUCUGAUUGUAUCACAUACAACCUUUCCUUACAAAACUGGUAAGGAAACUCAUUUUGACAUCCAUCUGCCAGAUUUCAUAAAUGUAGCUAAUGCUAACAUGAUUCCGACGGACUUAAGCAUCACUAGGAUGAGAAAAUCUCAUUGUGGUCAACUCCUUGAACUUGUGAAAAACUCUUCGCCACAAGUCGAGCUUCAUAGACGGUGACAUUACCGUCCACGUCCGUCUUCUUCUUAAAGAUCCAUUUAUCUCAAUGGCUUGCCGAUCAAUGGGCAAGUCCACCAAAGUCCAUGCUUUGUUCUGAUACAUGGAUCCUAUCUCGGAUUUCAUGGCUUCUAACCAUUUGUUGGAAUAUGGGCCCACCAUUGCUUCUUCAUAGCUCGCAGGUUCAUUGUUGUCUAGCAACAUGACAUUCAAGACAGGAUCACCGUACCAAUCCGAAGCAGUACGCGUCCUUGUCGUCCUACGAGGUUCGGUAGUGACUUGAUCUGAAGCUUCAUGAUCACUAUCAUAAGCUUCUACUUCAAUUGAUGUAGGUGCCACAGGAACUUCCUGUGCCCUGCUACACACUGGUUGAAGUGAUGGUUCAAUAACCUCAUCAAGUCUCCACCAUCCUCCCACUCAAUUCUUUCGAGAGAAACUUUUCCUCGAGAAAGGACCCGUUUCUAGAAACAAUCCCUAUUGCUUUCGGAUCUGAAUUAGGAGGUAUACCCAACCGUUUUGGGUGUCCUAUGAAGAUGCAUUUUAUCCGCUUUGGGUUCGAGCUUAUCAACCUGAAACUUUUUCACAUAAGCGUCGCAGCCCCAAACCUUUAAGAAACGACAACUUAGGUUUCUCCAAACCAUAGUUCAAAUGGUGUCGUCUCAACAGAAUUACGUGGUGCCCUAUUAAAGUGAGUGCGGUUGUCUCUAAUGCCUAACCCAUGAACGAUAGUGGUAAUUCGAUAAGAGACAUCAUGGUACGCACCAUAUCCAAUAGGGUGCAACUAUGAUGUUCGGACACACCAUCACACUAUGGUGUUCCAGGCGGUAUUAAUUGUGAAACAAUUUCUACGGUGUCUUAAUUGCGUGCCAAAGCUCGUAACUCAGAUACUCAUCUCUAUGAUCAUAUCAUAGACAUUUUAUCCUCUUGUCACAAUGAUCUUUAACUUCACUCUGAAAUUACUUGAACCAUUCAAUUAUUCAGACUUUGUGUUUCAUCAAGUAAAUAUACUCAACAUCUACUCGAAUCAUCUGUGAAGUCAGAACAUAAUGAUAUUCACUGCAUGCCUCAGCACUCAUUGGACUGCACACAUCAAAAUGUGUUACUUCCAACAGGUUGCUACCUUGUUCCAUCUUACUGAAACCGAGGCUUUUCAGUCAUCCUGCCCAUGUGGUAUGAUUUGCAUAUCUCAAGUGAUUCAAAAUCAAGUGAGUCCAAACGAUCCAUCUGCAUGGAGUUUCUUCAUGCAUAUACACCAAUAGACAUGGUUUGCAUGUCUCAAACUUUUCAAAAACGAGUGAGUCCAAAGAUCCAUCAACAUGGAGCUUCUUCAUGCGUUUUAUACCAAUAUGACUUACAUGGCAGUGCCACAAGUACGUGGUACUAUCAUUACUAUCUUAUAUCUUUUGGCAUGAAAAUGUGCAUCACUACGAUCGAGAUUCAAUAAACCAUUCCUUUUAGGUGCUAGACCAUUGAAGGUAUUAUUCAAAUUAACAGAGUAACUAUUAUUCUCCUUAAAUGAAUAACCGUAUUGCGACAGACAUAAUCCAAUCAUGUCUAUGCUCAACGCAAACACCAAAUAACAAUUAUUUAGGUUUAACACCAAUCUCGAUGGUAGAGGGAGCGUGCGAUGCUUGAUCAUAUCAACCUUGGAAACACUUCCAACACGUAUCGUCAGCUCACCUUUAGUUAGUCUCCGUUUAUUCCGUAGCUUUUGUUUCGAGUUACUAACACUUAGCAACCGAACCGGUAUCUAAUACCCUGGUGCUACUAGGAGUACUAGUAAAGUACACAUUAACAUAAUGUAUAUCCAAUAUACUUCUAUCGACCUUGCCAGCCUUCUUAUCUACCAAGUAUCUAGGGUAAUUCUGCUCCAGUGGCUGUUCCCCUUAUUACAGAAGCACUUAGUCUCGGGUUUGGGUUCAACCUUGGGUUUCUUCACUGGAGCAGCAACUGAUUUGCCGUUUCAUGAAGUGUCCCUUCUUGCCCUUGCCCUUCUUGAAACUAGUGGUUUCACCAACCAUCAACAAUUGAUGCUCCUUCUUGAUUUCUACUUUCGCGGUGUCAAACAUCGUGAAUACCUCAAGGAUCAUCAUAUCUAUCCCUGACAUGUUAUAGUUCAUCACGAAGCUCUAGCAGCUUGGUGGCAAUGACUUUUGGAGAAACAUCACUAUCUCAUCUGGAAGAUCAACUCCCACUCGAUUCAAGUGAUUGUUGCACUCAGACAAUCUGAGCACAAGCUCAAUGAUUGAGCUUUUUUCCCUUAGUUUGCAGGCUAAGAAAAUCGUCGGAGGUCUUAGACCUCUUGACGUGGGCACGAGCCUAAAAUCCCAAUUUCAGCCCUCGAAACAUCUCAUAUGUUCCGCGACGUUUCGAAAAACGUCUUUGGUGCCUCAACUCUAAACCGUUUAACUGAACUCUCACGUAGUUAUCAAAACGUGUAUGUCCGAUGUUCGUAACAUCCACAAACUACAUUUGGGGUUCAGCACACUGAGCGGUGCAUUAAGGACAUAAGCUUUCUACUGUCCGCAUAAUCGCUACUGUCAACUUUCAACUAUACUUUUCUAGGAACAUAUCUAAACAGUGGAACUAAAGCACGAGCUUACGACAUAAUUUGCAAAGAUCUUUUGACUAUGUUCAGGAUAAUUAAGUUCAUCUCAUGAACUCCCACUCAGAUAGACAUCCCUCUAGUCAUCUAAGUGAUUACAUGAUCCGAGUCAACUAGGCCGUGUCCGAUCAUCACGUGAGACGGACUAGUCAUCAUCGGUGAACAUCUUCAUGUUGAUCGUAUCUACUAUAUGACUCAUGCUCGACCUUUCGGUCUCUUGUGUUCCGAGGCCAUGUCUGUACAUGCUAGGCUCGUCAAGCUAACCUAAGUGUUCUGCGUGUGUAAAUCUGGCUUACACCCGUUGUAUGUGAACGUAAGAAUCUAUCACACCGAUCAUCACGUGGUGCUUCGAAACGACGAACUUUCGCAACGGUGCACAGUUAGGGGGAACACCUUCUUGAAAUUUUAAUGAGGGAUCAUCUUAUUUACUACCGUCGUUCUAAGCAAAUAAGAUGCAUAAACAUGAUAAACAUCACAUGCAAUCAAAUAUUGACAUGAUAUGGCCAAUAUCAUUUUGCUCCUUUUGAUCUCCAUCUUCGGGGCUCCAUGAUCAUCAUCGUCACCGGCAUGACACCAUGAUCUCCAUCAUCAUGAUCUCCAUCAUCGUGUCUUCAUGAAGUUGUCUCGCCAACUAUUACUUCUACUACUAUGGCUAUCGGUUAGCAAUAAAGUAAAGUAAUUACAUGGCGUUGUAUAAUGACACGCAGGUCAUACAAUAAAUAAAGACAACUCCUAUGGCUCCUGCCGGUUGUCAUACUCAUCGACAUGCAAGUCGUGAUUCCUAUUACAAGAACAUGAUCAAUCUCAUACAUCACAUAUCAUUCAUCACAUUCUUCUUGGCCAUAUCACAUCACAUAGCAUACCCUGCAAAAACAAGUUAGACGUCCUCUAAUUGUUGUUUGCAUGUUUUACGUGGCUGCUAUGGGUUUCUAGCAAGAACGUUUCUUACCUACGCAAAACCACAACGUGAUAUGUCAAUUGCUAUUUACCCUUCAUAAGGACCCUUUUCAUCGCAUCCGAUCCAACUAAAGUGGGAGAGACUGGCACCCGCUAGCCACCUUAUGCACCAAGUGCAUGUCAGUCGGUGGAACCUGUCUCACGUAAGAGUACGUGUAAGGUCGGUCCGGGCCGCUUCAUCCCACAAUACCGUCGAAACAAGAUUGGGCUAGUAACGGCAAGCAUAUUGAACAAAAUCAACGCCCACAACUACUUUGUGUUCUACUCGUGCAAAGAAUCUACGCAAUAGACCUAGCUCAUGAUGCCACUGUUGGGGAAUGUAGCAGAAAUUCAAAAUUUUCCUAUGUGUCACCAAGAUCUAUCGAGAAACCAGCAACGAGGGGAAGGAGAGUGCAUCUACAUACCCUUGUAGAUCGCUAAGCGGAAGCGUUCAAGUGAAUGGGGUUGAUGGAGUCGUACUCGUCGUGAUUCAAAUCACCGAUGAUCCUAGUGCCGAACGGACGGCACCUCCACGUUCAACACACGUACAACCCGGUGACGUCUCCCAUGCCUUGAUCCAGCAAGGAGAGAGGGGGAGGUUGAGGAGGACUCCAUCCAGCAGCAGCACAACGGCGUGGUGGUGGUGGAGGAGCGUGGCAAUCCUGCAGGGCUUCGCCAAGCACCCGCGGGAGAGGAGGAGGUGUCACGGGAGGGAGGGAGGUGCCAGGGACUCAGGUGUGGCUUCCCCUCCCUCCCCUCCCUUUAUAUAGGUGCAAGAGAGGGGGGGAGGGCGCAGCCUUGCCCCUUCCUCCAAGGAAGGGGUGCGGCCAAGAGGGGGGGAGGAGUCCAUCCUCCCCAAGGCACCUCGGAGGUGCCUUCCCCCCUUUGGACUCUUCCCUCCCCAAGUCUCCUUGGCGCAUGGGCCUCUUGGGGCUGGUGCCCUUGGCCCAUAUGGGCCAAGGCGCACCCCCUACAGCCCAUGUGGCCCCCCGGGGAGGUGGACCCCCCCGGUGGACCCCCGGACCCCUUUCGGCACUCCCGAUACAAUACCGAUAAUGCGCGAAACUUUUCCGGCGACCAAAAUAAGACUUCCUAUAUAUAAAUCUUUAUCUCCGGACCAUUCCGGAACUCCUCGUGACGUUCAGGAUCUCAUCCGGGACUCCGAACAACAUUCGGUAACCACAUACAAACUUCCUUUAUAACCCUAGCGUCAUCUAACCUUAAGUGUGUAGACCCUACGGGUUCGGGAACCAUGCAGACAUGACCGAGACGUUCUCCGGUCAAUAACCAACAACGGGAUCUGGAUACCCAUGUUGACUCCCACAUGUUCCACGAUGAUCUCAUCGGAUGAACCACGAUGUCAAGGACUCAAUCGAUCCCGUAUACAAUUCCCUUUGUCUAGCGGCAUUGUACUUGCCCGAGAUUCGAUCGUCGGUAUCCCGAUACCUUGUUCAAUCUCGUUACCGGCAAGUCUCUUUACUCGUCCCGUAACACAUCAUCCCGUGAUCAACCCCUUGGUCACAUUGUGCACAUUAUGAUGAUGUCCUACCGAGUGGGCCCAGAGAUACCUCUCCAUCACACGGAGUGACAAAUCCCAGUCUCGAUUCGUGCCAACCCAACAGACACUUUCGGAGAUACCUGUAAUGCACCUUUAUAGCCACCCUGUUACGUUGUGACGUUUGGUACACCCAAAGCAUUCCUACGGUAUCCGGGAGUUGCACAAUCUCAUGGUCUAAGGAAAUGAUACUUGACAUUUAGAAAAGCUUUAGCAUACGAACUACACGAUCUGUGCUAGGCUUAGGAUUGGGUCUUGUCCAUCACAUCAUUCUCCUAAUGAUGUGAUCCCGUUAUCAAUGACAUCCAAUGUCCAUGGUCAGGAAACCGUAACCAUAUAGUGAUUAACGAGCUAGUCAACUAGAGGCUUACUAGGGACAUGGUGUUGUCUAUGUACCCACACAUGUAUCUGAGUUUCCUAUCAAUACAAUUAUAGCAUGGAUAAUAAACGAUUAUCAUGAACAAGGAAAUAUAAUAAUAACUAAUUUAUUAUUGCCUCUAGGGCAUAUUUCCAACAGGAUUCUAGGCACGUGGCCUCACUCAUGCGGACAUACCCAUCAAUCAGAUCACAUGGUAUUUUGUAUGCAAGCACUGAAUAGCUGCAGUGCAUUUCUGCUAAGAGGAGAAGCCAACCUCUCCCAAGGGCGUCCUCCUUGCAUAUGAAAUAAUCAUCGUAUGCCACAACCCUUCGCGAAUACGAGAACACAUGUCUAGCCAUCUGGAAGCGGCGCCGAAAUAGCUUGUGUUUGAAGAGUGGGGAAGAGGACUUGAAGUAGUCUUCCGCUCUCUCUAUUGUGAUUCAACGCCGGAGCAUGGCCCGAGAUUGAGCCCCUAAAUGUGGUCAUUGGCGACCAAAGUAGCAACCACAAACUCCUCAUCGUCCAACGAUGAAUCAUCCGAAUCGCAAAUGAAGUUGUCGAAAAAGUAUUCGUCUCCACUAUCCAUUUGCACCUUACGGGCGAAACGUCGAACACCUCACGGGCGUGGUUGAAGAAGCCGGCCGGCGAAGAGCCCAGCGCCUCUUCCAGACCAGGCAGCAGGCCUGUCGGCGUGGUGGCGGCCGUGGAGGAGAACGCCGAUUGAGGAAGCCAGGAUUGGAGCGUUGCCAACGGUGCCAGAGGUGAGGGUGGUGGCAUGGUCGUGGGGGGUGGGGGUGGGGGUGCUACGACGGUGGUGAAACUAGGCUUGACUUGCCGGCAAGGUGUGACGCCCGGGUAUUUAGCUACGGUAAUUCCCUGCUAAUGAUGCCACGUUACUUCGGUUACUUUCGCUAAUCUCGUGUUAGUUCGGAACCGAUUCAAAUUCAUAUUCAAAAUCAAGCAAACGAUAAACAUUUUCAAAGGUCAAAACUAAAAUGUUCUUAAUGUGACAAAUAAUUCAUAAGUAAUGUUGGUGGAGAAACCACAUUUUUAUAAAAGGUCUAAAUGCAUUUAAUUAAUUAAAACAGUAGGUAAGACAAAUAAAUAAAUGCCUUGGUAUUUUAUAAAACACUAAACUAUAUUAUUGGGGGGUUAAACCUUUUUGUGGCAGAGGUAUAAUUAGUGUUACUAUUUAAGGUACAACUUUUAUGUUUUAUAAAACUAGAAUAAAAUAAAACAGUAAAAGAAAAAGAACAAAACAGAAAAAAAGACAAAAGAAAUUAAAGNNNNNNNNNNNNNNNNNNNNNNNNNNNNNNNNNNNNNNNNNNNNNNNNNNNNNNNNNNNNNNNNNNNNNNNNNNNNNNNNNNNNNNNNNNNNNNNNNNNNNNNNNNNNNNNNNNNNNNNNNNNNNNNNNNNNNNNNNNNNNNNNNNNNNNNNNNNNNNNNNNNNNNNNNNNNNNNNNNNNNNNNNNNNNNNNNNNNNNNNNNNNNNNNNNNNNNNNNNNNNNNNNNNNNNNNNNNNNNNNNNNNNNNNNNNNNNNNNNNNNNNNNNNNNNNNNNNNNNNNNNNNNNNNNNNNNNNNNNNNNNNNNNNNNNNNNNNNNNNNNNNNNNNNNNNNNNNNNNNNNNNNNNNNNNNNNNNNNNNNNNNNGGGCGCCCCAGCUCGACCCCCUCCUCCCGCACGGCCGCGCCCGACGCAAACCGUUACUCCGCUACGGCUAUCGCAGCCGGCGCCGGCGCUGCCACUCAGGGCCGCCUCUGCGCCCCUCCUCUACCUCGCGCGGCGCCCGCCUGACGCAGCGGCCUCGCCUCGUCCCCGACCCGCCGACGCCGAAGGCCACCCCACGCCACGGCCUCCUCCUCGCGGCUCCCUGCCCUGCUCCGACCACCUCGCAUCGCCGCCUCCUACUUCGACCUGCACGGUCGCCGACCCCGCCUCUGUCGCCCGCUCCUACCGCCCGCGCCUCCCAUGGCUGCACCAGGCCGUGGCCGGCGCCUGCCGGCGCACGUGGGCGCUCUCCUGAAGCUCGCCAUUGCUCCUCCGUGUGCCCCGCCGAUGUUGGUCGCCCUGCCGGACCGCUUCGUCAUCGACGGCCCGCACCUCGUCGACCACCUCUCCGACUCCGGCCACCCCGAGCCUCCAUCGAGCAUGCUGCCCGAAGCCUACGGCCCCAGUGAGCGCCUCCCCCCUUCUCCUCUCGGUCUCCCUCGUGCAGCUCACGCGCCUCAUCGCGCCCGUCGCGUCAACGUCGGGCUCGCUACCUUGUGUAAUGCUGUAGCUGCUGCCGACCGCGGCCUCCCCUGUGUGCGCCCGGCCAUGGACAUAACCCCCCUACUGCCGCGCCGUCGUUCCCCUGCUCUCACUCCACCACGCAUCGCCCUGCCGCCGCAACCUCGCGCCGGCCUACGCCCAUCACCGGUGCCCCCCCCCACACCGUUCGCCUGGGCCAGUGCCCAAUCGGGUUGGGGCUUCACCCGCAGCGCCCGAACCCACUUUGGCCAUGGGCCAAUUGUUGGGGAACGUAGUAAUUUCAAAAAUUUUCCUACGCACACGCAAGAUCAUGGUGAUGGUAUAGCAACGAGAGGGGAGAGUGUUGUCCACGUACCCUCAUAGACCGUAAGCGGAAGCGUUAGCACAACGCGGUUGAUGUAGUCGUACGUCUUCACGAUCCGACCGAUCCAAGCACCGAACGUACGGCACCUCCGAGUUCAGCACACGUUCAACUCGAUGACGAUCCUCGGACUCCGAUCCAGCAAAGUGUCGGGGAUGAGUUCCGUCAGCACGACGGCGUGGUGAUGAUGUUGAUGUUCUACCGUCGCAGGGCUUCGCCUAAGCACCGCUACAAUAUUAUCGAGGUGGACUAUGGUGGUGGGGGGCACCGCACACGGCUAAGGAACGAUCUUGAAGAUCAACUUGUGUGUCCAUGGGGUGCCCCCUGCCCCCGUAUAUAAAGGAGUGGAGGAGGGGAGGGCCGGCCCUCUCUAUGGCGCGCCCUAGGGGAGUCCUACUCCCACCGGGAGUAGGAUUUCCCCUUUCCUAGUCCAACUAGGAACCCUUCCAUGUAGUAGGAGUAGGAGAGAAGGAAAGGGAAGAGAGGAGGAGAAGGAAGGAAGGGUGCGCCCCCCCUCCCUAGUCCAAUUCGGACUAGUCCAAGGGGAGGGGUGCGGCCACUCUUUUGGCCCUUUCUCUCCUUUCCCGUAUGGCCCAAAGAGGCUCAAUACGAAUUCCCGUAACUCUCCGGUACUCCCAAAAAUACCCGAAUCACUCGGAACCUUUCCGAACUCCGAAUAUAGUCGUCCAAUAUAUCGAUCUUUACGUCUCGACCAUUUCGAGACUCCUCGUCAUGUCCCCGAUCUCAUCCGGGACUCCAAACUCCUUCGGUACAUCAAAACUCAUAAACUCAUAAUAAAACUGUCAUCGUAACGUUAAGCGUGCGGACCCUACGGGUUCGAGAACUAUGUAGACAUGACCUAGAACUAUUCUCGGUCAAUAACCAAUAGCGAAACCUGGAUGCCCAUAUUGGCUCCUACAUAUUCUACGAAGAUCUUUAUCGGUCAAACCGCAUAACAACAUACGUUGUUCCCUUUGUCAUCGGUAUGUUACUUGCCCGAGAUUCGAUCGUCGGUAUCCAAUACCUAGUUCAAUCUCAUUACCGGCAAGUCUCUUUACUCGUUCCGUAAUGCAUCAUUCCGUAACUAACUCAUUAGCUACAUUGCUUGCAAGGCUUAUAGUGAUGUGCAUUACCGAGAGGGCCCAGAGAUACCUCUCCGACAAUCGGAGUGACAAAACCUAAUCUCGAAAUACGCCAACCCAACAUGUACCUUUGGAGACACCUGUAGUACUCCUUUAUAAUCACCCAGUUACAUUGUGACGGUUGGUAGCACCCAAAGUGUUCCUCCGGUAAACGGGAGUUGCAUAAUCUCAUAGUUACAGGAACAUGUAUAAGUCAUGAAGAAAGCAAUAGCAACAUACUAAACGAUCAAGUGCCAGGCUAACGGAAUGGGUCAUGUCAAUCACAUCAUUCUUCUAAUGAUGUGAUACCGUUAAUCAAAUGACAACACAUGUCUAUGGUUAGGAAACAUAACCAUCUUUGAUUAAUGAGCUAGUCAAGUAGAGGCAUACUAGUGACGUUAUGUUGGUCUAUGUAUUCACACAUGUAUUACGUUUCCGGUUAAUACAAUUCUAGCAUGAAUAAUAAACAUUUAUCAUGAUAUAAGGAAAUAAAUAAUAACUUUAUUAUUGCCUCUAGGGCAUAUUUCCUUGAGUCUCCCACUUGCACUAGAGUCAAUAAUCUAGUUCACAUCACCAUGUGAUUUAACACCAAUCCAUACCCAUAGUUCACAUCGUCAUGUGACCAACACCCGAAGGGUUUACUAGAGUCAAUAAUCUAGCUCACAUCGAUAUGUGAUUAACACCCAAAGAGUACUAAGGUAUGAUCAUGUUUUGCUCGUGAGAGAAGCUUAGUCAACGGGUCUGUCACAUUCAGAGCCGUAUGUAUUUUGCAAAUAUUCUAUGUCUACAAUGCUCUGCACGGAGCUACUCUAGAUAAUUGCUCCCACUUUCAAUAUGCAUCCAGAUAGAGAUUUAGAGUCAUCUGGAUUAGUGUAAAAAGCUUGCAUCGAUGUAACUCUUUACGACGGGCUCUUUUAUCACCUCCAUAAUCGAGAAAUAUUUCCUUAGUCCUCACUAAGGAUGUUCUUGACCAAUGUCCAGUGAUCUACUCCUAGAUCACUAUUGUACUCCCUUGCCAAAUUCAGAGCAAGGUAUACAAUAGGUCUGGUACAUAGCAUAGCAUACUUUAUAGAACCUAUGGCUGAGGCAUAGGGAAUGACUUUCAUUCUCUUUCUAUCUUCUGCCGUGGUCGGGCUUUGAGUCUUACUCAAUUUCACACCUUGUAACACAGGCAAGAACUCUUUCUUUGACUGUUCCAUUUUGAACCUUUUCAAAAUCUUGACAAGGUAUGUACUUAUUGAAAAACUUAUCAAGCAUCUUGAUCUAUCUCAAUAGAUCUUGAUGCUCAAUAUGUAAGCAGCUUCACCGAGGUCCUUCUUUGAAAAACUCCUUUCAAAUACUCCUUUAUGCUUUGCAGAAUAAUUCUACAUUAUUUCCGAUCAACAAUAUGUCAUUCACAUAUACUUAUCAGAAAUACUGUAGUGCUCCCACUCACUUUCUUGUAAAUACAGUCUUCUCCAAAAGUCUGUAUAAAACCAUAUGCUUUGAUCAACUCAUCAAAGCGUAUAUUCCAACUCCGAGAUGCUUGCACCAGUCCAUUGAUGGAUCGCUGGAGCUUGCACAUUUUGUUAGCUCCUUUAGGAUUGACAAAAAUUUCUGGUUGCAUCAUAUACAACUCUUCUUUAAUAAAUCCAUUAAAGAAUGUAGUUUUGACAUCCAUUUGCCAGAUUUCAUAAAAUGUGGCAAUUGCUAACAUGAUUCGGACAGACUUAAGAAUCGUCACAGUUGAGAAAAUCUCAUUGUAGUCAACACCUUGAACUUGUCGAAAACCUUUUUGUGACAAGUCGAGCUUUGUAGAUAGUAACACUACUAUCAGUGUCCGUCUUCCUCUUGAAGAUCCAUUUAUUUAACAUGGCUUGCUGAUCAUCGAGCAAGUCAAUCAAAGUCCAUACUUUGUUCUCAUACAUGGAUCCUAUCUCAGAUUUCAUGGCCUCAAGCCAUUUCGCGGAAUCUGGGCUCAUCAUCGCUUCCUCAUAGUCCGUAGGUUCAUCAUGUUCUAGUAACAUGACUUCCAGAACACGAUUACCGUACCACUCUGGUGCGGAUUUUACUCUGGAAGACCUACGAGGUUUGGUAGCAACUUGAUCUGAAGUUUCAUGAUCAUCAUCAUUAACUUCCUCACUAAUUGGUGUAGGAAUCACUGGAACUGAUUUCUGUGAUGAACUACUUUCCAAUAAGGGAGAAGGUACAAUUACCUUAUCAAGUUCUACUUUCCUCCCACUCACUUCUUUCGAGAGAAACUUCUUCUCUAGAAAGGAUCCAUCUUAGCAACGAAAAACUUGCCUUCGGAUCUGUGAUAGAAGGUGUACCCAAUAGUUACCUUUUGGUAUUCUAUGAAGACGCACUUCUCCAAUUUGGGUUCGAGCUUAUCAGGUGAAAACUCUUUCACAUAAGCAUUACAACUCCAAACUUUUAAGAAACGACAGCUUAGGUUUACUGUUAAACCAUAGUUCAUAUGGUGUCGUCUCAACGGAUUUAGAUGGUGCCCUAUUAAACGUGAAUGCAGCUGUCUCUAAUGCAUAACCCCAAAACGAUAUUGGUAAAGCGGUAAGAGAGAUCAUUGAUCGCACCAUAUCAAAAUAAAGUACGGUUACGACGUUCGGACACACCAUAACGUUGUGGUGUUCCAGGUGGCGUGAGCUAUGAAACUAUUCCACUUUGUUUUAAUUGAAGACCAAACUCGUAACUCAAAUAUUCAUCUCCAUGAUCAGAUCGCAGAAACUUUAUUUUCUUGUUACGAUGAUUUUCUACUUCACUCUGAAAUUCUUUGAACUUUUCAACUAUUUCAGACUUAUGUUUCAUCAAGAAGAUAUACCCAUAUCUGCUCAAAUCAUCUUGUGAAGGUCAGAAAAUAACGAUACUUGCCACGAGCAUCAACACUCAUUGGAUCGCAUACAUCGGUAUGUAUUAUUUCCAAUAAGUCAGUAUCUCAUUCCAUUGUUCUGAACAACGGAGUUUCAGUCAUCUUGCCCAAAAGGCACGGUUCGCAAGCAUCAAAUGAUUCAUAAUCAAGUGAUUCCAAAAACCCAUCAGCAUGGAGUUUCUUCAUGCGCUUUACACCGAUAUGACCCAAACGGCAGUGCCACAAAUAAGUUGCACUAUCAUUAUUAACUUUGCAUCUUUUAGCAUCAAUAUUAUGAAUAUGUGUAUCACUACGAUCGAGAUCCAACAAACUAUUUUCAUUGGGUGUAUAACCAUUGAAGGUCUUAUUCAUGUAAACAGAAUAACAAUUAUUCUUUAACUUCAAAUGAAUAACCGUAUCGCAAUAAACAUGAUCAAAUCAUAUUCAUGCUCAACGCAAAUGCUAAAUAACAUUUAUUUAGGUUUAACACUAAUCCCGAAAGUAUAGGGAGUGUGUGAUGAUGAUCAUAUCAAUCUUGGAACUACUUCCAACACUCAUCGUCACUUUCCCUCAACUAGUAUAUGUUUAUUAUGUUACUCCUGUUUCGAGUUACUAAUCUUAGCAAUCGAACAAGUAUCAAAUACUCAGGGGCUACUAUAAACACUAGUAAGGCACACAUCAAUAAUCUGUAUAUCAAAUAUACCCUUGUUCACUUUGCCAUCCUUUUUUAUCUACCAAAUAUUCAGGGCAUUUCCGCUUCCAGUGACCAUUUCCUUUGCAGUGUAAGCACUCAGUUUCAGGCUUUGGUUCAGCUUUGGGCUUCUUCGUGGGAGUGACAACUUGCUUGUCAUUCUACUUGAAGUUCCCUUUCUUUCCCUUUGCCCUUUUCUAGAAACUAGUAGUCUUGUUAACCAUCAACACUUGAUGUUUUUCUUGAUUUCUACCUUCGUUGAUUUCAGCAUCACGAAGAGCUUGGGAAUCACUUUCGUCAUCCCUUGCAUAUUAUAGUUCAUCACGAAGUUCUACUAACUUGGUGAUGGUGACUAGAGAAUUCUGUCAAUCACUAUUUUAUCUGGAAGAUUAACUCCCACUUGAUUCAAGCGAUUGUAGUACCCAGACAAUCUGAGCACAUGCUCACUAGUUGAGCGAUUCUCCUCCAUCUUUUAGCUAUAGAACUUGUUGGAGACUUCACAUCUCUCAACUCGGGUAUUUGCUUGAAAUAUUAACUUCAAUUCCUGGAACAUCUUAUAUGGUCCAUGAUGUUCAAAACAUCUUUGAAGUCCCGAUUCUAAGCCGUAAAGCAUGGUCCACUAAACUAUCAAGUAGUCAUCAUAUUGAGCUAGCCAAACGUUCAUAAUGUCGGCAUCUGCUGCUGCAAUAGGUCUGUCACCUAGCGGUGCAUUAAGGACAUAAUUCUUCUAUGCAGCAAUGAGGAUAAACCUCAGAUCACGGAUCCAAUCCGCAUCAUUGCUACUAACAUCUUUCAACACAAUUUUCUCUAGGAACAUAUCAAAAUAAACAUAUGAAAACAACAAACAUAGGGAAGCAACAACGCGAGCUAUUGAUCUACAACAUAAUUUGCAAAAAUACUACCAGGACUAAGUUCAUGAUAAAUUUAAGUUCAAUUAAUCAUAUUACUUAAGAACUCCCACUUAGAUAGACAUCUCUCUAGUCAUCUAAGUGAUCACGUGAUCCAAAUCAACUAAACCAUAACUGAUCAUCACGUGAGAUGGAGUAGUUUCCAAUGGUGAACAUCACUAUGUUGAUCAUAUCUACUAUAUGAUUCACGCUCGACCUUUCGGUCUCCGUGUUCCGAGGCCAUAUCUGCAUAUGCUAGGCUCGUCAAGUUUAACCCGAGUAUUCCGCGUGUGCAAAACUGGCUUGCACCCGUUGUAGAUGGACGUAGAGCUUAUCACACCCGAUCAUCACGUGGUGUCUGGGCACGACGAAUUUUGGCAACGGUGCAUACUCAGGGAGAACACUUCUUGAUAAUUAGUGAGAGAUCAUCUUAAAAUGCUACCGUCAAUCAAAGCAAGAUAAGAUGCAUAAAGGAUAAACAUCACAUGCAAUCAAUAUAAGUGAUAUGAUAUGGCCAUCAUCAUCUUGCGCUUGUGAUCUCCAUCUCCGAAGCACCGUCAUGAUCACCAUCGUCACCGGCGCGACACCUUGAUCUCCAUCGUAGCAUCGUUGUCGUCUUGCCAACUAUUGCUUCUACGACUAUCGCUACCGCUUAGUGAUAAAGUAAGGCAAUUACAUGGCGUUUGCAUUUCAUACAAUAAAGCGACAACCAUAUGGCUCCUGCCAGUUGCCGAUAACUCGGUUACAAAACAUGAUCAUCUCAUACAAUAUAAUUUAGCAUCAUGCCUUGACCAUAUCACAUCACAACAUGCCCUGCAAAAACAAGUUAGACGUCCUCUACUUUGUUGUUGCAAGUUUUAUGUGGCUGCUACGGGCUGAGCAAGAACCGUUCUUACCUACGCAUCAAAACCACAACGAUAGUUUGUCAAGUUGGUGCUGUUUUAACCUUCGCAAGGACCAGGCGUAGCCACACUCGGUUCAACUAAAGUGAGAGAGACAGACACCCUCCAGUCACCUUUAAGCAACGAGUGCUCGCAACGGUGAAACCAGUCUCGCGUAAGCGUACGCGUAAUGUCGGUCCGGGCCGCUUCAUCUCACAAUACCGCCGAACCAAAGUAUGACAUGCUGGUAAGCAGUAUGACUUGUAUCGCCCACAACUCACUUGUGUUCUACUCGUGCAUAUAACAUCAACACAUAAAACCAGGCUCGGAUGCCACUGUUGGGGAACGUAGUAAUUUCAAAAAAUUUCCUACGCACACGCAAGAUCAUGGUGAUGGUAUAGCAACGAGAGGGGAGAGUGUUGUCCAUGUACCCUCGUAGACCGUAAGUGGAAGCGUUAGCACAACGUGGUUGAUGUAGUCGUACGUCUUCACGAUCCGACCGAUCCAAGCACCGAACGUACGGCACCUCCGAGUUCAGCACACGUUCAGCUCGAUGACGAUCCCCGGACUCCGAUCCAGCAAAGUGUCGGGGAUGAGUUCCGUCAGCACGACGGCGUGGUGACGAUGUUGAUGUUCUACCGUCGCAGGGCUUCGCCUAAGCACCGCUACAAUAUUAUCGAGGUGGACUAUGGUGGAGGGGGGCACCGCACACGGCUAAGGAACGAUCUUGAAGAUCAACUUGUGUGUCCAUGGGGUGCCCCCUGCCCCCGUAUAUAAAGGAGUGGAGGAGAGGGCCGGCCCUCUCUAUGGCGCGCCCUAGGGGAGUCCUACUCCCACCGGGAGUAGGAUUUCCCCUUUCCUAGUCCAACUAGGAACCCUUCCAUGUAGUAGGAGUAGGAGAGAAGGAAAGGGAAGAGAGAAGGAGAAGGAAGGAAUGGUGCGCCCCCCCUCCCUAGUCCAAUUCGGACUAGUCCAAGGGGAGGGGUGCGGCCACUCUUUUGGCCCUUUCUCUCCUUUCCCGUAUGGCCCAAAGAGGCCCAAUACGAAUUCCCAUAACUCUCCGGUACUCCCAAAAAUACCCGAAUCACUCGGAACCUUUCCGAACUCCGAAUAUAGUCGUCCAAUAUAUUUAUCUUUACGUCUCGACCAUUUCGAGACUCCUCGUCAUGUCCCCGAUCUUAUCCGGGACUCCGAACUCCUUCGGUACAUCAAAACUCAUAAACUCAUAAUAAAACUGUCAUCGUAACGUUAAGCGUGCGGACCCUACGGGUUCGAGAACUAUGUAGACAUGACCUAGAACUAUUCUCGGUCAAUAACCAAUAGCGGAACCUGGAUGCCCAUAUUGGCUCCUACAUAUUCUACGAAGAUCUUUAUCGGUCAAACCGCAUAACAACAUACGUUGUUCCCUUUGUCAUCGGUAUGUUACUUGCCCGAGAUUCGAUCGUCGGUAUCCAAUACCUAGUUCAAUCUCGUUACCGGCAAGUCUCUUUACUCAUUCCGUAAUGCAUAAUUCCGUAACUAACUCAUUAGCUACAUUGCUUGCAAGGCUUAUAGUGAUGUGCAUUACCGAGAGGGCCCAGAGAUACCUCUCCGACAAUCGGAGUGACAAAACCUAAUCUCGAAAUACGCCAACCCAACAUGUACCUUUGGGGACACCUGUAGUACUCCUUUAUAAUCACCCAGUUACGUUGUGAUGUUUGGUAGCACCCAAAGUGUUCCUCCGGUAAACGGGAGUUGCAUAAUCUCAUAGUUACAGGAACAUGUAUAAGUCAUGAAGAAAGCAAUAACAACAUACUAAACGAUCAAGUGCUAGGCUAACGGAAUGGGUCAUGUCAAUCACAUCAUUCUUCUAAUGAUGUGAUCCCGUUAAUCAACUGACAACACAUGUCUAUGGUUAGGAAACAUAACCAUCUUUGAUUAAUGAGCUAGUCAAGUAGAGGCAUACUAGUGACGUUAUGUUGGUCUAUGUAUUCACACAUGUAUUACGUUUCCGGUUAAUACAAUUCUAGCAUGAAUAAUAAACAUUUAUUAUGAUAUAAGGAAAUAAAUAAUAACUUUAUUAUUGCCUCUAGGGCAUAUUUCCUUCACGAAUGGCACAAGGGGCCCACGCCCCUGGAACAAUUUUUUUUUAAAAAAGAAGUUAAUAAAAUAAAUAAAUAAGUAAUUAUUAACUAAAUAAUGAGUUGAUUAAUUAAGUUAAUUAGUUCUGUUUAGCUAAGCUAAUCAAAAUUAGUUAACCUAAUCAAUGAAAUUAAGCUAAUUAACAUGUUUAAUCUAAGUCAAUGACAUAUGGGACCCACGCGUCAGCUUGACCCAGUCAACACCUCUGUUGACUGGUGAUGUCAUGCUGACGUCAUGCUGAUGCAGUAAUACCAUUUUCGAAUUAAAUUAAUAAUAAUAAAUUAUAAAUUGAAUAAAGUCUCUGAAAAUUAAUAAUAAAUAAACCGUAGUUCGGAUGGAAAAACUUUGUACAUGAAAGUUGCUCAGAACGACGAGACGAACCCGGAAACGCAGCCCGUUCCUCCGCCACACAUCCCUAACCUAUCGAACUCGCAACUUUCCCCCUCCGGCUCCUCUGCCCGAAAACACGAAACACCGGUGAUACUUUCCCGGAUGUUUCCCCCCCUUCACCGACAUUACCUCAUACUGCGUUAGGGCACGCCUAGCAUCACGCUUUGCUUUGUCAUGCAUCGUCAUGCAUAUGUUUGCAUUGUAUUCAUUGUUUCUUCCCCCUCUGCUUCCGCUAGACACCGAGACCGACGCUGCUGCUGCCCAGUUCGACUACGGAGUUGACGACCCCUCUCUCUUGCCAGAGCAACCAGGCAAGCCCCCCCUUUGAUCACCAGAUAUCGCCUAUUCUUCUCUAUACUGCUUGCAUUAGAGUAGUGUAGCAUGUUACCGCUUUCCGUUAAUCCUAUUCUGCUGCAUAGCUUGUCCUUGCUACUACUGUUGUUACCUUUACCUGCAAUCCUACAUGCCUAGUAUAGGAUGCUAGUUUUCCAUUAGUGGACCUACAUUCUUGUCCGUCUGCUGUGCUAUACUAUCGGGCCGUGAUCACUUGGGAGGUGAUCAUGGGUAUAUACUAUAUACUUUAUACAUGAUACAUGUGGUGACUAAAGUCGGGUCGGCUUGUGGAGCACCCGCGAGUGAUUCACGGAUUGGGGGCUGAAAGGACCUUUGUCCCAACGGCCCUCUGUGUGGAUCUUUGUGGCGGAGCGUCAGGGCAGGUUGAGACUACCUGGGUGAGAGGUGGGCCUGGCCCUGUUCGGCGUUCGUGGAUACUUAACACGCUUAACGAGAUCUUGGUAUUUGAUCUGAGUUGGGUCGUUGACCUUAUACGCACUAACCGCCACAUGGGACAAGUUAUGGGCAACCGGCGUCGUGGUAUCAGCCGAAGCAUUUCGUGACGUCAGCGACGGAGCGGCGCGCGCCGGUUUGGACUGGAACGCCUGCUAGGCUAGGUCUGCUUUCGGCCGCCCUCGCAACAUGCAGGUGUGCUAAGGGCGAUGGGCCCAGACCCCUGUGCGCUUAGGUUUAGACCGGCGUGCUGACCUCUCUCUUAUGCCUAGGUGGGGCUGUGGCGUGUUGAUCUUCCGCGGCCGGGCAUGACCCAGGAAAGUGUGUCCGGCCAAAUGGGAUCGAGCGUGUCGGGUAAUGUGGUGCACCCAUGCAGGGAAGUUAAUCUAUUCGAAUAGCCGUGAUCUUCGGUAACAGGACGACUUGGAGUUGUACCUUGAUCUUAUGACAACUAGAACCGGAUACUUAAUAAAAUACACCCUUCCAAGUGCCAGAUACAACCCGGUGGUCGCUCUCUAACAGGGCAUUGAGGAGGGGAUCGCCGGGUAGGAUUAUGCUAUGCGAUGCUACUUGGAGGACUUCAGUCUACUCUCUUCUACAUGUUGCAAGACGAAGGCUGCCAGAAGCGUAGUCUUCGACAUGAUUAGCUAUCCCCCUCUUAUUCUGGCAUUCUGCAGUUCAGUCCACUGAUAUGGCCCUUUACACAUAUAUCCAUGCAUAUGUAGUGUAGCUCCUUGCUUGCGAGUACUUUGGAUGAGUACUCACGGUUGCCUUGUUCCCCCCUUUUCCCCUAUCUCUAUCCGAUUGCUGCGACCAGACGAUGGAUCCCAGGAGCCAGACGCCACCUUCGAUGACGACUCCUACUACGCUGGAGGUGCCUACUACUACAUGCAGCCCGCUGACGAUGACCAGGAGUAGUUUAGGAGGAUCCCAGGCAGGAGGCCUGCGCCUCUUUCGAUCUGUAUCCCAGUUUGUGCUAGCCAUCUUAUGGCAACUUGUUUAACUUAUGUCUGUACUCAGAUAUUGUUGCUUCCGCUGACUCGUCUAUGAUCGAGCACUUGUAUUCGAGCCCUCGAGGCCCCUGGCUUGUAUUAUGAUGCUUGUAUGACUUAUUUAUGUUUUAGAGUUGUGUUGUGAUAUCUUCCCGUGAGUCCCUGAUCUUGAUCGUACACGUUUGCGUGCAUGAUUAGUGUACGAUUGAAUCGGGGGCGUCACAAGUUGGUAUCCGAGCCGACUGUCUGUAGGAAUCCCCCUUCCAACUCCUUGGCCGAAGUUGAGUCUAGACGUUGCAAAAACUUCUACUAACAUGGCUGUGUGUCUUACGGGCACACGUCGCCAUUGGGUGGUAGUAGGAUCUUUUAUUCCUUGACCUAUGCUCUGGGACUCUGAUCUCUCUUGUAUUCGGGUUAAAUGAAUUUUACUAAAUCUAACAUUAGGAUCUCGUUAUCACUUUCACCCGGAGAGCCUCAUAUUACUGAUGAUCGUUUGCUGCACGUGAAGACCCUGAAGAUACUCUCCGCUAUUAACCCGAGAAUUUGUGUUCAUCGCGUUUGCAAUUCCCUUCCACCGUCAACCCUUAUGGAUAACUACUUGCAGUUGUUAUUCUUACAUUCAUCCCCAGUUGGUCUUGUUAUUACAAGAUACCCCGAAACACUCAUCGUUGUUUCGAUAAUCCUUUGAGCUUACUGCCUUGCUGUUCUUUGUCACCUGAAUACCCAAACGGAUAAUUCCUCGCACUUGCCGAGUAUCCCCUCAUCCCUAGCCGUUCAUGUGUUUCACAAUAGACUUGAAAAUACCAUUCGAUCUUCCAAAAAUCUUCGGCAGCCAUUUGCUCUUGAAUUUCUUGCUUGCUUUCAUUAUGGUUAAUCCCAUAAGUCUAGUAAUCUUAUUGGCAUCCUUUGUCACUAUCAUUUUGUGUCCGUUGAUUCUAUAUGUGUGCGAAUGCACGCAAUAAUUAGUUGAUCCUUAUAAAUUAUAUUUUCGGCUACUUUCGAACAUGAGCUGGUUCUCGGCCAAUCAGAUUGCCAUCGACUGUACCCCUAAGGCUAUUCAACUUAUCCGUCCGUAAUCGGAGCAUUGCUUCUGAUCCCUUGUCUUGGAAUUCAUAAUUCCUUUGCAAUUGAGCUUUGAAGUAGUCAGUUGUUUCUAUCAUCUGAUCUCCUUGCAUGCUUUCUUCUUCUGGUUGAGUACCGAUGCUCACAUCAGAUCCCUUAUGGACCACCAGAUCUUUUGUUGAAUUUUAUCCGGCAAUAUCCUUCAUACUCAAUAACCUUGAGCCUUUCCCAGGAUAUAUACCGCCUUUGGUAAAUUGUAUCCUUUUCUUUGUCAACCAUGCUCUACUUUGAGCUUGUGUUAAUUACUCCUGAAGUUCGUGGUAUAUGUUCUAAGAAGCCCCGAUGGCUUGAACCUAUGCCUUCCUUAAUAUGUGUGAACUAGAAAGUUCUCACGAGUCAUACACUCCUGGUAUUUUGCCAGAUAAAAUUUCAACACUACAACCUCCUCGAAAAUGAGAAGUGAACGAAAGGUUAUGCAUUGGAGAAGUGGGAGUUGAUCUUGAACUUGUGUUCAUGCCCAUGGACACGAUGUAGAUCUUGUCAUUAAAGCUUCUCUUAAAUUAAUUAUCCCUUUGGUAUAACUUCAUCUUAUAUCUGGGAUCUGGCCUUUUGCAAUCGUGGUUCCGACCAUGUUCUCUUUUAAAUACCAUUUCUCGUGCAAGUUUAAGCACUUGUCUUCUGUAGAGCAAUACCCCAGUCCAACCUCUACUUUGAUCUGUCGUCGAGUAUUACCCCCUGGUAUCUCGAGAUUAUCAUGGAACUGCGUAACUUCUUAUGAGUUCUUCAUCAAGUGCUACAUUCCCACUGAUUCCAAUUUUUCACGGGCUCUGAGUUUUUAAACACUCAAGGACACCAAUAACUGAACCGAGUCCGCACUACGGUUCAACAACUCUUCAGUAAGCUUCUAUAAGUACGAGUUUGUACCCGAUCAUGCCAUUCCUAGCCUGUUUGACUAUAUCAUUGUCGUGAUGAUUCUAACUGUGCUACCUGGUCCUUAUUCUCGGAGCACCAAUUUGCGACGAUAGCUAAGCUUACGUCGAUUUUCCUCGUCAUACCCUUUCACCUUAAACAACAAGCUUGAGUUCGAGUUUGUGUCGUAACUGUGGUUCCAAUAACCUCUUGCUUCAUCAUUCCUUUGACUUGAUGUCGUCGCUGAUUGAUUACAUCUUCAUGAAAUCUCUCGACAAAUGUGUCGUGAUCAUCAUCAACCUUAUGAGCUCUUCCAGGAUAUCAACCGGAUUCAUGAAGAGAAAUACCAUCCUUGCCCUCGAUGAGUUGUGUUAUAUCGGCCACUUUAUUGCCUUCCCUCCAACACAAACUUGUUCGUGUUUUGUGUUAUACCUUGAGUUCCUUGCUAUCCAGUAAUUGUUCUUCUUUACCUUGGAACAUUAACAUCUCUUAUGUCCUCAAUGUUGUGAGAAUUUCACCACCUCUGGAGAAUUCUUGAUACAAGUGAUACUUAUCACCAUCACCAUUCUUCCUUGGUCCCCAUGUUGUUUUUAACCGAGAUACCAAUAUGCUGACGAUGCUGCUUGAGUUUUGUACUUCUAGCAACCCUAUUGCUUUGAAGUUAAUGAUCGAUAGUUCGUUCUUAGACUGUUGGUUAUUGAAUCGUCACUCUAACAGUGAUCUUGCUGCCUAAGGUCAUAUUUCGGGUGCACUUUUCAACCAAUGUUUAAUUGUGUAUGUUUUCCUCAAGCAUACAUCAUUAUAUCAUUUGUUUCGACAAUGUUAUCUCCUUGUUCAGAUAAUCGUGGAAAUCCAUCUUCUGAAAUCUCAAUGGAAUGUCGCUGAGUCCAUCAGGCACCUCCUCACCCUCUCCUUGGUUUAAUGAUGAACCCUUGUCCGAAACUCGCUCCCACUGUUCAAUUCCCGAGAAUCUUACAAUGUCAUCUCGACAAUUUGGUUGCACCGCUCUUCUCAGGCAUCCCGAGUUUGCGGUAUCCUGACACCAAUCAUAUCUGAAUCUCCGUCAGAUAUGAUGGUUGGAACAUAUUUACAAGAGUUAUAACGCUAGUCUUCAUAAGACCCGGCAAGGUGAUGUCAUGCCUAGCACACCUGGCCGGAGGACCUAUUGUUAUAGUUGUUCCUUUUUGGCAAGGUUAACCAUUCUUCCAUGAGGGAAUUGUAAAACUUAUUCCAUAAGUUAUUCCUGAUGAAUCCUCCGAGUAUCCAAAGUCUGACCUUUGCUUGAAUGCCAUGCAAUGCUAUCUCGAAGCAUGUUUGUGGUACUCCGAUUUUCAACAAGAACAUUUGAAGCCCAAUGCUAAAUGCUUCCUGCUCAAUUAUCCAAACACCGUUGUAUGGGUAAUGUCAUGAAAAUUCUCUCCCCUACCUAAAGAGUUUUCUACAUUAUACCCUGCCACGGAUAGCAUGCUCUGCUUGCCUUGGGAAGGAUAUAUCCCUGAAAUAUGUGUUUAAACACAUUUUCCUUUCCAUUGCCUGUUUAACCUGGUAAUCACCUUUCCUUUCCAUUAGUUUGCUUAACCCUUCUUGUGAUCUAUAUUAUAUAAGCAGUAGUAAUCUUCUGCUUAUGUAAAACACCUUGGUGUACAACCUUAUCAGUCAGACCCUGUUACUAUUGUUGAUGACAUUUCGGUAACCACCGAUGGAUGGGAACUUUGCCUAUUGGUCCGCCUCGUUCAAUGAGCAGGAAAAUGGUUCUCUUCGUCCCUCGCCCUCGGUAUCGAUGUUGUUGCCGACAUAACUAACAGGCUACCCUCUAGCAUGCCUUGCUAUUGUGACCGUGCAAGAUGUCAGCCCCCCUUCCUACCUUUAACCCACAUGGUGGGCCCAUAACCCACAGUUCCCAGGAUCGAAACUUGACUCUCCUGCACCCCCUGUUCCCAAGGUUCUUCCUCGCGUGUGGCCUCGUAUGUAAUUCACGAGCCACCUUCUGAGAGAUCAUCAAAUCUGUUACCGGACGCAAUACUUAGUCCCGAUUGCUUUGAGCCCCUUUCAAGCCCUGUUCAGGCAGCGAACGGUUGCCUGCUCGCUCGAAACUUCCCAUGAAACCUCAUUACUUGCUCUCGAUAUUCACUUAAGUUUCAAUUCGAGAGUUACUUUCCGCCACCUUCCCCGAUGUUAUCGACCAGAUAGUCAACCUUGUAGAGGUUCGUUCUCCCGGAAUAACCCCCUUAUUCUUUCGUAUGUACGAUGGAACCCCCAAGGAAAGGAUGUCGACUUCAUCUUGAUGACCUAAAGCAGAAAAAUGAAGACAUCAAUAUAAUGGAUCGACCACUUUGAGAGGAGCAACCAAGGCCGAGAAGAUUUGUUAGAAUUUCGUAAACAAACGUUUCCCCCUUAGACCCCUCAUAAAUCUCGGGACGAGAUUUCUUGUAGUGGAGGAGAAUUGUGACGCCCGGGUAUUUAGCUACAGUAAUUCCCUGCUAAUGAUGCCACGUCACUUCGGUUACUUUCGCUAAUCUCGUUUUAGUUCGGAACCGAUUCAAAUUCAUAUUCAAAAUCAAGCAAACGAUAAACGUUUUCAAAGGUCAAAACUAAAAUGUUCUAAAUGUGACAAAUAAUUCAUAAGUAAUGUUGGUGGAGAAACCACAUUUUUAUAAAAGGUCUAAAUGCAUUUAAUUAAUUAAAACAGUAGGUAAGACAAAUAAAUAAAUGCCUUGGUAUUUUAUAAAACACUAAACUAUAUUAUUUGGGGGUUAAACCUUUUUGUGGCAGAGGUAUAAUUAGUGUUACUAUUUUAGGUACAACUUUUAUGUUUUAUAAAACUAGAAUAAAAUAAAACAGUAAAAGAAAAAGAACAAAACAGAAAAAAAUACAAAAGAAAUUAAAGUCCCCCCGCCCGCUGGGCCUCGGCCCAGCUGGCCAAGUAGUCGGCCGGCCCGGCCGGCCCAUCCCCACUCCCUUAACCCGCUGGUGCGAAACCCUAACCCGUUGCCCCCGUAGUCCCACUCCCCCCACCUUUCCCCUCGUCCCCUCACCCGCCGCCACCACACGCAACACACGCACACACACUCACGCACGCAUCGUGCCUGGGGAAGGGGCGCCCCUGCUCGAUCCCCUCCUCCCGCAUGGCCGCGCCCGACGCAAACCGUCACUCCGCUACGGCCAUCGCAGCCGGCACCGGCACUGCCACUCAGGACCGCCUCUGUGCCCCUUAUCUACCUCGCGCGGAGCCCGCCUGACGCAGCGGCCUCGCCUCGUCCCCGACCCGCCGACGUUGAACGCCACCCCACGCCACGGCCUCCUCCUCGCGGCUCCCUGCCCUGUUCCGACCCCCUCGCAUCGCCGCCUCCUCCUUUGACCUGCGCGGUCGCCGACCCCGCCUCUGUCGCCCGCUCCUGCCGCCCGCGCCUCCCAUGGCUGCACCAGGCCGUGGCCGGCGCCUGCCGGCGCGCGUGGGCGCUCUCCUGCAGCUCGCCAUUGCUCCUCCGCGUGCCUCGCCGAUGUUGGUCGCCCUGCCGGACCGCUUCGUCAUCGACGGCCCGCACCUCGUCGACCACCUCUCCGACUCCGACCACCCCGACCCUCCAUCGAGCACGCUGCCCGAACCCUACGGCCCCAGUGAGCGCCUCCCCCUUCUCCUCUCGGUCUCCCUCGUGCAGCUCACGCGCCUCGUCGCGCCCGUCGCGUCAACGUCGGGCUCGCUACCCCGUGUACUGCUGUAGCUGCUGUCGACCGCGGCCUCUCCUGUGUGCGCCCGGCCAUGGACAUAACCCCCCUACUGCCGCGCCGUCGUUCCCCUGCUCUCACUCCACCACGCAUCGCCCUGCCGCCGCAACCUCGCGCCGGCGUACGCCCGUCGCCAGCGCCCCGCCACACCGUUCGCCUGGGCCAGUGCCCAAUCGGGUUGGGGCUUCACUCGCAGCGCCCGAACCCACUUUGGCCAUGGGACAAUGGCACAAGGGGCCCACGCCCCUGGAACAAUUUUUUUUAAAAGGAAGUUAAUAAAAUAAAUAAAUAAGUAAUUAUUAACUAAAUAAUUAGUUGAUUAGUUAAGUUAAUUAGUUCUAUUUAGCUAAGCUAAUUAAAAUUAGUUAACCUAAUCAAUGAAAUUAAGUAAUUAACAUGUUUAAUCUAAGUCAAUGACAUAUGGGACCCACGCGUCAGCUUGACCCAGUCAACACCUCUAUUGACUGGUGAUGUCAUGCUGACGUCAUGCUGAUGCAGUAAUACCAUUUUCGAAUUAAAUUAAUAAUAAUAAAUUAUAAAUUGAAUAAAGUCUCUGAAAAUUAAUAAUGAAUAAACCGUAGUUCGGAUGGAAAAACUUUGUACAUGAAAGUUGCUCAGAACGACGAGACGAACCCGGAAACGCAGCCCGUUCGUCCGCCACGCAUCCCUAACCUAUCAAACUCGCAACUUUCCCCCUCCGGCUCCUCUGCCCGAAAACACGAAACACCGGGGAUACUUUCCCGGAUGUCCCCCCCCUUCACCGACAUCACCUCAUACUGCGUUAGGGCACGCCUAGCAUCACGCUUUGCUUUGACAUGCAUCGUCAUGCAUAUGUUUGCAUUGUAUUCAUUGUUUCUUCCCCCUCUACUUCCGCUAGACACCGAGACCGACGCUGCUGCUGCCCAGUUCGACUACGGAGUUGACGACCCCUCUCUCUUGCCAGAGCAACCAGGCAAGCCCCCCCUUUGAUCACCAGAUAUCGCCUAUUCUUCUCUAUACUGCUUGCAUUAGAGUAGUGUACCAUGUUACUGCUUUCCGUUAAUCCUAUUCUGCUGUAUAGCUUGUCCUUGCUACUACUGUUGUUACCUUUACCUGCAAUCCUACAUGCCUAGUAUAGGAUGCUAGUUUUCCAUUAGUGGCCCUACAUUCUUGUCCGUCUGCUAUGCUAUACUAUCGGGCCGUGAUCACUUGGGAGGUGAUCACGGGUAUAUACUAUAUACUUUAUACAUGAUACAUGUGGUGACUAAAGUCGGGUCGGCUUGUGGAGCACCCGCGAGUGAUUCACGGAUUGGGGGCCGAAAGGACCUUUGUCCCAACGGCCCUCUGUGUGGAUCUUUGUGGCGGAGCGUCAGGGCAGGUUGAGACUACCUGGGUGAGAGGUGAGCCUGGCCCUGUUCGGCGUUCGCGGAUACUUAACACGCUUAACGAGAUCUUGGUAUUUGAUCUGAGUUGGGUCGUUGACCUUAUACGCACUAACCUCCACGUUGGACAAGUUAUGGGCAACCGGCAUCGUGGUAUCAGCCGAAGCAUUUCGUGACGUCAACGACGGAGCGGCGCGCGCCGGAUUGGACUGGAACGCCUGCUAGGCUAGGUCUGCUUUCGGCCGCCCUCGCAACGUGCAGGUGUGCUAAGGGCAAUGGGCCCAGACCCCUGUGCGCUUAGGUUUAGACCGGCGUGCUGACCUCUCUCUUAUGCCUAGGUGGGGCUGCGACGUGUUGACCUUCCGCGGCCGGGCAUGACCCAGGAAAGUGUGUCCGGCCAAAUGGGAUCGAGCGUGUCGGGUAAUGUGGUGCACCCUUGCAGGGAAGUUAAUCUAUUCGAAUAGCCGUGAUCUUCGGUAACAGGACGACUUGGAGUUGUACCUUGACCUUAUGACAACUAGAACCGGAUACUUAAUAAAACACACCCUUCCAAGUGCCAGAUACAACCCGGUGGUCGCUCUCUAACAUGGCAUUGAGGAGGGGAUCGCCGGGUAGGAUUAUGCUAUGCGAUGCUACUUGGAGGAUUUCAGUCUACUCUCUUCUACAUGUUGCAAGACGGAGGCUGCCAGAAGCGUAGUCUUCGACAGGAUUAGCUAUCCCCCUCUUAUUCUGGCAUACUGCAGUUCAGUCCACUGAUAUGGCCCUUUACACAUAUAUCCAUGCAUAUGUAGUGUAGCUCCUUGCUUGCGAGUACUUUGGAUGAGUACUCACGGUUGCCUUGUUCCCCCUUUUCCCCCUAUCUCUAUCCGAUUGCUGCGACCAGACGAUGGAUCCCAGGAGCCAGAUGCCACCUUCGACGACGACUCCUACUACGCUGGAGGUGCCUACUACUACGUGCAGCCCGCUGACGACGACCAGGAGUAGUUUAGGAGGAUCCCAGGCAGGAGGCCUGCGCCUCUUUCGAUCUGUAUCCCAGUUUGUGCUAGCCAUCUUAUGGCAACUUGUUUAACUUAUGUCUGUACUCAGAUAUUGUUGCUUCCGCUGACUCGUCUAUGAUCGAGCACUUGUAUUCGAGCCCUCGAGGCCCCUGGCUUGUAUUAUGAUGCUUGUAUGACUUAUUUAUGUUUUAGAGUUGUGUUGUGAUAUCUUCCCGUGAGUCCCUGAUCUUGAUCGUACACGUUUGCGUGCAUGAUUAGUGUACGAUUGAAUCAGGGGCGUCACACAAGGGUGCCUGUCGAGAGCGGCGUGUUGUCGGGGGAGGUUUUUGGGUGCGGGCAGCGGCCUGGGCAAUGUCCAACCGGCCGGAACUGGGCGACAACGGUGAAGGCAGGGUGCCCGGGUGUCUUAGUUUUGGACGGGAGAGGAGGGUAAUUGCCAAUGUGCCACCGAAUGACAGGCUAGGGGGAGGACAAGGACGGGCGUCGCGUGCGUCCACGUCAUGUCCGUGCUGAUGCAAACCCGACUCAAAUCUUGUCCUGAAAUGAGUCGCGAGCAGACAAAAAGCGGACACUCGCCCGUUUGCGUCGGCACAUUGGGCCGCAGUUUGUGUUCAUUUCGACCCAAACCGACGUGCAUAGACAGAACGCGUCGGCGCAUUGGAGUUGGUCUUAGACACCACCCUCAUUGCAAGAAAUGUGCACGCAGUGGCAAAGAAAAGCUGCCAGACCAGGGGCACCCCACGCUCAUAGGGGUGGGGAACGACCCAACAUGGUUGGACGGUGGAGUGGCAGGCAGAAGGGGGCGUCAAGAGUACUCCAGCAUCCUUUAUAAGAGUAAUUCGGUGAUGGUCGAUGUAUCAACAUGUAAUAUCCACAAAUUUCCUGCGGCUCGAAGCAGCCGCAAAAACAAUAUAUGUGUACAAAUUAAAUAUGUACCCCGUGAGCUAGCAGAAAGUACCCAACGAAUCUUACAUCGUUCAUAGCGGUGAAGGUAUACGCGUAUGUACUAUGUUCUGCUCGGUGACUCAUACGUCUCAAACUUACCUAUAAUUUUUGAUUGAUUCAUGCUAUUAUAAUACCAUCCAUAGCAAUUUAUAUUGUUUUUCUGAACUAAACUAUAAAUUCAAUGCCUAGAGCCAGUUACUGUUUUCUGCAUGUUUUUGAUUUGACAGAAAAUCAUUCGGCAUGCGUUAAGCCUGUCGAUUCACAAAACAAUAAAUAGAAGUUCAACCUUCGCCAUGUGGGCCAACUUAUAAGGCGAGCCCACAUCCUGGGAAGGUGCUAAAGUUGUUCCAACCGAAGAUACCAAUGUUGUCUUCAUCAAAUUGGAAAAUAUGAAUUUUCUAGUUUGACCCCUUUGAACUCGUAAAAAAAUUGGUUUGAUUUCAUCUUGUUUUGUAUUAUUUGGCUUCGUUUCUUUCUGAGGCCCGUAAGCUACAUAUCUACCCAUCCAAACGUUGCUCAAUCGGCCCAAAAUAAAUUCCCCAAAAGCCCAAUCAACCCUGCAACAAAACACCCCACCUUUCCUCCUUUCUUCCGCCGCCGCUAGAGUUUCCUCUUCUAGUUAGGGUUUCCUCGAUCCCCAAUUUCCCCACCCCAACCCUAGCUCCGAUCCACCCGAUGGCGGCCGCAGAGGGCAAGAAGAAGAUCAUCAAGCUCAAGAGUUCAGACGGUAAGGAGUUUGAGGUGGAGCAGGCGGUGGCCAUGGAGUCGCAAAUGAUCCGGCACAUGAUCGAGGACGACUAUACUGACAACGGCUUGUUGCUCCACAAUGUCAACUCAAAGAUCCUCUCCAAGGUCAUUGAGUACUGCAACAAACACGUCCAAGCAAAGGCCGCCGACACAUCUGAUUUUGGAGGAGGAGCUAGGCCGUUAGGUGCUACAUCGGCUGUGCCUGCGGCGCCCACAGAGGACCUCAAAAACUGGGACGCCAAUUUCGUCAAGGUCGACACGGCCACCAUAUUCGACCUCGCACUGGUGUGAUUACUUUCCAUCCUUUGAUUUGUUCCUUGAAAUUCUCUAGAUCUAUUUUUUUACUAUCCCCCAUUGAUGGAAUCAAGAUUGUUUUUGUUUAGUUUGGCUUGUUACUUGUGUCUGAUUGAGAUUUGGAUAGAUUGGAAUAUGUCCUCGUACCUUCAUCAAGGUAGAUUUGACUCGAUUGGAUUAGGUUAGGUUACACAAUGGAUUAGGUUUAGGUCACAAAGAGUUGUUAUUGGCGAUGUAGAAAGCAGCCGACCAUACAUACUAACCCUAAUAGCUAGGUUCGCGCAUUAUCUGGGGAGCUAUAUUAAUUUACAUUUCCAUGUUCAUCUGGUCUAAUAUGCUUCACUAUAUAUGAAUAACCUAGAAACAUUUUAAAUUAUUAGAUUCACUAUUAUUUUGUUUGUAGACUACAUAUAUGGGAUGAUGAUUGAGUGGUUUCUCUUUCAAUAACUUGCGGAAACAUCAGACCACACAGAGCAAUAUAUGGUCUGAUGUUUCUAUAUUUGUCACUGUUGUUUCUAGAUUUGAACCAUGCAUGAAUGUCCAUAUCUAGUGUGAAAUUAUGAUCUUGUAUGCUAGACUUUAGUAGAUCUGCUCUGAAUUUGUUUAGUUAUGUUGGUUUAUCAUAGAUAGGGUGGUUUGUCGCAUGUGUCAUCCUUAGUUAUAAUACAUAAAUCCAAUAUCAUACAUUACUACUUUGAUAUUUGUAAUUAUGCAUUGUAGAUCACACACUUCUUUCUAAUUUUGCUAUCUAUGUCUUUAUUAUCUUAUAGGUUUCACUACUGGUCCAUAUGUCAACAAUGAAUGCCUUUUUCUUCUAUCUAGCAUCGAGUUACUAUUUAUUUUGCUGUAUACAUAGUGAUAGCUAAAUCACAUCAACAUGCUAAUGUUUCUAACUUUGUAUCAAAUAUUUAUGAUCUCAACUAAUCUUUUAGAUACCACUAUUGAUCCAUGUCAUCUACGAAUGCCUUCUUCUAUCUAGCAUUGGUUGAGUAUUGAUUGUGGUUCUAUUAACAUUACAUCCUUGUAGCUAAAUCACGAGAUGAUACAUUGUGCCUGUCCAUGUUAGAAGUGAUGAUGCUUUCCAUCGUUUGAAGUGAAACCACACAUGACUUCCCAUGGCCACUAUAAAAUCCUGAUCUUGUUUGCAAGAGUUUAGCACUAUUUACUUUUAGUUUCUUUUCUUAUAGUUAUCUUAUUUUAUCAUAGAUAAGAUUUCGAUCUCACAUGUGCCAUCUUCACUUGCAAUACAUAUUCCAGUUUCAUAUAUUACUGACCCCUAAACACAUGUUUUGUGUUGUGGUUUGAUUUUACUAUGAUAGAUAACUAUGUUUCUAACUUUAUUGUUCCCUGCGGAUCAUUUAUCAUGAGGAAUGUAUGUAGCUGUGUCUGAUCUCACUCUAUUUUGUGACAGUUAUGUUAACUUUUCUUGACUAUCGAUCCAUUUAUGUUAACCCCUUUGAAUGAAUAUCUUUUGAUUAUUGCACACCUUGUUUUGUGUUUUAGUUUGUCGCAAAAACCUCUAUGUAGGUGGUAUAUGUAAUUAUCCAUGUUUUUGUAAACCAAUGCUUCCCUCUGACACACCAUUAUUCCUUUUGCUCUUUUGCCCCCUCCCAGGCUGCGAACCACCUCAACAUCAGGGGGCUCCUAGACCUGACUUGCCAGACCAUCGCCGACAUGAUCACGGGAAAGACGCCAGAGGAGAUCCGCAAGAUCUUCAACAUCAAUGAGAAAUUAAGACCCGAGGAGGAGGAGAAGAUCCGCAGGGAAAACCAAUGGGCCUUUGAGUAGAGGAACAUCUAGGCCGCGCUGAAGUAAUGAACACUUAGUAUUACCCAUGUCUACAUUUCAGUGUGCUUGUUUAUGUCAUAAUGGUUGUAAUGAACCAAGAGUCUAUAAGGUGGUGUUGGUGAACUUAUUCAGUGGUUAUGUUUGCAAAAAUAAUAUGGUGGUCAUCAAUUAUCAUUUGUCAAAUGAAUCGUUAUUGUCAAGUUGAUGUUUUGCUUGCUUAUCAUUAUUUUUUCACUGAUUUCCACCAUGUGAUUUGGGCUUCUUCGUUGGUUAUUCAUGUCUGUUUUGUUCAUCGAUCAAGAUGCAUGGAUGCUCUUGUUACUUAAGAGACGGUCCUUGUUCUUCCGCUCUCUCUUUACAAUCCUAAUAAAAUAAAAAUAAAAGUUGUUGCUUAAAUUAUUUGAGGGAUCAAACUAAUUUUAGAAGACCUGAAAUUUUUAUGGUAACCACUUACGACCAUGGCAAGGCCACACUAAAACAUAUAGGGUUUUAGGAUUAUAUUUACAAUUUUUUUUACAAAAAAUCCAUUUAAAUGAAUAAAAGAGUGAUGUUAUUCUCUACUGACUGCAGAACCACGCCGCACCAGAAUCAGUUAACCCUCGUACACCUCUCCGUCUGUGACUCCACUGCCGAGUCUUCCCAUCACCGGCUCGUUGCCGUCCGGGGCCUCGCCGUUGUCCACCGCCUUGGUGCGCUCGGCACGGCGUGGUCAACGUGGUCAACAAACGAGAGUCGUCGGAAGAGGAUUAUACGUGGAGAGGCUGACAGUGGGGAUGCACCAGGUCCAUGGACGCACACUGCAACCGCCUCCUUGUGACGCGAAAAUAAAAAUUAUUCCUCCCCAUGAAAGCUGGGACCCACCAUGUAUAUCUUCGCAAGGAAGGAAGUGCCUCCUUAUGCCUGCUCCUGACAGCUGGGACCCACCAACAACAUCUUUGCUCCCAAGGAAGUGACUCCUUAUUAUGGGCAAAAAAUAUAUGAUUCCGCCUCUGACCACUGGGACCCACCAGCUAUAUAUUCACACACAAGGAAAUGCCUCCUUGCCCCCCGACAGCUGGAACCCACCUGGUCGAAGCAUACGUAGCGUUGUCUGUGUACAUACCGGUCGAUCGGUCUGUUUGCCACGAUGAACCAUGUCCGAGUAAGGAGCGGUAGCAGUUGAGGCAAUCCAGUCAAAACAGAGUACACGUACGGACAACCAGAUGCUAAAAAAUACAUCCACGUACGUACAUACGGGUGUGGUCUCGAACGCAUACUCGCGCAUACGUAAUGUGUCGUGUUCAUCGGGAGGCAACAUAAUGCGUCGUGUUUAUUGGGAGGCAAUGGAAUAUGUCGUGUUCAUUAGGAGCCAACCGGCUUAGAUGUAAUAGCCGAAACGAGGUCUGGCGUACCACAGAACGGAGGAAAUGGGCCUUCUGUUGGGCCACGUACGGUCGAAAUGGGUCCUGUUUAUCGGGAAGGGUCUGGCCUACCGCAAAACAGAGGAAAAAAACUUGUAUUCGAGUGCCUACGGUCGAAACGGGGUCCUGUUGAUAGGGAGGGGUGUGGCGUACCGUAAAACGGAGGAAACGGACUUGUGUUGGAGCGCUUACGGUCAAAACAAGGUCCUGUUCAUCCACCAUCUACUGCUGCGCCCCAGCCUCCACGAGCUACUAUUUAUCCACCAUCGACCUCCUCCAGCCUCCACCAGCUACUGUUCAUCCACCGGCUACUAUGCAUAGAGGCUCCAGAGGGUCCUGUUCAUCCACCCCCAACCGGCUAGGGUGCGAUGGCCUCCUUGGGGUCCUGUUCAUCCCGCGGCAACGGCCUACUACCACGGGGUCCUCUUCAUCAAACCCCCACCGGGAACUGUUCAUCCACAACCAACCAACCGGCUCGACUCACCAUGUCUUGACUCGUUCUACGUACCAUGUGCACGGUAGCAACGGUCACUGAUCAUCGAGAGUCAACCCAACACUGGCUGGCUACGUCUCGCACGGGGGCUCGAUCGGCUUCAAUAAGCAGCAGAUGCGAGCAAUCGCUCGGGUUCAGUUAGGAGCAAUAGCGAAGGAAUCGCUCGGGUUUAGUCAGCAGUGAAUGAAUCACUCGAGUUCAGUUAAUAGCCAAGGGAUCAAUCGCUCGGCUUCAGUAACGUAGCUAGCAGUGCGAUCGCUCGGUUUAGUUAGAGCCCAACGCCUCGCACACACGCAUGUACACAAGCGAAACGCACAAACCACAAUGCAUUGCCCAGCCCCGACCACCCACCGUAACCUGGAACUCCCCCAUAUUUUCCUCGCCCUCGCUUCUACCAUGAUUUUUCCCGUCAUGGACGGCCCAAAGAAUGUCAUGCAGCCGCGUCUCCGGCCUGCCCAGGACGAAAAACCCAUUUUCAUGGACCUAUCAUCUCAUUUUCGUCCUGUGAAAUCUCUGAUCCUAUUCUCUAUAUAUGCAGCAUGGUCUAUUAUGUAGCAAUAGCACGGUCUAUUAUGCUCUGUUACCGGCAGUAAUGUCAGUUGUUCUCUAGUAUUUGUCAUCGCAGUGCUCUCCUUCCUGUUGUUCCAUAUUUUGUAGCUGCAUCUUUGAUGUGUAUACGUUGUUGAUGUGUUGUCUUGGUAUAAGUAAAGCUGACUACUUCUGUCCUUUGUCGUCAAAUGAAGUCAUGAUAUGUUGUUAGCAACCUAGGACAGGAGGUAUUUGUUCAAGUUUGCAGUUCCAAGAUCCAUUGCUGAUGAAUAUGGAGUCAUUAAUAUUUAUUCUAUUUUUCCAAGAAAUGCUUCACUUGUAAGUUAUAACACCAGUCACAGACAACACACUUAACAAUUUUCGCGUGUCCCCUAUUACAUUUGACAGGGUCGAUUCGAAAUCCUAUGCCUCUGUGGAUCAUACCUGGUGAUAGAUGACGGCGUUUCACGCACAUGGAAUGGAGGUCUAUGCAUAGCGCUGUGUGGCGCUGAUCGCAGGGUGAUUGGAGGAAGCGUUGGUGGAGUCCUGACAGCAGCCGGGACAAUUCAGGUGAUCACUCGCUUCUUUUUUUUUCACUGAAACAUCAGCAUUUCAUUAAUUCAUCCUUGGUCUGUUGUGUUCCAGAAAUGAAUGAUGAGGUGAUUGUGCGUGUUGGUGCAGGUGAUUGUGGGGAGCUUCAUGUACGCGGGGUUGAAGAAGAGCAGGAAGGGCAAGGCUGGGAAGGAGUCUGCUGCGGCGGAGGAAGAACAGACCGGCGAUGCGAACGGGGGCAGGGGCAGGGGCGAAGAUGGAGUUGGAGGCGAGGCGGAGGAAGAGGGGCCUUCGCCGCUGAUGCCGAUGCCCCGCGGAGAGGAGGAGCUGCCGUCGGACGCGAUGAUGAGCGGGUGGACGGGCAUGAUGCGGCAGAUGGAGUCGCGGUCCUGCGGCAUGGACAUCAACUCGAUCCGAGAGUGAAGGAUGUAGACUGUUUAAUUAGUUUUGUUUUCCUCGCCCUCGCUUCUACCAUGAUUUUUCCCGUCAUGGACGGCCCAAAGAAUGUCAUGCAGCCGCGUCUCCGGCCUGCCCAGGACGAAAAACCCAUUUUCAUGGACCUAUCAUCUCAUUUUCGUCCUGUGAAAUCUCUGAUCCUAUUCUUUAUAUAUGCAACAUGGUCUAGCACGGUCUAUUAUGCUCUGUUACCGGCAGUAAUGUCAGUUGUUCUCUAGUAUUUGUCAUCGCAGUGCUCUCCUUCCUGUGGUUCCAUAUUUUGUAGCUGCAUCUUUGAUGUGUAUACGUUGUUGAUGUGUUGUCUUGGUAUAAGUAAAGCUGACUACUUCUGUUCUUUGUCGUCAAAUGAAGUCAUGAUAUGUUGUUAGCAACCUAGGACAGGAGGUAUUUGUUCAAGUUUGCAGUUCCAAGAUCCAUUGCUGAUGAAUAUGGAGUCAUUAAUAUGUAUUCUAUUUUCCAAGAAAUGCUUCACUUGUAAGUUAUGACACCAGUCACAGACAACACACUUAACAAUUUUCGCGUGUCCCCGAUUACAUUUGACAGGGUCGAUUCAAAAUCCUAUGCCUCUGUGGAUCAUACCUGGUGAUAGAUGACGGCGUUUCACGCACACAGAAUGGAGGUCUAUGCAUAGCGCUGUGUGGCGCUGAUCGCAGGGUGCACUGGUGGAAAAAGGGCCUUUGGUCGCGGUUCACAACUGCCAUUAGUCGCAGUUGCGCAACCGCGACCAAAUAGGCGCGACUAAAGGCCCCCCCUUUAGUCGCGGUUGCUUAAGAACCGCGACUAAAGGCCCGUCCACGUGGGCGCCAGUCGGCCGUCGGGGCGGAGGACCUUUAGUCGCGGUUCUUCUGGCCAACCGCGAGUAAAGGCCGCCGCAGGUUUAGGGUUUUAGCCCCCCCUAAACCUGUUUUCUGUUUAAUUUGUAUUGUUUUAUUUCUUUUGUGCUUUAUUUUAAUUUUGAAGGAGUUUCACAUAUUCUACGGUACUACAUACAUGCAUAUGAAUGUACAAUUUCAAACAAAUUUGAAAUUAGAACCAAAAAGAAUUCAAGAGGAAUAUACAAUAUAUAUUCAAUAUCAUCGGAUGACCAUAUACAAUUUUGAACAAGUUUCCAUACAUAAUUUAAUGCAUAUAAAGUUCUACGUCCUCGUAAUGGUGUUCUCCUUUAGGAUGGAGGACUUCCCUCCUGAACCAUCCAGCUAGUUCCUCUUGAAGUGGUCGGAAGCGAGCUUCUGGACUAAGCAUCAUCCGGAGGUUAUUCCUCUGAGCAUUGGUAUCACUCGGAACCCGCUCAGAGGUGUAUCUCCGGAUCAUCUCACAGACAUAGUAUGCACAUAGAUUGGUCCCCGCUGGCUGAAUAUCCUCACCAUUCUUAGCCUUUGACCUUUUGAAUUCUAGCUCUUUUUUGAAUUCACCGACCUUUGUAUCUACGAACCGUCUCCAAACCCUACGAGGCAAAGAAAAUUAAAUGAACAAGAGAGUUAUUAGUUACUUGAUAUUAGGAAAUGAACGAAAUAGGCCGAUCGAUAUAGAGCGCAAAUGAAUGAAAAUAAUUACUUCUGCAGCAUUCUUCUCAUGCCUCCCCAAAGCUUUGGAUCCUUAUUCAGAGAGUCGUGGACGAGACAUUCUGAGGUGUCAACUUUAAUUACUAGCAGAAUCCAGUGGAACCUGCGGACACGAUACAUGCACAGUACGUCAUGCAUAACUCAUCGAUUAGCCGGCCACAUACCAUGCAUGGAGUAAACAAAAGAGAAUGUGCUCAAGACAGAAACACUCACCCAAAAUGGUAAGGAAAUAGAAUAUCACUUUUGAGUUCCUGCUUUGUAAGAAACUGCCACAGGUCUGGCUCCAUGUCGGCGGGGUGAUGCUCCAACACAUAUCCAUUAACAAUGUGUGGGUCAAUGAACCCAACAUCAUGGAUGUUCCUUACUCUGCAUUCCUUAAUCUUCAUUCUGCAUGUAUAAUAGAGGACACAACAAUAUAGUUAGGACAUAUAUAUAGUGCAGGCAAUAUGAACGAGAUGGGGUAGAAAUAAAUCACUUACAGAACGUAGCAACUGAUGAUAGAUUUGUCGAGCUCGCGCAUAUUGAAAAGCUGGAACAAUUCACUCAGAUGAAUUUGUACAUAGUAAUGUUUGAAGUGAUUCUCAUAUCUAACUUCCGCAUAAAUAUAUUCUUUGGCGUUUUCAUUUUUUAUGUAACCCUUGUAGCAUUUCAGCAGACCUUUCAUUUGUGGAGGUAGAUCCUCUUCCUGCACAGGCUCGACGAGAGGCCCAUUCUUCACAUAUGUAAUUACUACCUCCUUCACUGGCGCCUCAUCAAGGCCUAACAGUUCACGAAGAGUAAUACCUAAGUUGGCCGCUUGUUCUCUGGCACUCGUUACAGUCAAUCCAUGUGCUGCCGCAGCUGCUAUGAUAUCGGGGUCAUCCGGACCAGCGGCUUUCACUAUAAGCGGGGCAAUCGAUUGUUUACUUUGUUCCCCGAGCUGGGCAACUCGUUUCCCGCUUUUUUUACUUUCUAAUUCCGUUUCCUCGGCCUCCUCCAAGGCUUUGUUCUCCUGGUUCUCCGCCCGCUCUUUCUUCUCCUUCAACAUGAGUGCCUGCCUACGAAGUUCACGUGCAUAGUCGUCAGGCAGAUUCUUCGCGGCUUGGGACGGUGUGCUCAAAAAUGACUUAGCCCACUUCUUUUGCUCAUCAGAAAAUACUGGCUUGGGCUCAGGCUCUCUUUUCUUCUUGCAGUCCGCCUUCCAUUUCUCAUGAUCAGCAGCCGCGGCCGCGGCAGUUUCCUCGGCACUACGUUCCCAAGGCCUUGUGGGGAGAGGCUUCAGUGAUGGCUCCGGUACCUUUGUGGUCUUAGGUACAUAAGGGUCCGGGUUAAUAAUCCAGGACUGCUUCUGCUUCUUUGCCGGAGGUGGAUUGGGGGGCGGCGUCUGAUCACCCGCCGGACGAGGACUGGGGGGCGGCGUCUGAUCACCCGCCGGACGUUGUGGACUAGGGGGCGUCGGCUGACGUGAUGGAGGUGUAGGUGAACCGCCACCACCGUAGGGGGGGUGGACUUGUUGUCCUUGGCGCCUCGCCUGGAAACUUGAUAAACUUCUUUUGCCAUAGAAUGAAAUGGCGCUUGACAUCUCCAAGUCUUUUCUCCCCUUCAGGUGUAGCAAUGUCAAUCUCCAGGUCCUCAAACCCUUGGACUAUGUCCUCCACCGUGACACGAGCAUAGCCAUCUUGAAUGGGGUUGUUGUGGUGGAGUGCUCCAGGUAAACAUGGUAAAGCACUGCCGAUGGCUACCUUCAUGGACAUGUUCCCGAUAGGAUAAUACAGAUGACAUUCUUUCAUCUCCUUUAUAUCGUCCACGGGGUAGCGAGGAGGCUCCGGUGCAGUAAUUUCGACCACCAGAGGCUCCGGUGCAGUAAUUUCGACCACCAGAGGCUCCGGUGCAGUAAUUUCGAUCGUUGGUGCAUCUGCACCAGCCGGUGGGGCCUCCGUGGAAGCCACACUGCUUCUUCGCUGCUGGCUUCUGAGAUCCGCUGGAUGAUCUUCAUGCUGCGCCCGAGCUGCAUCUCUUUCGGCUACUAGUACACUCACGGUUUUCUUCAUCACAUCCAUUUCCGAUGCCAACCGCACCACAACAUCUGCUUCCCGAUCCAUCUUUCUCUUCCGGCUUCUGUAACCGUACGGGUCAUCAUUCUGGGGGAACCCUAUUUUCCACGGAAUGUGCCCCAUGCCUCGUACACGUCCUCCGUGUUCAGGAUUCCCGAGGGCUUUUGUCAGCGCAUCGUUCUCUCUGUUGAACUUGAUCUUCCCCUCUUGAGCAUCCCUCAUUGCGUCAAUAAGGGCUUGGGUGGGUUUAAUUAUUUUGCCCGGUAAACACACUCCCCUGUCUCCGGGUUCAGCGUUCCCCCAUGCCCGUACCACCAGCUUUUGGCCCUUGGGUCCCAUCCCUCCGUACCUGGACGGAUUCCUCGCGCCCUCAGCUCGUUCUCCAUCUUCUCCCACCUAGGCUCCCAAAGGCGAUACCCUCCUGGCCCCAUAAUAUGAUUGUACUCCUUCUUAGCCGCAUUUUCCUUAUUUUUUUUCGAUAUUUGAAUGAACUGCUCCAAUUUCUUUUGCUUCACAAAUUCUGGCCAAUCAUGUUUCAGUUUCUCAUAUUGUCCUUUGAAAUCCGGAGUCUUGUUCUGCUUGACAAAGUCAUGGGCUAGAUUUUGCUUGAAUUUCCGGAAUGCGUCGGCCAUCUUAUGAAGAGCGAACUGUUUGACUAGCCUCCUCCUCUCCUUGUUUUCCUCAAUCUUGUUACCCUCCUCAUCGAAUUUGUUGUAUUCCGGAGGUAGAACGAAAUGUUCCAUAAGCUUCUUGAAGCAAUCUUUUUUUGUUCUCUUAUCGACAAAAGUGAAACCAGCAAUUCGUGCCUUCUUUGGCUUAUUCCACUCCUGGACGGUGAUCGAGACGUUGUCUCUAACAACGGCUCCGCAUUGGUUGACAAACUUGGUGGCGUUCUUGCGGGGCUCCAGCGGCCUGCCGGUUGCACUGUCGACAACCUCGAUGGUGCAUGUUUCUCCUUGUUUCAUCGUCUUGGUUGCGCCACGCUUUGACAACGUACUCGAUUGUUUCGACGAUCCGGCCGAGGGCUAAAAUAAGAAAGAGAGUCGCGCGCGUUAGUACACACAUAUUUAUUCAAAUCAGUUAGUUUGUAUCACCAGAGGCUCAAUGUAUAUAUAUACUUCAGCGCCGGAGGUGGUUGCUACUUCCAUUUGAAGAUCGUCGUUUAUCGACGUUUGUUCGGCAUCAUCUUGCUGACGGCGCCCUUCAUCUUCACCGUCAAGGUUCAGAUAAGAAGAGAUAUCAUCUUCUUCUUGUCCGGUCGGCACAUAUAGAAUAUCGCCGUUUAUGAUGCCAAACAUAUGUGCUUCACCGUCCGGAUCAUAGUUGUCCAUAAUCGGGUCAGCUCUAUCGUCCGCCAUUAUGUCAGUCCUGAAAACAUGUAGUAAAAACAAAUUAAUUAAGUGAAGAAGGGGGGUGGUGGCGGUGGCGGUGGCGAAAGGGCGGUGGCAAAAGGAGGGGGCGAGGAAGGGGUGGGAGAGGGUGUCGCGGUAGAGCGCGAGACGGGGCGGCAGACGACGGCGUCACGGAGAGGGAGGCGAGGACAACACACAUGUAUAACCCUCGCCGCCCCCUCUCGAUCCCAAAAAAAAACACCGCGCGCAUCGCCGCCCCCCUCGCCUCCCCCUCUCCGUAUAUGCGCGGGGUCGUGUACAUUUUUUUAAAGCGGGAUCGUUGUACAUUGACGCGCGGGGUCGUUGUAUAUAUUGAUUAUCAAGUUUUACUUUUUUUGUUGUUAAUUAUCAAGUUUUAUAUACGUUUUUUUGUUAAUUAUCAAAUUUUACGGUUUUUUUGUUAAUUAUCAAGUUUUAAGUUAUUUUACCGUUUUUGUUAAACUAAUUAACUAGUUAAAAUUAAAAAGAACAAAAAAAAAGAAAAAAAAGAAAAAAUUCCGGUGGCCUGCGGCGCCCCUCUCUCUCUCCACGAUCUCGCUCUCUGUCUGAGACCGGUGGCCCGUGCGCGCGCGGCAGUACGGAGGCCGGCCGACNNNNNNNNNNNNNNNNNNNNNNNNNNNNNNNNNNNNNNNNNNNNNNNNNNNNNNNNNNNNNNNNNNNNNNNNNNNNNNNNNNNNNNNNNNNNNNNNNNNNNNNNNNNNNNNNNNNNNNNNNNNNNNNNNNNNNNNNNNNNNNNNNNNNNNNNNNNNNNNNNNNNNNNNNNNNNNNNNNNNNNNNNNNNNNNNNNNNNNNNNNNNNNNNNNNNNNNNNNNNNNNNNNNNNNNNNNNNNNNNNNNNNNNNNNNNNNNNNNNNNNNNNNNNNNNNNNNNNNNNNNNNNNNNNNNNNNNNNNNNNNNNNNNNNNNNNNNNNNNNNNNNNNNNNNNNNNNNNNNNNNNNNNNNNNNNNNNNNNNNNNNAGGGCGACGGCGGGCGGCGUCGAGGGCGACGGCGGGCGGCGUCGAGGGCGAGGGCGACGGCGGCAGGCCUUCGGCGCGGUGUUGAAUCGGAGAAGACGAGAAAGGGUUCGGGCCCUUGUAUUUAUAUCCCCCCCUUUAGUCGCGGUUGGGGAGGCGACCCGCGACUAAAGGGUAACCUUUAGUCGUGGUUGGGGAGGCCAUAUCAAAUACCUCAGCACCAGUGCGUUCUGCAGGCUUCGGCCGGUGAUCUGCCUUGCCGUUGUAAUGCUUGCCUUUCUUUCUUACUGGAUGAAUUUUCGGAAGAAAUCGACGAUGCCCAAGGUACACGUUCUUCUUACAAUUUGGCAAAUGUACACUUUCAGUCUCAUGUAAGCAGCGCGUGCAUGCAUUGUAUCCCUUAUUUGACAGUCCCGAAAGGUUACUAAGAGCAGGCCAAUCGUUGAUGGUUACGAAAGGCAACGCUCGUAGGUUAAAUUCCUCUUUUUUGUGCUCAUCCCACACACGGACACCAGGUCUGCCCCACAGCUGUAAAAGUUCAUCAACUAAUGGCCUUAGGUACACAUCGAUGUCGUUGCCGGGUUGCUUCGGACCUUGGAUGAGCACUGGCAUCAUAAUGAACUUCCGCUUCAUGCACAACCAAGGAGGAAGGUUGUAGAUGCAUAGAGUCAUGGGCCAGGUGCUAUGGCUGGAGCUCUGGUCGCCAAAAGGAUUCAUGCCAUCUGUACUUAGACCAAAUCUUAUGUUCCUUGCGUCAGCUGCAAAAUCUUUGAACUCUCUGUCGAUCUUUCUCCAUUGCGUUCCAUCUGCGGUGUGUCUCAACUCCCCGUCCGACUUACGGUCCUCUUUGUGCCAUCGCAACAACUUGGCAUGCUCUUUGUUCCUGAACAGACGUUUCGACCGUGGUAUUAUAGGAGCAUACCACAUCACCUUGGCGGGAACCCUCUUCCUGGGUUUCUCGCCCUCAACAUCGUCACCAGGGUCAUCGCCUCUGAUCUUAUAACGCAAUGCAGUGCAUACCGGGCAUUCAUUCAAAUUCUCGUAUUCACCGCGGUAGAGGAUGCAGUCGUUGAUGCAUGCAUGUAUCUUCAGAACCUCUAAACCUAGAGGGCAGACAACCUUCUUUGCUUCGUACGUACUGGCGGGCAACUCGUUAUUCUUUGGAAACAUAUUCUUCAACAUUUUCAGCAAGUUUUCAAAUGCCGAGUCAGCUACACCUGCCCGUGCCUUCCAUUUCAGCAAAUCCAGUGUGCAGCCCAGCUUUUUCAGACCAUCAUCGCAUCCGGGGUACAACGACUUUCUGUGAUCCUCUAACAUGCGAUCCAAAUUCUCCCUCUCCUUUUCAGUUUCGCAGCGUCUUCGUGCAUCAGCAAUGGUCCGACCAAGAUCAUCAACGGUCUCAUCACGUGCCUCUUCUUCACCUUCACCUUCCCCUUCACCUUCCCCUUCACCUUCAGCAUCCUCCAUGAAAGUAUCACCGAAAUGAGCAAGAUAGCUUUCAUCGAUGAAAUCAUCCCCUUCUUCAUCUUCUUCCAUUAUAACCCCUCUUUCUCCAUGCUUGGUCCAACAAUUAUAGCUUGGCAUGAAACCGUGCCGAAGCAGGUGCAGGUGAACUUCUCUUGAGGAAGAGUAACCCUUCUGAUUCUUACAGUCAACACAUGGACAGAUAACAAAACCCUUCUGCUUGUUCGCAUUAGCCACUACGAGGAAAUCUUUCAAACCCGUAGUGAACUCGCGGGAGAGUCGGUUACCGUACAUCCAUUGCCGAUUCAUCUGCAUUAUUAUAAUAUACAAUAUAUAAUUAACUAUCAUGCAUUUGUUAAACUAACUAGCUAUAAACAAUAGAAAUUAAACAAUGAACAACACACAUGCAUAUUUUAUCAAUGACACACAUGCAUGAAAGGUUCGAGUUGCUAACCGCGAUCGAGGAGGAAAAAAUAAAUGAGGAACCUCAAGUGUGGCUCCAACACUUCAUAUCAUGUUUGUUUCACCCUCUUGGGGCAUUUCAUCAAACACCUUGUGUGCAUAAGAGGAACCAAAAGCAAACCUACACCCCCUUGUGAAGCUUGUGAAGAGAAGUGGCACCAAAUGGCUAAGUGAGCGUGCUGAACUGGUAUAUAUAGGGGAGGAGCUUUAGUCGCGGUUGGCCUGGCCAACCGCGACUAAAGGCCUUUGGGCACCUUUAGUCGCGGUUGGCCUGGCCAACCGCGACUAAAGCCCCUCACGUGCACCAGCUGGCCACCGAGCGCCCUGGGCCCAGGCCUUUGGUCGCGGUUCGUCUGCCGAACCGCGACUAAAGACUUCAUUAGUCGCGGUUCCUACAGUUUUGCGACUAAUGGGGCUGGACGGAAGCCUCUUUUUCUACCAGUGGCGAUUGGAGGAAGCAUUGGUGGAGUCCUGACAGCAGCCGGGACAGUUCAGGUGAUCACUCGCUUCUUUUUUUUUCACUGAAACAUCAUCAUUUAAUUAAUUAAUCCUUGGUCUAUUGUGUUCCAGAAAUGAAUGAUGAGGUGAUUGUGCGUGUUGGUGCAGGUGAUUGUGGGGAGCUUCAUGUACGCGGGGUCGAAGAAGAGCAGGAAGGGCAAGGCCGGGCAGGAGUCUGCCGCGGCGGAGGAAGAACAGACCGGCGAUGCGAACGGGGGCUGGGGCAGGGGCGAAGAUGGAGUUGGAGGCGAGGCAUAGGAAGAGGGGCCUUCGCCGCUGAUGCCGAUGCCCCACGGAGAGGAGGAGCUGCCGUCAGACGCGAUGAUGAGCGGGUGGACGGGCAUGAUGCGGCAGAUGGAGUCGCGGUCCUGUGGCAUCGACAUCAACUCUAUCCGAGAGUGAAGGAUGUAGACUGUUUAAUUAGUUUGGUACGGCGGAAGUUGAGCCUAGUCUAGCUUAGCUAGUGGAUGAUGGAUGAUUCUAGGGUUUGGUUGGGUUGGUUGUGUUCCUCUCCUGCGUGGGUGUAAAAAGAAGUCUAGUUAGUAUAAUGAAUGUCAUCGUUGAGUAUGAUCAGUUUAACCGAUGAUGUUGGCGCCGGUCGGUCGGGCGGAUCUAUGAUGGAAAUAGUGGAUUCGGUUGUUGGUUGAUGGUCUGGUCUGGUAUGGUAUGGUAUGGUAUGAUGUAGUUAUAGGCAGCAGCAAUGAGCAACUUGUUUGUAGCUAGUCUCUUUCUUGGUUGCAGACAGACAGACAGACAAACUUUGACAGUUUUGUUUUCCUUUCUCUUCUUGUGUUUGCAUCCCUGUUGCUUCUUUCUUUUCCUUCUUACUAGCAAACAUGCUUGUGCGUUGCAACGGGAAAAUGCAGGGCGUGAAAUUAGGUUCAGACACAUAAAUAUUCUAGUGGUGCGAUAUCAAUCAUGUCCAACAUGUACCUUCAUGAUCCUAGCUAGCUACUCCAUCCGUUCCGAUUUACUCGUCGUGGUUUUAGUUCAAAUUUGAACUAAAACCAUGACGAGAAAGUAAAUCGGAACGGAGGCAGUAGAUAGCAUUGGCACCUUUUUUUUACCGUUAAAUAAUUUUUUCUUUAUCCGCAAAAAAAAUAUUAUUUUUCUUUCUCCACCCAUUAUCUCAACCUCAAUUCAAACCCGCCAUCGAAUAAAUGGAAGCAAUAGUCUUCGGUCACCUUACCUGGCACCUGGUGUCUUUGCCUAUUAGUUCUAAAUAUGCAAGAAGUUUUUCCAUACUGCAAGAAUUUGUCAUCAAGCUUGAUGCAUAAAGAAUUUGUCACCUAGAGUUAACAAAAUCUUUUGGUCUCUGAUGCCAUGAACCAGAGGAGAGAGCCUUGUGCAUGCUGGUGUCGGAAGCAAUGAGCGUCUUGCAGAACAUGCGGGGUGCUUUCACGUCAUCGCUGUCCUCUUUGUUGGGGCGGGGUGCUUCAAUAGUGUCAGUCCCAAAUUUCCUCGUUGUUCCCUUCUAGUCCUACACUCCUACUUCAAGCAUCCACCUUAUUUUAACCAUUAGCAGCACAUACUCCCUUUGUUCCGAUUUACUCGUCGUGGUUUUAGUUCAAAUUUGAACUAAAACGACGAUGAGUAAAUCGGAACGGAGGAAGUACUUUUGAUGAUUCAAGUGACAUUAACCGCAUCUGCCUUCCUGUAACCAUUACCAGCGCAUAUCUUUGAUGACUCAACUGACAUUAACCAUGUCAAAUUCAGAUAGUGCGCCAAUCCCUCCCUCCCCGCCCCAACCACCAGCGACCCUUUUGUGUUUGGGCAAAUCACUGCCUCUUCUCUCCUAUCGGGUGUGGGAUUGUUUUCACAAGAGUAAUGCACUGAAGAUAAAUACCAUCAGGUAGGUAGUAUCCUUUGUUAUAGUGGUGACCAUUGAUCUUAAUAUUGAACUCUGGGCAGUUGCCUUCUACAAGCCUUUCAAACACCAGAGAACGCUAAAGCACGUUGAUGUCAUUGUGAGAGCCGGCCGUGCCAAAAAAAGAGUACCAAAUUCAAAGAUCUUGUGAAGCACGGCCUCAAGUAUGACAUUGCAAACUUUCACAUGACCUCUAGACUGCCCCUGCCAAGCAGAUGUGCAGUUCUUCCACUUGCAGUGCUUACAAUCUGUGUGCGACCAAGCAUCCUCGGAAAGCCCCUAUCUGCAUUGAUCGCCAACAACCUGGUGCAACAGUUGGCUCUCUCAAGUACUCCCGGCCAAGCAUCACUAGCACAAUCUUGCAGAACCUGUACAUGAAUUCUAGGCACGUGGCCUCACUCAUGCAGACAUACCCAUCAAUUAGAUCACAUGGUAUUUUGUAUGCAAGCACCGAAUAGCUGCAGUGCAUUUCUGCUAAGAGGAGAAGCCAACCUCUCCCAGAGGCGUCCUCCUUGCAUAUGAAAUAAUCAUCGUAUGCCACAACCCUUCGUGAAUACGAGAACACAUGUCUAGCCAUCUGGAAGCGGCGCCGAAAUAGCUUGUGUUUGAAGAGUGGGGAAGAGGACUUGAAGUAGUCUUCGGCUCUCUCUAUUGCGAUUCAACGCCGGAGCAUGGUCGAGAUUGAGCCCCUAAAUGUGGUGAUCGGCGUUGCUCAAUCGGCCCAAAAUAAAUUCCCCAAAAGCCCAAUCAACCCUGCAACAAAACACCCCAUCUUUCUCCUUUCUUCCGCCGCCGCUAGAGUUUCCUCUUCUAGUUAGGGUUUCCUCGAUCCCCAAUUUCCCCACCCCAACCCUAGCUCCGAUCCACCCGAUGGCGGCCGCAGAGGGCAAGAAGAAGAUCAUCAAGCUCAAGAGUUCAGACGGUAAGGAGUUUGAGGUGGAGCAGGCGGUGGCCAUGGAGUCGCAAAUGAUCCGGCACAUGAUCGAGGACGACUAUACUGACAAAGGCUUGUUGCUCUGCAAUGUCAACUCAAAGAUCCUCUCCAAGGUCAUUGAGUACUGCAACAAACACGUCCAAGCAAAGGCCGUCGACACAUCUGAUUUUGGUGGAGGAGCUAGGCCGUUAGAUGCUACAUCGGCUGUGCCUGCGGCGCCCGCAGAGGACCUCAAAAACUGGGACGCCAAUUUCGUCAAGGUCGACACGGCCACCAUAUUCGACCUCGCACUGGUGUGAUUACUUUCCAUCCUUUGAUUUGUUCCUUGACAUUCUCUAGAUCUAUCUUUUUACUAUCCCCCAUUGAUGGAAUCAAGAUUGUUUUUGUUUAGUGUGGCUUGUUACUUGUGUCUGAUUGAGAUUUGCAUAGAUUGGAAUAUGUCCUCGUACCUUCAUCAAGGUAGAUUUGACUCGAUUGUAUUAGGUUAGGUUACACAAUGGAUUAGGUUUAGGUCACAAAGAGUUGUUAUUGGCGAUGUAGAAAGCGGCCGACCAUACAUACUAACCCUAAUAGCUAGGUUCGGGCAUUAUCUCGGGAGCUAUAUUAGUUUACAGUUCCAUGUUCAUCUGGUCUAAUAUGCUUCACUAUAUAUGAAUAACCUAGAAACAUUUUAAAUUAUUAGAUUCACUAUCAUUUUGUUUGUAAAUUACAUAUACGGGAUGAUGAUUGAGUGGUUUCUCUUUCAAUAACUUGCGGAAACAUCAGACCACACAGAGCAAUAUAUGGUCUGUUGUUUCUAUAUUUGUCACUGUUGUUUCUAGAUUUGAACCAUGCAUGAAUGUCCAUAUCUAGUGUGAAAUUAUGAUCUUGUAUGCUAGACUUUAGUAGAUCUGCUCUGAAUUUGUUUAGUUAUGUUGGUUUAUCAUAGAUAGGGUGGCAUGUCGCAUGUGUCAUCCUUAGUUAUAAUACAUAAAUCCAAUAUCAUACAUUACUACUUUGAUAUUUGUAAUUAUGCAUUGUAGAUCACACACUUCUUUCUAAUUUUGCUAUCUAUAUCUUUAUUAUCUUAUAGGUUUCACUACUGGUCCAUAUGUCAACAAUGAAUGCCUUUUUCUUCUAUCUAGCAUCGAGUUACUAUUUAUUUUGCUGUAUACAUAGUGAUAGCUAAAUCACAUGAUCAUGCUAAUGUUUCUAACUUUGUAUCAAAUAUUUAUGAUCUCAACUAAUCUUUUAGAUACCACUAUUGAUCCAUGUCAUCUACGAAUGCCUUCUUCUAUCUAGUAUUGGUUGAGUAUUAAUUGUGGUUCUAUUAACAUUACAUCCUUGUAGCUAGAUCACGAGAUGAUACAUUGUGCCUGUCCAUGUUAGAAGUGAUGAUGCUUUCCAUCGUUUGAAGGGAAACCACACAUGACUUCCCAUGGCCACUAUAAAAUCUUGAUCUAGUUUGCAAGAGUUUAGCACUAUUUACUUUUAGUUUCUUUUCUUAUAGUUAUCUUAUUUUAUCAUAGAUAAGAUUUGUAUCUCACAUGUGGCAUCUUCACUUGCAAUACAUAUUCCAGUUUCAUAUAUUACUGACCCCUAAACACAUGUUUUGUGUUGUGGUUUGAUUUUACUAUGAUAGAUAACUAUGUUUCUAACUUUAUUGUUAUCGCUGCCUUUAUCAUCUGAGCAAAUCUUUUAAAUGCCACUAUAUUGAUCCAUAUUGGCUAUGAAUGUGUUCAUCUGUGUAUCAUUGCUUGAUUGAUGAUUGUGGUGUACUAGCCAUACAUGUUGAUAUCCAAAUUAUUGGAUGAUGAAUGCAAUUGCCAAUGCAUUUUGAGAAGUGGUGCUUGUCAUCUGAACCCAUGUAGCUUAUGCACUUACAAAAUUAUCAUUUAUCAUGUAGGAAUGUAUGUAGCUGUGUCUGAUCUCACUCUAUUUUGUGACAGUUAUGUUAACUUUUCUUGACUAUCGAUCCAUUUAUGUUAACCCAUGUUAUGGUCUUUGAAUGAAUAUCUUUUGAUUAUUGCACACCUUGUUUUGUGUUUUAGUUUGUCGCAAAAACCUCUAUGUAGGUGGUAUAUGUAAUUAUCCAUGUUUUUGUAAACCAAUGCUUCGCUCUGACGCACCAUUAUUCCUUUUGCUCUUUUGCCCCCUCUCAGGCUGCGAACCACCUCAACAUCAGGGGGCUCCUAGACUUGACUUGCCAGACCGUCGCCGACAUGAUCACGGGAAAGACGCCAGAGGAGAUCCGCAAGAUCUUCAACAUCAAUGAGAAAUUAAGACCCGAGGAGGAGGAGAAGAUCCGCAGGGAAAACCAGUGGGCCUUUGAGUAGAGGAACAUCUAGGCCGCACUGAAGUAAUGAACACUUAGUAUUACCCAUGUCUACAUUUCAGUGUGCUUGUUUAUGUCAUAAUGGUUGUAAUGAACCAAGAGUCUAUAAGGUGGUGUUGGUGAACUUAUUCAGUGGUUAUGUUUGCAAAAACAAUAUGGUGGUCAUUAAUUAUCAUUUGUCAAAUGAAUCGUUAUUGUCAAGUUGAUGUUUUGCUUGCUUAUCAUUAUUUUUUCACUGAUUUCCACCAUGUGAUUUGGGCUUCUUCGUUGGUUAUUCAUGUGUGUUUUGUUCAUCGAUCAAGAUGCAUGGAUGCUCUUGUUACUUAAGACACGGUCCUUGUUCUUCCCCUUUCUCUUUACAAUCCUAAUAAAAUAAAAAUAAAAGUUGUUGCUUAAAUUAUUUGAGGGAUCAAACUAAUUUCAGAAGACCUGAAAUUUUUAUGGUAACCACUUAUGACCAUGGCAAGGCCACACUAAAACAUAUAGGGUUUUAGGAUUAUAUUUACAAUUUUUUACAAAAAAUCCAUUUAAAUGAAUAAACGAGUGAUGUUAUUCUCUACUGACUGCAGAACCACGCCGCACCAGAAUCAGUUAACCCUCGUACACCUCUCCGUCUGUGACUCCACUGCCGUGUCUUCCCAUCACCGGCUCGUUGCCGUCCUGGGCCUCGCCGUCGUCCAUCGCCUUGGUGCGCUCGGCACGGCGUGGUCAACAAACGAGAUUCAUCGGAAGAGGAUUAUACAUGGAGAGGCUGACAGUGGGGACGCACCAGGUCCAUGGAUGCACACUGCAACCGCCUCCUUCUUACGCGAAAAUAAAAAUUAUUCCUCCCCAUGAAAGCUGGGAGCCACCACGUAUAUCUUCGCAAGGAAGGAAGUGCCUCCUUAUGCCUGCUCCUGACAGCUGGGACCCACCAACAACAUCUUUGCUCCCAAGGAAGUGACUCCUUAUUAUGGGCAAAAACCUCUGACCACUGGGACGCACAGGCUAUAUAUUCCACCUCCUUGCCCCCCGACAGCUGGAACCCACCUGGUCGAAGCAUACGUAGCAUUGUCUGUGUACAUAUCGGUCGAUCGGUCUGUUUGCCACGAUGAACCAUGUCCGAGUAAGGAGCGGUAGCAGUUGAGGCAGUCCAGUCAAAACUGCGUACACAUACGUACAGCCAGAUGCCGAAAAAUACAUCCACGUACAUACAUACGGGUGGGGUCUCGAACACGUACUCGCGCAUACGCACGGCGAGGGCUCGUGUACAUGGAGAGUGAAAGGAUCGAUAUGGUUGACUAGAGGGGGGGGGUGAAUAGGCAACUAACAAUUUUUAAGCUUUUCUUUAACAAAUUAAACCUUGCGACAAAAUAGGUUGUCUAGAUAUGCAACUAAGUGGACAACCUAUAUGAUGCAAAGACAACUAGCACACAAGCAAGCAAUAGAUACAAUACAAGUAAGCUUGCAAAAGUAAAGGCACGAAAUAACCAAGAGUGGAGCCGGUGGAGACGAGGAUGUGUUACCGAAGUUCCUUCCUUUUAAGGGGAAGUACAUCUCUGUUAGAGCGGUGUGGAGGCACAAUGCUCCCCAAGAAGCCACUAGGGCCACCGUAAUCUCCUCACGCCCUCACACAAUGCGAGAUGCCGUGAUUCCACUAUUGGUGCCCUUGAAGGCGGCGACCGAACCUUUACAAACAAGGUUGACGCAAUCUCCACAACACUUGGAGGCUCCCAACAACACCACGAAGCUUCACCACAAUGGAGUAUGGCUUCGAGGUGACCUCAACCAUCUAGGGUGCUCAAACACCCAAGAGUAACAAGAUCCGCUAGGGAUUAGUGGGGGGAAUCGAGUAUCUCUUGGUGGAAGUGUAGAUCGGGGCCUUGUCACCCAAUCCCGAGCAAAUCAACAAGUUUGAUUGGCUAGGGAGAGAGAUCGGCCAAAAAUGGAGCUUGGAGCAACAAUGGAGUUUAGGGUUAGAAGAGGUGAGUCUUCUUGGAGAAGAAGACCCCCUUUUAUAGUGGGGGACAAUUCCAACCGUUGCCCACCACUCAGCCCGCGGCCCACGGAACUACCGCUCCACAGGCGCGGUACUACCGCACUGGCGUGCGGUACUACCGCGGUGGACCGCGGUACUACCGCGAGCACGGCAGAGACCUGACCAGGCAAAAAGGAGCACCGACAGGGCGCGGUAGAUCCGUAGGAGCGGUACUACCGCGGCCCCAUGCGGUACUUCCGCAAGGCAGACACGGGCCAGGCCUGGUAGGCACAGAUGUAAAAAAUUACAUCCGUGACUACCUCCGCUAAGAAAAAUGUCGUGCAAAAAUCCAACACGAAAUUACCGCGAUCGAGGGUGCGGUACUACCGUGAAGGGUGCGGAUGUAAAAAAUUACAUCCGCCCCUACCUCCGCUCCUGCUCCGGAACCUGGCCUGGUGCCACGGUACUACUGCGCCACAGCACGGUACUACCGCGGGGAGCGCGGAUGUAAAAAAUUACAUCCGUGUCUACCACCGCUUGAGAGCGGUGCCAGACCAGAGCUCGCGGUACUACCGCUCGGAAGAGCGGUACUACCGUGGGAUCCUACGGUACUACCGUGCCGGAGCCCGGUACUACCGCUUGCUCCUGCGGUAGUACCGCUCACAAGAGCAGUACUACCGCUAGCCUGAGAAGAGCAAGACUGAGGCCUUCAUUUCGCAGAGACACGAUGAGCCGGAGGAACACUCCGAGGAGCUCGAGGAAAGGCGGUGCAAAAGGGAAUGUGUACGUGAGAUUCCACCCAAUCCUUUACAAAGCGGACCCCCUCUUAAUAGUACGGCUUUCCUAUGACUCAACUCCACUGAACCAAACUGUAGAGAAAGGCCGUCUUCUAUAAUCUCCGAGGGGCAUCAAAUCGUCUUGUGUUUAGUCGUGAUAUAUCUGAAAAGCUCAAUACACACGAUUAGUCCGCAAAGGCAUUGUCAUCAAUCACCAAAACUACAUAGGGACAAGAAUGCACUUACAAUCUCCCCCUUUUUGGUGGAUUGAUGACAAUACGGGAUUUGCACAAAUGAAAUGAAUAUAGCAUAGGCAAACCCCACAACUUCUAAAAUAUAGAUGAGCUCCCCCUAGAUUCGUGCUAGAGAGUAAAGUGCUUUGGACUGCACGGAACGAAUACUAGGAGCACCACUCCCCCUAUAUUUUAGAAACAAAGCAUAUCUUGCAAUAGUAAGGCUGACACUAGACAUGAUAUGAGCAUAACAUGAAUAGCAUGAUAAGCACAAGCUCAAUAAGGAGAUAACGAGAGAGUGCAUAUGUCUUACACCAUAUGAUAGACUUAGUCUCACGAGCACAACCAAACCAAAGCAAGCAGGUUCAACAACGGAAAGCAAAGCAAAUGACGAAACACACGACACACACACAAAUCCUACACUCUCUCCCCCUUUGGCAUCGAGACACCAAAAAGGCAGAGAGGUCACCUACAACGCAGGUGGUAGCUCAGGCGGAAAACGACUCAUCUCGCCAGACUCCGCAGCAGGAACAUACUCCUCCUCUGAAUCGCUCCAAUGGAAGCUCUGCUUCGCCAUCCAGGCAGUCUCUGGGGUGAUGUGCUUCUCAGAGCCGCUUGCCACGUCCUCCCCGCAAGCCCUCAAGAUCCUGAUGUCGCGACGGCGACUCUCCUUCUGAGCAACAUGGGCCUUGUACUGCCCCUGAACCUGCAAGAAGAACAACCUCUUCAUCUUGUCCUUCAGCUUCUUUGCCCAAGAAGGCUCAGCAGAGGGAGGCGUGAACGCAGAACGAUCCUCAGCAGCGUCUUCCUCCUUAAUCUCCUCCUCAUCAACAACCAUCUUGGCAGCCUCUGCAGCAGUGGUGGUAUUAGCCCAUUGGGGCUUGAUGCGAAGCUUGAUGGGCUCAUGCCGAAUCUAGCCUGGUGCUUCAAACUCCUCAUUGGGGAGGAGCUUCUCCCACGUCUUGGAGAUCAGGUAAAACAGAUAAGGCCCAUAGAUGGGGACCUUAUGGUUGAACACGGCGAACUGAAGCUCACACCACAUGAUAUGUGAGACAUCAAGUGGCUGAGUCUGAGCCUGACGGGCCUCCUCACAAAGAAGCAUCAUGUCAAUGAGAUAAGCAUGCACCUGUCCCAUGUCACCAAUGCGCGGGAAGAGCGUGUUCCGGAAGAGCCUAUGCAUGAUGUCAAGGAAGGGGUUGAGCACCCAUGCCUUCUUCUUGUUAGGAAGCGUCUUCUCAACAAGGUAUGUCAUGAGCUUGUUCUUGUUGGCAGAGUCAGCAUUGGCAUGAGGGCGAACUCCAACUGGCGUGUUGAGUCCUUCAUCGGGAACAAGGAGCAACUCCAUGAACUCCUUCUAGGUAGCAGACAACUGUCGACCAUUGGUCAUCCAAGUCAUGGUCCUCUCUUCAUUGACGUCGAAGUGGACCGAAGCAAAGAACUGUGCAACGAUCUUUGGAUCAAAGUCCUUGUGGAAGGUGAGAAUGUGUUCAAUGCCGAACUACUCCACAAGAUCCAAGGCCUCUCCAAAGUACCCACGGUGCUUCUCCUGCCUCAUGUGAGUCAUGUGAAUCUAGUGAACUUCAACAUUGUGAUUCUGCUUGGCCUUGAUCACAUCCAUAUAGAUCAGAUUCUGCUGCUUGUUCCAGAAGAGUUCAUUGCCCCGCGUGCUAGACUGGGGAGACACAUAAGGAUUGAUCUUUCUUCGAAUGACAAAUUCUGCCUGGGGCAUCUCAUCCAUGCCCAUGACGGGCUCCUUCCGUUUCCUGGCGGUAUGCUUGGUCCUGCGUUGGGGAGCAGCAGAGGACCCCUCUGGAACAUCAUCUGGGUUGCGCAGACGCUUGGACCCUGUGUCACGGCUGGGAUUCGAGCGGCGAGGAAAACCGGAGCCACCACCUAGACAUAAAGACACAAAGACACACACGGGAACAAAAUGAAUCAAAAACAAACGAAAGAAAACACAAACACAUGCGACUUGGACAAAAGACAAAACGGCACAGGAUGAUCUACGGUAGUACCGGGCGGGGUUCCGGAUGUAAAAAAUUACAUCCGCGCCAACCGCGGAAGUACCGUGCCGCGGAAGCACGGUAGUACUGUGCGUGGGGCGGAAGUAAUUUUUUACUUCCGGACGCCCAGCGGUAGUACCGCACCAAGGUGCGGAAGUACCGCGGAGUAUCAGAUCUAGAAGAGGCUGCGGUAGUACCGCUCCAGGAGGAGCGGUAGUACCGCACGAAAGGAAAAACUGCCAUUAAGGACGCGGAUCUGGAUCUAGAACCUCCGCACGACAACUUCGGUACUACCUUUGAUCAAACGGAACUAUUUUGACUAUCCAAAGAGCAUGCAACUACUCUACCACACUACAACGAAUCCCACUUGCACAGAUUUAGCCAAAAAUCUCAAGAACACCACAUGCAUCUCCCCAAAACCUAGAAACACAAGGAAGGACAAAAACGAGAGGUAUUUGGGGAAAAACCUGGGUCCAUGGCAAGAGGGCGAGGUGGGGAGCGAUCCCACCGGUCGGAAUCCGAGGAGAGCUGCCGGAGAAGGAGAUCCGGCGAAGGCCUCCGGUGCCGUUCUUGGUCAGGAGAGAGAGAGACGGGGUGGGGAAAAGAGAUGAAUGGGUAUGGGGGAGUUAGAACUCCCCCUGUCCUGCUCUUAACCCCCACCUGCUCGCGUGGGCGUGGAAGUACCUCGGGUCAUCACGGUAGUACCGCCCGGGCGGAAGUACCACAUGCUGGGCGGUAGUACCGCUUGUUCAGCGGCAGUAAAAAAUUUCUGCGGCGGAAGUAGCGGUAGUACCGUGCCCUUGGAGGGCCACGCACUUGGAGAGACCCACCAACUCCUGCGGUAGUACCGUGGCACACCACAGUAGUACCGUAAACCAAGAAAGAGCUAGGACGCAAGAGAGAAGAAGGAGGAAAAAGCAAAACACCCACCGGGGAAACACCAACCAACACGAGAGAGAAAACAACUUCUCCAAGGAAGGGCGGUGGCCGGAGCCACCUAUAUUUGAGUCAAUUGGUAUGGCACCGCAAAGAAUUAUCCUUGGGUCCAUGACCAAAACUCGUCUUUGAAGCACAAGUACCAUAAAAAAUGGCUAAUGUGAAAGAGUUGAUUAGUAUAUGCAUAAUGGGGGAGGAAGAGUUCAUUGAUAGAACAACAGUCCCCCUAUGUCCAUGCCUACAUCUAGACUAGACAACAAGUAGAGUGAGGAGGGGUGUGCACGGGCUCAAGUCACAUUGCUCGAAUCAAUGAUAUUUAGCUCAUGCCUUAACUCGGAAAAUCUUGCUUCAUCCAAGGGCUUCGUGAAAAUAUCUGCAAGGUUAUCAUGAGUGUUGACAUACUUGAGCUCGAUCUCCCCUCGCCUAAUGUGAUCCCGGAUGAAGUGAUACCGAAUCUCAAUAUGCUUCGUCUUGAAAUGUUGCACCGGGUUGAGAGAAAUCUUGAUGGCACUUUCAUUGUCACACCAAAGAGGCACUUUGUCACAAAUGACACAGUAUUCCUUUAAAGUUUGCCUCAUCCAUAAGAGUUGUGCACAACAACUACCAGCCGCCACAUAUUCUGCUUCGGUGGACGAGAGAGACACACAACUUUGCUUCUUGGAAGACCAACUCACCAAAGAGCAACCAAGAAAUUGGCACCCUCCGAAAGUGGACUUCCUAUCCACUUUGUCUCCCGCCCAAUCGGAAUCCGUAAAUCCUUCAAGCUUGAAGUUUUCUCCUCUUGGGUACCAUAGGCCAAAGUUUGGGGUAUGAGCCAAAUAUCGAAAGAUUCGCUUGACUGCCACAAAAUGGCUUUCCUUCGGUGCGGCUUGAAACCGUGCACACAUACCCACACUCAACAUGAUAUCCGGUCUAGACGCACAAAGGUAAAGCAAGGAUCCAAUCAUAGAGGGAUAUACCUUUUGGUCCACCGCUUUACCAUUGGGAUCAAUGUCAAGUUGGCACUUGGUAGGCAUUAGAGUGGAAGCCGGCUUGACAUCACUUAGCUUGAAUCUCUUAAGCAUGUCUUGAGUGUAUUUGGCUUGGUUGAUGAAGGUACCUUCUCUUCUUUGUUUGAUAUCAAAACCGAGGAAGAACUUCAACUCUCCCAUUGAAGACAUCUUGAACUUAGAGGUCAUGAGAGCGGCAAAUUCUUCAUUGAAAGCUUUGUUAGGGGAACCAAAGAUAAUGUCAUCAACAUAUAGUUGGCACACAAACAACUCCCCUUUGACCUUCUUAGUAAAAAGAGUGGGAUCGAUUUGCCCAACUUCAAAUCCACGAUCUUGUAACAACUCGGUAAGGUGGUCAUACCACGCACGUGGGGCUUGUUUAAGGCCAUAGAGUGCCUUAUCAAGUUGAUACACAUGAUCCGGGAAGUAAGGAUCCUCAAACUCGGGGGGUUGCUUCACAUACACCAACUCAUUAAUAGGACCAUUAAGAAAAGCACUUUUCACAUCCAUUUGUUGUAACUUAAAGUUAUGAUGGGACGCAUAAGCAAUCAACAAACGGAUGGAUUCAAGGCGAGCAACGGGAGCAAAGGUUUCACCGUAGUCGAUACCCUCGACUUGGGAGUAGCCUUGUGCUACCAAUCUUGCCUUGUUGCGAAUGAUGUUCCCAUGAGCAUCUUGCUUGUUCUUGAAAAUCCACUUGGUUCCAAUGACGUUGUGGUUCCCCGAUGGCCUUGGCACCAAUCUCCAAACCUUGUUGUACUCGAAGUUGUUGAGUUCUUCAUGCAUGGCAUUGAGCCAAUCCGAGUCUUCGAGCGCCUCAUAGACCUUUUGGGGUUCAACACAAGAGACAAACGCGUGAUGUUCACAAUAGUUUGCUAAUUGUCUACGAGUGCUUACCCCCUUUCUUAGGCUUCCAACCACAUUUUCCAUGAGGUGGCCUUUGGUGGUGAGUUUGGAAGCAAUCUUCACGGCACGACGCUCUAAUUCUUCCUCGGAUGUGGAAGGAGGAGGGUUAACUUGAUUAUCUUGAGCGACGUCUUGAGCUUGUUCUUGAUCUUGAGUUUGCUCAUGAUCUUGAAUCUGCUUGAGGGGGAGAACUUGACCUUGGGCAUCAUUUGGAGGUUCACAACUAUCUUGAGAUUGAUCUUGCCCUUGGUCUUGUUCACGAGGUUGAGGGCCUUCAGUUUGUUCUUCGGAAGAGUGUGAGUCUUGAGUAGGUGAAGGCUCCACUUGAGUGGAGCAUUGUCCUUCUCCUUCGGCCACAAGGGGUUCCUCAAUGGGUAGAAUAUGACCAAUACCCAUUCUUCUUAUGGCUUGGGGAGGAAUUUCAUCACCUACAUCACAAGUACCACUUUGCUCCACUUGGGAGCCAUUAUUUUCGUCAAACUCCACGUUACACAUCUCCUCAAUGAGUCUGGUGGACUUGUUGAGAACACGGUAAGCACGAGAGUUUGUAGGAUAACCAACAAAUAUGCCCUCAUAAGCUCUAGCCUCAAAUUUAGACAAACGAACACCUUUCUUGAGAAUGAAACACUUACACCCGAAUACUCGGAAGUACUUGAUAUUGGGCUUGUUUACGGUGAGUAUCUCAAAAGGAGUCUUGUUCAAGCCUUUGCGGAGAUAGAGCCGAUUGGAUGCAUGACAAGCGGUGUUGAUGGCUUCGGCCAAAAGUUGUAUGGAGACUUGAACUCCGCCAUCAUGGUCCUUGCCGCAUCCAUCAACGUCCGGUUCUUCCUCUCCACAACACCAUUUUGUUGAGGGGUAUAUGGUGCAGAAUGUUGAUGCUUGAUCCCCUCAUCACUAAGAAACUCAUCCAAGGUGUAGUUCUUGAACUCGGUGCCGUUGUCACUUCUUAUUGUCAAGAUCUUUGCAUUAUGUUGACGUUGAGCUUCAUUUGCAAAGUUGAUGACGGUUUGUUGAGUCUCACUCUUCCUCUUGAAGAAGUAUACCCAAGUGUAUCUUGAAUAAUCAUCCACAAUCACCAAGCAAUACUUUCUACCCCCAAGACUAUCAAAGGAUGGAGGCCCAAAGAGGUCCAUGUGAAGGAGCUCCAAGGGUCUCUUCGAGUAGAUGAUAGUCGUGGGAGGGUGAGCUGUCUCAUGAAGCUUUCCUUCAAUACAAGCACUGCAAGCACGAUCUUUGGGAAAACUAACAUUUGUUAGUCCACGGACAUGGUCCCCCUUAAGAAGACUUUGCAAAGAUCUCAUAUUGGCGUGGGCUAAACGGCGAUGCCAAAGCCAUCCCACAUCAACUUUAGCCAUUAGGCAUGUCGCGGUCUUAGUGGGUUGCUCCGAAAAGUUAAUCACAUAGAGACCAUUCUCGACAUGCCCAACAAAGGCUACUUUAAGAGUCUUGCUCCACAAGAGGGCCAUGGUAUCAAUAUCAAAGAAGGUGGCAAAGCCCAUGAGUGCAAGUUGAUGAACGGAAAGUAAAUUGAACGCAAGGGACUCAACAAGCAUGACUUUCUCGAUCGUUAGAUCAUGAGAAAUGGCAACCUUGCCAAGACCCAAUACCUUAGAAUGUGAGGCAUCACCCCACUCGACAUAGGUGGGCAUAGAUGGGAUCUUUUGCACGUCCACCACCAAGUCCUUGCUCCCGGUCAUAUGAUUUGUUGCUCCACUAUCGAGCAACCAUGAUCCCCCACCGGAAGCAAACACCUAUAAGAGAUCAAUUCUUGGUUUUAGGUACCCAUUUAGUAAUGGGUCCUUUGAUGUUAGUAACAAGGGUCUUAGUCACCCAAAUAGACCAUUCAAUGUACUCAUAAGAAGAACCAACAAAUUUAGCAUAAACAUGCCCAUCACUAGCACGGCACAACACAUAAGAGGGGUUAAAGUCGCCGGCUUUGUUGGGAGAGAUGGCUUUGCCCUUUUUGGCAUCACCACUCUUCGCAUUGUUCUUCUUCUCCUUAGGAUCACCCUCUCCCUCCUUCACAAAAGUUUGCUUAAGCGGGGGAGGUUGUUUGGUCUUGUUAUUCUUCUUCUCGUUCUUCUUCUUGUUCUUGGACUUGGGUGAGAACCCAACUCCCUCCUUGCCCACAACUUCCUUUUGAUUGCUCAAAAGGUCAUUUAGGUUCUUCUCACCUUGUAUGCAUGACACAAGACCUUUCUCGAGUUGUUCCUUCAACUUGGCAUUCUCCUCCACAAGAUGCACAUGCUCACAACACGGGUUAGUAGCAUUUGCAUUAUCAAUUAAGACCAUGUGAGGAAAUGUGGCCUUUUCCUUGGUUAGCUUAACUUGGAGUUGAGCAUGAGACUCCUUGAGGUUUGCAUGAGCACCUUUCAAGACCUUAUGGGCCUUGUCAAGUACAUCAAACUCCUCCUUGAGUCUAGCAUGAUCAACCCCAAGUUUAGCCUUCUCGGAAGUUAGCACACAAGACACAACAAGAGCAUGAUCAAGAUCUUUCUUUAAUUUGGCAUGGCCAUCGUUGUGUGACUCCUCAAGAGCCAAACGAUGCCCAUGCUCUUCCUCAAGAGCAUUAGAGAGAUCCGAUAUCUCAUCGGCAUAGUCACGACUAUGACCUUCCAUCUUAGAGAUGCUCAUUGUCGGCGGUCUUGUCCAAGAUGCUCAUUGCAAUGAACUCAUCCAACACUUCGCUUGAGGUCAUGGAGUGGAAGUCCGGUCUUUGACGAAUGACGGAGGACAUGGCCUUGUUGUAGGGCAUCAUGGCCUUGAGGAACUUGCGCUUGAUCCAAUUGUCAUCCAUGUCCUUGCUCCCAUGAUCUCGGAGUGAGACCGCGAGUUUGGUCACUCUUCGGAAGAGCUCACGAGGUUCUUCAUCUUCUUUCAUUGCAAACUCAUCGGCUUCAUCUUGCACCACUUCAUAGUUGGAGCAUUGAAUGCUAGCACUUCCUCGAUAAAGAGACACAACACAUUGCCAUGCGUCUUUAGCCACGGCAUGAGGUCGAAGAUGAGGGAGAUCUUCGGGAAGGAUUGCAUCUUGGAUGAUGAAGAGAGCACUCUCAUUGAAUUGAUUAUCCACGGCUUCUCGAGGGGUGAAGUUGCUUGGGUCAUGUGGAUAGAAACCUUCUUCUAUGAUUCUCCAAAGAUUAGUAUUCACAUGUUUUAAAUGACGCUUGAAACGAUAAACCCAAGAAUCAAAAUCCUCAUUUUUCACAAUCUUAGGAGGAGGACCGGCAUGAUUUAAAUGAGUAGAGGGAAUCGGUCCACCAUAAGUAGGAGGUUCCACAUGGGCAUAGAUGCCGGUGCCAUUUCUACCACUAGUAGAAGGACCCUUUUCACUAUUAGCUUCCCCCUUGUCGGAGUUAGCAUCCGUCACCUUGUUAGUGGGAUCACCCACUUUCAUCGGCGAGGUGGAUAGUUUAAGUCCUUCUAGGAAUUUAGUAAACAUGCUUUCAAUCUCGGUCGUCAUGGAGGUUUUCAAUGUGUCUAAAGCCACAUUGAAUUCCUCAUGGGAGACCGAGGUUCCCCCAUCGGCCGUAGACGAGAUAGGAUUCACACCGGAGUGCUCCUCCGCACCGUCGUUGGUGUCAACCAUACUCUUCGGACGUCAAAGUCCUUAAUAAAGAGACGAGGCUCUGAUACCAAUUGAAAGGAUCGAUAUGGUUGACUAGAGGGGGGGGGGUGAAUAGGCAACUAACAAUUUUUAAGCUUUUCUUUAACAAAUUAAACCUUGCGACAAAACAGGUUGUCUAGAUAUGCAACUAAGUGGACAACCUAUAUGAUGCAAAGACAACUAGCACACAAGCAAGCAAUAGAUACAACACAAGUAAGCUUGCAAAAGUAAAGGCACGAAAUAACCAAGAGUGGAGCCGGUGGAGACGAGGAUGUGUUACCGAAGUUCCUUCCUUUUAAGGGGAAGUACGUCUCCGUUAGAGCGGUGUGGAGGCACAAUGCUCCCAAGAAGCCACUAGGGCCACCGUAAUCUCCUCACGCCCUCACACAAUGCGAGAUGCCGUGAUUCCACUAUUGGUGCCCUUGAAGGCGGCGACCGAACCUUUACAAACAAGGUUGACGCAAUCUCCACAACACUUGGAGGCUCCCAACAACACCACGAAGCUUCACCACAAUGGAGUAUGGCUUCGAGGUGACCUCAACCAUCUAGGGUGCUCAAACACCCAAGAGUAACAAGAUCCGCUAGGGAUUAGUGGGGGGAAUCGAGUAUCUCUUGGUGGAAGUGUAGAUCGGGGCCUUGUCACCCAAUCCCGAGCAAAUCAACAAGUUUGAUUGGCUAGGGAGAGAGAUCGGCCAAAAAUGGAGCUUGGAGCAACAAUGGAGUUUAGGGUUAGAAGAGGUGAGUCUUCUUGGAGAAGAAGACCCCCUUUUAUAGUGGGGGACAAUUCCAACCGUUGCCCACCACUCAGCCCGCGGCCCACGGAACUACCGCUCCACAGGCGCGGUACUACCGCACUGGCGUGCGGUACUACCGCGGUGGACCGCGGUACUACCGCGAGCACGGCAGAGACCUGACCAGGCAAAAAGGAGCACCGACAGGGCGCGGUAGAUCCGUAGGAGCGGUACUACCGCGGCCCCAUGCGGUACUUCCGCAAGGCAGACACGGGCCAGGCCUGGUAGGCACAGAUGUAAAAAAUUACAUCCGUGACUACCUCCGCUAAGAAAAAUGUCGUGCAAAAAUCCAACACGAAAUUACCGCGAUCGAGGGUGCGGUACUACCGUGAAGGAUGCGGAUGUAAAAAAUUACAUCCGCCCCUACCUCUGCUCCUGCUCCGGAACCUGGCCUGGUGCCACGGUACUACCGCGCCACAGCACGAUACUACCGCGGGGAGCGCGGAUGUAAAAAAUUACAUCCGCGUCUACCACCACUUGAGAGCGGUGCUAGACCAGAGCUGGCGGUACUACCGCUCGGAACAGCGGUACUACCAUGGGAGCCUACGGUACUACCGUGCCGGAGCCCGGUACUACUGCUUGCUCCUGCUGUAGUACCGCUCACAAGAGCAGUACUACCGCUAGCCUGAGAAGAGCAAGACUGAGGCCUUCAUUUCGCAGAGACACGAUGAGACGGAGGAACACUCCGAGGAGCUCAAGGAAAGGCCGUGCAAAAGGGAAUGUGUACGUGAGAUUCCACCCAAACCUUUCCAAAGCGGACCCCCUCUUAAUAGUACGGCUUUCCUACGACUCAACUCUUCCGAACCAAACCGUAGAGAAAGGCCGUCUUCUAUAAUCUCCGAGGGGCAUCAAAUCGUCUUGUGUUUAGUCGUGAUAUAUCUGAAAAGCUCAAUACACACGAUUAGUCCGCAAAGGCAUUGUCAUCAAUCACCAAAACUACAUAGGGACAAGAAUGCCCUUACAGAGAGGCAAUGGAUGGCAGCAACGACGUCAUGUUCAUCAGAAGCCAACCGGCUGGGCCGAAAUGGAGAAACUGUGUCGUGUUCAUCGGGAGGCAACAUAAUGCGUCGUGUUUAUUGGGAGGCAAUGGAAUAUGUCGUGUUCAUUAGGAGCCAACCGGCUUAGAUGGAAUAGCCGAAACGAGGUCUGGCGUACCACAGAACGGAGGAAACGGGCCUUCUGUUCGACCACAUACGGUCGAAAUGGGUCCUGUUCAUCGGGAAGGGUCUAGCCUACCGCAAAACGGAGGAAACCGACUUGUAUUCGAGUGCCUACGGUCGAAACAGGGCCCUGUUGAUAGGGAGGGGUGUGGCGUACCGCAAAACGGAGGAAACGGAUUUGUGUUGGAGCGCUGACGGUCGAAACGAGGUCCUGUUCAUCCACCAUCUACUGCUGUGCCCCAGCCUCCACGAGCUACUGUUCAUCCACCAUCGACCUCCUCCAGCCUCCACCAGCUACUGUUCAUCCACCGGCUACUAUUUAUAGAGGCUCCAUAGGGUCCUGUUCAUCCACCCCAACCGGCUAGGGUGCGAUGGCCUCCUUGGGGUCCUGUUCAUCCCACGGCAACGGCCUACUACCACGGGGUCCUCUUCAUCAAACCCCCACCGGGAACCGUUCAUCCACAACCAACCAACCGGCCCUGGACGAAAAACCCAUUUUCAUGGACCUAUCAUCUCAUUUUCAUCCUGUGAAAUCUAUGAUCCUAUUCUCUAUAUAUGCAGCAUGGUCUAUUAUGUAGCAAUAGCACGGUCUAUUAUGCUCUGUUACCGGCAGUAAUGUCAGUUGUUCUCUAGUAUUUGUCAUUGUAGUGCUCUCCUUCCCGUUGUUCCAUAUUUUGCAGCUGCAUCUUUGAUGUGUAUAAGUUGUUGAUGUGUUGUCUUGGUAUAAGUAAACCUGACUACUUCUGUCCUUUGUCGUCAAAUGAAGUCAUGAUAUGUUGUUAGCAACCUAGGACAGGAGGUAUUUGUUCAAGUUUGCAGUUCCUAGAUCCAUUGCUGAUGAAUAUGGAGUCAUUAAUAUUUAUUCUAUUUUUCCAAGAAAUGCUUCACUUGUAAGUUAUAACACCAGUCAUGGACAACACACUUAACAAUUUUCGCUUGUCCCCUAUUACAUUUGACAGGGUCGAUUCGAAAUCCUGUGCCUCUCUGGAUCAUACCUGGUGAUAGAUGACGGCGUUUCACGCACACGGAAUGGAGGUCUAUGCAUAGAGCUGUGUGGCGCUGAUCACAGGGUGAUUGGAGGAAGCGUUGGUGGAGUCUUGACAGCAGCCGGGACAGUUCAGGAGAUCACUCGCUUCUUCUUUUUUUUCACUGAAACAUCAGCAUUUCAUUAAUUCAUCCUUGGUCUGUUGUGUUCCAGAAAUGAAUGAUGAGGUGAUUGUGCGUCAUGGUGCAGGUGAUUGUGGGGAGCUUCAUGUACGCGGGGUCGAAGAAGAGCACGAAGGGCAAGGCCGGGCAGGAGUCUGCUGUGGCAGAGGAAGAACAGACCGGCGAUGCCAACGGGGGCAGGGGCAGAGGUGGAGACGGAGUUGGAGUCAAGGCGGAGGAAGAGGGGCCUUCGCCGCUGAUGCCGAUGCCCCGCGGAGAGGAGGAGCUGCCGUCGGACGCGAUGAUGAGCGGGUGGACGGGUAUGAUGCGGUAGAUGGAGUCGCGGUCCUGCGGCGGCAUCGACAUCAACUCGAUCCGGGAGUGAAGGAUGUAGACUGUUUAAUUAGUUUGGUACGGCGGAAGUUGAGCCUAGGCUAGCUUAGCUAGUGGAUGAUGGAUGGAUGAUUCUAGGGUUUGGUUGGGCUGGUUGUGUUCCUCUCCUGCGUGGGUUUAAAAAGAAGUCUAGUUAGUAUAAUGAAUGUUGUCGUCGAGUAUGAUCAGUUUAACCGAUGAUGUUGGCGCCGGUCGGUCGGGCGAAUCUAUGAUGGAAAUAGUGGAUUCGGUUGUUGGUUGAUGGUGUGGUCUGGUAUGGUAUGGUAUGGUAUGAUGUAGUUAUAGGCAGCAGCAAUGAGCAACUUGUUUGUAGCUAGUCUCUUUCUUGGUUGCAGACAGACAGACAGACUUUGACAGUUUUAUUUUCCUUUCUCUUCUUGUGUUUGCAUCCCCUUUGCUUCUUUCUUUUCCUUCUUACUAGCAAAUAUGCUUGUGCGUUGCAAUGGGAAAACUAGCAAACAUGCUUGUGCGCAGGGGCCCUCCCCUGUGUGCGCCCGACCAUGGACAUAACCCCCCCUACUGCCGCGCCGUCGUUCUCCUGCUCUCAGUCCACCACGCAUCGCCCUGCCGCCGCAACCUCGCGCCGGCCUACGCCCGUCGCCGGCGCCCCCCCACACCGUUCGCCUGGGCCAGUGCCCAAUCUGGUUGGGGCUUCACCCGCAGCGCCCGAACCCACUUUGGCCAUGGGCCAAUGGCACAAGGGGCCCACGCCCCUGGAACAAUUUUAAAAAAAGAAGUUAAUAAAAUAAAUAAAUAAGUAAUUAUUAACUAAAUAAUUAGUUGAUUAAUUAAGUUAAUUAGUUCUGUUUAGCUAAGCUAAUUAAAAUUAGUUAACCUAAUCAAUGAAAUUAAGCUAAUUAACAUGUUUAAUCUAAGUCAAUGACAUAUGGGACCCACGCGUCAGCUUGACCCAGUCAGCACCUCUGUUGACUGGUGAUGUCAUGCUGACGUCAUGCUGAUGCAGUAAUACCAUUUUCGAAUUAAAUUAAUAAUAAUAAAUUAUAAAUUGAAUAAAGUCUCUGAAAAUUAAUAAUAAAUAAACCGUAGUUCGGAUGGAAAAACUUUGUACAUGAAAGUUGCUCAGAACGACGAGACGAACCCGGAAGCGCAGCCCAUUCGUCCACCACGCAUCCCCAACCUAUCGAACUCGCAACUUUCCUCCUCCGGCUCCUCUGCCCGAAAACACGAAACACCGGGGAUACUUUCGCGGAUGUUCCCCCCCCCCUUCACCGACAUCACCUCAUACUGCGUUAGGGCACGCCUAGCAUCACGCUUUUCUUUGUCAUGCAUCGUCAUGCAUAUGUUUGCAUUGUAUUCAUUGUUUCUUCCCCUUCUGCUUCCGCUAGACACCGAGACCGACGCUGCUGCUGCCCAGUUCGACUACGGAGUUGACGACCCCUCUCUCUUGGCAGAGCAACCAGGCAAGCCCCCCCUUUGAUCACCAGAUAUCGCCUAUUCUUCUCUAUACUGCUUGCAUUAGAGUAGUGUACCAUGUUACUGCUUUCCGUUAAUCCUAUUCUGCUGCAUAGCUUGUCCUUGCUACUACUGUUGUUACCUUUACCUGCAAUCCUACAUGCCUAGUAUAGGAUGCUAGUUUUCCAUUAGUGGCCCUACAUUCUUGUCCGUCUGCUGUGCUAUACUAUCGGGCCGUGAUCACUUGGGAGGUGAUCACGGGUAUAUACUAUAUACUUUAUACAUGAUACAUGUGGUGACUAAAGUCGGGUCGGCUUGUGGAGCACCCGCGAGUGAUUCACGGAUUGGGGGCUGAAAGGACCUUUGUCCCAACGGCCCUCUGUGUGGACCUUUGUGGCGGAGCGUCAGGGCAGGUUGAGACUACCUGGGUGAGAGGUGGGCCUGGCCCUGUUCGACGUUCACGGAUACUUAACACGCUUAACGAGAUCUUGGUAUUUGAUCUGAGUUGGGUCGUUGACCUUAUACGCACUAACCGCCACGUGGGACAAGUUAUGGGCAACCGACAUCGUGGUAUCAGCGAAGCAUUUCGUGACGUCAGCGACGGAGCGGCGCGCGCCGGAUUGGACUGGAACGCCUGCUAGUCUAGGUCUUCUUUCGGCUGCCCUCGCAACGUGCAGGUGUGCUAAGGGCGAUGGGCCCAGACCCCUGUGCGCUUAGGUUUAGACCGGCGUGCUGACCUCUCUCUUAUGCCUAGGUGGGGCUGCAACGUGUUGAUCUUCCGCGGCCGGGCAUGACCCAGGAAAGUGUGUCCGGCCAAAUGGGAUCGAGUGUGUCGGGUAAUGUGGUGCACCCCUGCUGGGAAGUUAAUCUAUUCGAAUAGCCGUGAUCUUCGGUAACAGGACGACUUGGAGUUGUACCUUGACCUUAUGACAACCAGAACCGGAUACUUAAUAAAACACACCCUUCCAAGUGCCAGAUACAACCCGGUGGUCGGUCUCUAAUAGGGCAUUGAGGAGGGGAUCGCCGGGUAGGAUUAUGCUAUGCGAUGCUACUUGGAGGACUUCAGUCUACUCUCUUCUACAUGUUGCAAGACGGAGGCUGCCAGAAGCGUAGUCUUCGACAGGAUUAGCUAUCCCCCUCUUAUUCUGGCAUUCUGCAGUUCAGUCCACUGAUAUGGCCCUUUACACAUAUAUCCAUGCAUAUGUAGUGUAGCUCCUUGCUUGCGAGUACUUUGGAUGAGUACUCACGGUUGCCUUGUUCCCCCUUUUCCCCCUAUCUCUAUCCGAUUGCUGCGACCAGACGAUGGAUCCCAGGAGCCAGACGCCACCUUCGACGACGACUCCUACUACGCUGGAGGUGCCUACUACUACGUGCAGCCCGCUGACGACGACCAGUAGUAGUUUAGGAGGAUCCGAGGUAGGAGGCCUGCGCCUCUUUCGAUCUGUAUCCCAGUUUGUGCUAGCCAUCUUAUGGCAACUUGUUUAACUUAUGUAUGUACUCAGAUAUUAUUUCUUCCGCUGACUUGUCUAUGAUCGAGCACUUGUAUUCGAGCCCUCGAGGCCCCUGGCUUGUAUUAUGAUGCUUGUAUGACUUAUUUAUGUUUUAGAGUUGUGUUGUGAUAUCUUCCCGUGAGUCCUUGAUCUUGAUCGUACACGUUUGCGUGCAUGAUUAGUAUACGAUUGAAUCGGGGGCGUCACACAAGGGUACCUGUCGAGAGCGGCGAGUUGUCGGGGGAGGUUUUUGGGUGCGGGCAGCGGCCUGGGCAAGCCCAACCGGCCGGAACUGGGCGACAACGGUGAAGGCAGGGUGCCCGGGUGUCUUAGUUUUGGACGGGAGAGGAGGGUAAUUGUCAAUGUGCCACCGAAUGACAGGCUAGGGGGAGGACAAGGACGGGCGUCGCGAGCGUCCACGUCAUGUCCGUGCUGAUGCAAACCCGACUCAAAUCUUGUCCUGAAAUGAGUCGCGAGCAGACAAAAAGCAGACACUCGCCCGUUUGCGUCGACACAUUGGGCCACAGUUUGUGUUCAUUUCGACCCAAACCGACGUGCACAGACAGAACGCGUCGGCGCAUUGGAGUUGGUGUUAGACACCACCCUCAUUGCAAGAAAUGUGCACACAGUGGCAAAGAAAAGGUGCUAGACCAGGGGCACCCCACGCUCAUAGGGGUGGGGAACGACCCAACAUGGUUGGACGGUGGAGUGGCAGGCAGAAGGGGGCGUCAAGAGUACUCCAGCAUCCUUUAUAAGAGUAAUUCGGUGAUGGUCGAUGUAUCAACAUGUAAUAUCCACAAAUUUCCAGCGGCUCGAAGCAGCCGCAAAAACAAUAUAUGUGUACAAAUUAAAUAUGUACCCCGUGAGCUAGCAGAAAGUACCCAACGAAUCUUGCAUCGUUCAUAGGGGUGAAGGUAUAUGCGUAUGUACUAUGUUCUGCUCGGUGACUCAUACGUCUCAAACUUACCUAUAAUUUUUGAUUGAUUCAUGCUAUUAUAAUACCAUCCAUAGCAAUUUAUAUAUUGUUUUUCUGAACUAAACUAUAAAUUCAAUGCCUAGAGCCAGUUACUGUUUUCUGCAUGUUUUUGAUUUCACAGAAAAUCAUUCGGCAUGCGUUAAGCCUGUCGAUUCACAAAACAAUAAAUAGAAGUUAAUCCUUCGCCAUGUGGGCCAACUUAUAAGGCGAGCCCACAUCCUGGGAAGGUGCUAAAGUUGUUCCAACCGAAGAUACCAAUGUUGUCCUCAUCAAAUUGGAAAAUAUGAAUUUUCUAGUUUGACCCAUUUGAACUCGUAAAAAAAUUGGUUAGAUUUCAUCUUGUUUUGUAUUGUUUGGCUUCGUUUCUUUCUGAGGCCCGUAAGCUACAUAUCUACCCAUCCAAACGUUGCUCAAUCGGCCCAAAAUAAAUUCCCCAAAAGCCCAAUCAACCCUUCAACAAAACACCCCACCUUUCCUCCUUUCUUCCGCCGCCGCUAGAGUUUCCUCUUCUAGUUAGGGUUUCCUCGAUCCCCAAUUUCCCCACCCCAACCCUAGCUCCGAUCCACCCGAUGGCGGCCGCAGAGGGCAAGAAGAACAUCAUCAAGCUCAAGAGUUCAGACGGUAAGGAGUUUGAGGUGGAGCAGGCGGUGGCCAUGGAGUCGCAAAUGAUCCGGCACAUGAUCGAGGACGACUAUACUGACAACGGCUUGUUGCUCCACAAUGUCAACUCAAAGAUCCUCUCCAAGGUCAUUGAGUACUACAACAAACACGUCCAAGCAAAGGGCCGCCGACACAUCUGAUUUUGGAGGAGGAGCUAGGCCGUUAGGUGCUACAUCGGCUGUGCCUGCGGCGCCCACAGAGGACCUCAAAAACUGGGACGCCAAUUUCGUCAAGGUCGACAUGGCCACCAUAUUCGACCUCGCACUAGUGUGAUUACUUUCCAUCCAUUGAUUUGUUCCUUGACAUUCUCUAGAUCUAUUUUUUUACUAUCCCCCAUUGAUGGAAUCAAGAUUGUUUUUGUUUAGUUUGGCUUGUUACUUGUGUGAGAUUGAGAUUUGGAUAGAUUGGAAUAUGUCCUCGUACCUUCAUCAAGGUAGAUUUGACUCGAUUGGAUUAGGUUAGGUUACACAAUGGAUUAGGUUUAGGUCACAAAGAGUUGUUAUUGGCGAUGUAGAAAGCAGCCGACCAUACAUACUAACCCUAAUAGCUAGGUUCGGGCAUUAUCUGGGGAGCUAUAUUAAUUUACAGUUCCAUGUUCAUCUGGUCUAAUAUGCUUCACUAUAUAUGAAUAACCUAGAAACAUUUUAAAUUAUUAGAUUCACUAUCAUUUUGUUUGUAAACUACAUAUAUGGGAUGAUGAUUGAGUGGUUUCUCUUUCAAUAACUUGCGGAAACAUCAGACCACACAGAGCAAUAUAUGGUCUGAUGUUUCUAUAUUUGUCACUGUUGUUUCUAGAUUUGAACCAUGCAUGAAUGUCCAUAUCUAGUGUGAAAUUAUGAUCUUGUAUGCUAGACUUUAGUAGAUCUGCUCUGAAUUUGUUUAGUUAUGUUAGUUUAUCAUAGAUAGGGUGGUAUGUCGCAUGUGUCAUCCUUAGUUAUAAUACAUAAAUCCAAUAUCAUACAUUACUACUUUGAUAUUUGUAAUUAUGCAUUGUAGAUCACACACUUCUUUCUAAUUUUGCUAUCUAUGUCUUUAUUAUCUUAUAGGUUUCACUACUGGUCCAUAUGUCAACAAUGAAUGCCUUUUUCUUCUAUCUAGCAUCGAGUUACUAUUUAUUUUGCUGUAUACAUAGUGAUAGCUAAAUCACAUGAUCAUGCUAAUGUUUCUAACUUUGUAUCAAAUAUUUAUGAUCUCAACUAAUCUUUUAGAUACCACUAUUGAUCCAUGUCAUCUACGAAUGCCUUCUUCUAUCUAGCAUUGGUUGAGUAUUGAUUGUGGUUCUAUUAACAUUACAUCCUUGUAGCUAGAUCACGAGAUGAUACAUUGUGCCUGUCCAUGUUAGAAGUGAUGAUGCUUUCCAUCGUUUGAAGUGAAACCACACAUGACUUCCCAUGGCCACUAUAAAAUCCUGAUCUUGUUUGCAAGAGUUUAGCACUAUUUACUUUUAGUUUCUUUUCUUAUAGUUAUCUUAUUUUAUCAUAGCUAGAUAAGAUUUGUAUCUCACAUGUGGCAUCUUCACUUGCAAUACAUAUUCCAGUUUCAUAUAUUACUGACCCCUAAACACAUGUUUUGUGUUGUGGUUUGAUUUUACUAUGAUAGAUAACUAUGUUUCUAACUUUAUUGUUAUCGCUGCCUUUAUCAUCUGAGCAAAUCUUGUAAAUGCCACUAUAUUGAUCCAUAUUGGCAAUGAAUGUGUUCAUCUGUGUAUCAUUGCUUGACUGAUGAUUGUGGUGUACUAGCCAUACAUGUUGAUAUCCAAAUUAUUGGAUGAUGAAUGCAAUUGCCAAUGCAUUUUGAGAAGUGGUGCUUGUCAUCUGAACCCAUGUAGCUUAUGCACUUACAAAAUUAUCAUUUAUCAUGAGGAAUGUAUGUAGCUGUGUCUGAUCUCACUCUAUUUUGUGAUAGUUAUGUUAACUUUUCUUGACUAUCGAUCCAUUUAUGUUAACCCAUGUUAUGGUCUUUGAAUGAAUAUCUUUUGAUUAUUGCACACCUUGUUUUGUGUUUUAGUUUGUCGCAAAAACCUCUAUGUAGGUGGUAUAUGUAAUUAUCCAUGUUUUUGUAAACCAAUGCUUCCCUCUGACACACCAUUAUUCCUUUUGCUCUUUUGCCCCCUCUCAGGCUGCGAACCACGUCAACAUCAGGGGGCUCCUAGACCUGACUUGCCAGACCGUCGCCGACAUGAUCACGGGAAAGACGCCAGAGGAGAUCCGCAAGAUCUUCAACAUCAAUGAGAAAUUAAGACCCGAGGAGGAGGAGAAGAUCCGCAGGGAAAACCACUAGGCCUUUGAGUAGAGGAACAUCUAGGCCGCGCUGAAGUAAUGAACACUUAGUAUUACCCAUGUCUACAUUUCAGUGUGCUUGUUUAUGUCAUAAUGGUUGUAAUGAACCAAGAGUCUAUAAGGUGGUGUUGGUGAACUUAUUCAGUGGUUAUGUUUGCAAAAAAAAUAUGGUGGUCAUUAAUUAUCAUUUGUCAAAUGAAUCGUUAUUGUCAAGUUGAUGUUUUGCUUGCUUAUCAUUAUUUUUUUCACUGAUUUCCACCAUGUGAUUUGGGCUUCUUCGUUGGUUAUUCAUGUGUGUUUUGUUCAUCGAUCAAGAUGCAUGGAUGCUCUUGUUACUUAAGAGACGGUCCUUGUUCUUCCCCUCUCUCUUUACAAUCCUAAUAAAAUAAAAAUAAAGGUUGUUGCUUAAAUUAUUUGAGGGAUCAAACUAAUUGCAGAAGACGUGAAAUUUUUAUGGUAACCACUUACGACCAUGGCAAGGCCACACUAAAACAUAUAGGGUUUUAGGAUUAUAUUUACAAUUUUUUACAAAAAAUCCAUUCAAAUGAAUAAACGAGUGAUGUUAUUCUCUACUGACUGCAGAACCACGCCGCACCAGAAUCAGUUAACCCUCGUACACCUCUCCGCCUGCGACUCCACUGCCGUGUCUUCCCAUCACCGGCUCGUUGCCGUCCGGGGCCUCGCCGUCGUCCACCGCCUUGGUGCGCUCGGCACGGCGUGAUCAACGUGGUCAACAAACGAGAGUCAUCGGAAGAGGAUUAUACGUGGAGAGGCUGACAGUGGGGACGCACCAGGUCCAUGGACGCACACUGCAACCGCCUCCUUGUUACGCGAAAAUAAAAAUUAUUCCUCCCCAUGAAAGCUGGGACCCACCACGUAUAUCUUCGCAAGGAAGGAAGUGCCUCCUUAUGCAUGCUCCUGACAGCUGGGACCCACCAACAACAUCUUUGCUCCAAAGGAAGUGACUCCUUAUUAUGGGCAAAAAAUAUAUGAUUCCGCCUCUGACCAUUGGGACCCACCAGCUAUAUAUUCACACACAAGGAAAUGCCUCCUUGCCCCCCGACAGCUGGAACCCACCUGGUCGAAGCAUACGUAGCGUUGUCUGUGUACAUACCGGUCGAUCGGUCUGUUUGCCACGAUGAACCAUGUCCGAGUAAGGAGCGGUAGCAGUUGAGGCAAUCCAGUCAAAACAGCGUACACGUACGUACAACCAGAUGCCAAAAAAUACAUCCACGUACGUACAUACGGGUGUGGUCUCGAACGCGUACUCGCGCAUACGUACGACCAGGGAUCGUGUACAUGGAGAGGCAAUGGAUGGCAGCAACGACGUCAUGUUCAUCAGAAGCCAACCGGCUGGGCCGAAACGGAGAAACUGUGUCGUGUUCAUCGGGAGGCAACAUAAUGCGUCGUGUUUAUUGGGAGGCAAUGGAAUAUGUCGUGUUCAUUAGGAGCCAACCGGCUUAGAUGUAAUAGCCGAAACGAGGUCCGGCGUACCACAGAACGGAGCAAACGGGCCUUCUGUUCGACCACGUACGGUUGAAAUGGGUCCUGUUCAUCGGGAAGGGUCUGGCCUACCGCAAAACAGAGGAAAAAGAAUUGUAUUCGAGUGCCUACGGUCGAAACGGGGUCCUGUUGAUAGGGAGGGGUGUGGCGUACCGUAAAACAGAGGAAACGGACUUGUGUUGGAGCGCUUACGGUCGAAACGAGGUCCUGUUCAUCCACCAUCUACUGCUGCGCCCCAGCCUCCACGAGCUACUAUUUAUCCACCAUCGACCUCCUCCAGCCUCCACCAGCUACUGUUCAUCCACCGGCUACUAUUCAUAGAGGCUCCAGAGGGUCCUGUUCAUCCACCCCCAACCGGCUAGGGUGCGAUGGCCUCCUUGGGGUCCUGUUCAUCCCGCGGCAACGGCCUACUACCACGGGGUCCUCUUCAUCAAACCCCCACCGGGAACUGUUCAUCCACAACCAACCAACCGGCUCGACUCACCACGUCUUGACUCGUUCUACGUACCAUGUGCACGGUAGCAACGAUCACUGAUCAUCGAGAGUCAACCCAACACUGGUUGGCUACGUCUCGCACGGGGGCUCGAUCGGCUUCAGUAAGCAGCAGAUGCGAUCAAUCGCUCGGGUUCAGUUAGGAGCAACAGCGAAGGAAUCGCUCGGGUUUAGUCAGCAGUGAAUGAAUCACUCGAGUUGAGUUAAUAGCCAAGGGAUCAAUCGCUCGGCUUCAGUAACGUAGCUAGCAGUGCGAUCGCUCAGUUUAGUUAGAGCCCAACGCCUCGCACACACGCAUGUACACGAGAGAAACGCACAAACCACAAUGCAUUGCCCAGCCCCGACCACCCACCGUAACCUGGAACUCCCCCAUAUUUUCCUCGCCCUCGCUUCUACCAUGAUUUUUCCCGUCAUGGACGGCCCAAAGAAUAUCAUGCAGCCGCGUCUCCGGCCUGCCCAGGACGAAAAACCCAUUUUCAUGGACCUAUCAUCUCAUUUUCGUCCUGUGAAAUCUCUGAUCCUAUUCUCUAUAUAUGCAGCAUGGUCUAUUAUGUAGCAAUAGCACGGUCUAUUAUGCUCUGUUACCGGCAGUAAUGUCAGUUGUUCUCUAGUAUUUGUCAUCGCAGUGCUCUCCUUCCUGUUGUUCCAUAUUUUGUAGCUGCAUCUUUGAUGUGUAUACGUUGUUGAUGUGUUGUCUUGGUAUAAGUAAACCUGACUACUUCUGUCCUUUGUCGUCAAAUGAAGUCAUGAUAUGUUGUUAGCAACCUAGGACAGGAGGUAUUUGUUCAAGUUUGCAGUUCCAAGAUCCAUUGCUGAUGAAUAUGGAGUCAUUAAUAUUUAUUCUAUUUUUCCAAGAAAUGCUUCACUUGUAAGUUAUAACACCAUCACAGACAACACACUUAACAAUUUUCGCGUGUCCCCUAUUACAUUUGACAGGGUCGAUUCGAAAUCCUAUGCCUCUGUGGAUCAUACCUGAUGAUAGAUGACGGCGUUUCACGCACACGGAAUGGAGGUCUAUGCAUAGUGCUGUGUGGCGCUGAUCGCAGGGUGAUUGGAGGAAGCGUUGGUGGAGUCCUGACAGCAGCCGGGACAGUUCAGGUGAUCACUCGCUUCUUUUUUUUUCACUGAAACAUCAGCAUUUCAUUAAUUCAUCCUUGGUCUGUUGUGUUCCAGAAAUGAAUGUGAGGUGAUUGUGCGUGUUGGUGCAGGUGAUUGUGGGGAGCUUCAUGUACGCGAGGUCGAAGAAGAGCAGGAAGGGCUAGGCCGGGAAGGAGUCUGCUGCGGUGGAGGAAGAACAGACCGGCGAUGCGAACGGGGGCAGGGGCAGGGGCGAAGAUGGAGUUGGAGGCGAGGCGGAGGAAGAGGGGCCUUCGCCGCUGAUGCCGAUGCCCCGCGGAGAGGAGGAGCUGCCGUCGGACGCGAUGAUGAGUGGGUGGACGGGCAUGAUGCGGCAGAUGGAGUCGCGGUCCUGCGGCAUCGACAUCAACUCGAUCCGAGAGUGAAAGAUGUAGACUGUUUAAUAAGUUUUGUUUUCCUCGCCCUCGCUUCUACCAUGAUUUUUCCCGUCAUGGACGGCCCAAAGAAUGUCAUGCAGCCGCGUCUCCGGCCUGCCCAGGACGAAAAACCCAUUUUCAUGGACCUAUCAUCUCAUUUUCGUCCUGUGAAAUCUCUGAUCAUAUUCUCUAUAUAUGCAACAUGGUCUAGCACGGUCUAUUAUGCUCUGUUACCGGCAGUAAUGUCAGUUGUUCUCUAGUAUUUGUCAUCGCAGUGCUCUCCUUCCUGUUGUUCCAUAUUUUGCAGCUGCAUCUUUGAUGUGUAUACGUUGUUGAUGUGUUGUCUUGGUAUAAGUAAAGCUGACUACUUCUGUCCUUUGUCGUCAAAUGAAGUCAUGAUAUGUUGUUAGCAACCUAGGACAGGAGGUAUUUGUUCAAGUUUGCAGUUCCAAGAUCCAUUGCUGAUGAAUAUGGAGUCAUUAAUAUUUAUUCUAUUUUUCCAAGAAAUGCUUUACUUGUAAGUUAUAACACCAGUCACAGACAACACACUUAACAAUUUUCGCGUGUCCCCUAUUACAUUUGACAGGGUCGAUUCAAAAUCCUAUGCCUCUGUGGAUCAUACCUGGUCAUAGAUGACGGCGUUUCACACACACGGAAUGGAGGUCUAUGCAUAGCGCUGUGUGGCGCUGAUCGCAGGGUGAUUGGAGGAAGCAUUUGUGGAGUCCUGACAGCAGCCGAGACAGUUCAAGUGAUCACUCGCUUCUUUUUUUUUCACUGAAACAUCAGCAUUUCAUUAAUUCAUCCUUGGUCUGUUGUGUUCCAAAAAUGAAUGAUGAGGUGAUUGUGGGGAGCUUCAUGUACGCGGGGUCGAAGAAGAGCAGGAAGGGCAAGGCCAGGCAGGAGUCUGCUGCGGCGGAGGAAGAACAGACCGGCGAUGCGAACGGGGGCAGGGGCAGGGGCGAAGAUGGAGUUGGAGGCGAGGCGGAGGAAGAGGGGCCUUCGCCGCUGAUGCCGAUGCCCCGCGGAGAGGAGGAGCUGCCGUCGGACGCGAUGAUGAGCGGGUGGACAGGCAUGAUGCGGCAGAUGGAGUCGCGGUCCCGCGGCAUCGGCAUCAACUCGAUCCGAGAGUGAAGGUUGUAGACUGUUUAAUUAGUUUGGUACGGCGGAAGUUGAGCCUAGGCUAGCUUAGCUAGUGGAUGAUGGAUGAUUCUAGGGUUUGGUUGGGUUGGUUGUGUUCCUCUCCUGCGUGGGUUUAAAAAGAAGUCUAGUUAGUAUAAUGAAUGUCAUCGUUGAGUAUGAUCAGUUUAACCGAUGAUGUUGGCGCCGGUCGGUCGGGCGGAUCUAUGAUGGAAAUAGUGGAUUCGGUUGUUGGUUGAUGGUCUGGUCUGGUAUGGUACGGUAUGGUAUGAUGUAGUUAUAGGCAGCAGCAAUGAGCAACUUGUUUGUAGCUAGUCUCUUUCUUGGUUGCAGACAGACAGACAGACAAACUUUGACAGUUUUGUUUUCCUUUCUCUUCUUGUGUGUUGCAUCCCCGUUGCUUCUUUCUUUUCCUUCUUACUAGCAAACAUGCUUGUGCGUUGCAACGGGAAAAUGCAGGGCGUGAAAUUAGGUUCAGAUACAUAAAUAUUCUAGUGGUGCGAUAUCAAUCAUGUCCAACAUGUACCUUCAUGAUCCUAGCUAGCUACUCCAUCCGUUCCGAUUUACUCGUCGUGGUUUUAGUUCAAAUUUGAACCAAAACCACGACGAGAAAGUAAAUCGGAACGGAGGCAGUAGAUAGCAUUGGCACCUUUUUUUACCGUUAAAUAAUUUUUUCUUUAUCCGCAAAAAAUAUUCUUUUUCUUUCUCCACCCAUUAUCUCAACCUCAAUUCAAACCCGCCAUCGAAUAAAUGGAAGCAAUAGUCUUCGGUCACCUUACCUGGCACCUGGUGUCUUUGCCUAUUGGUUCUGAAUAUGCAAGAAAGAUUUUCCAUACUGCAAGAAUUUGUCAUCAAGCUUGAUGCAUAAAGAAUUUGUCACCUAGAUUUAACAAAAUCUUUUGGUCUCUGAUGCCAUGAACCAGAGGAGAGAGCCUUGUGCAUGCUGGUGUCGGAAGCAAUGAGCGUCUUGCAGAACAUGCAGGGUGCUUUCACGUCAUCGCUAUCCUCUUUGUGGGGGCGGGGUGCUUCAAUAGUGUCAGUCCCAAAUUUCCUCGUUGUUCCCUUCUAGUCCUACACUCCUACUUCAAGCAUCCACCUUAUUGUAACCAUUAGCAGCACAUACUCCCUUUGUUCCGAUUUACUCGUCGUGGUUUUAGUUCAAAUUUGAACUAAAACGACGAUGAGUAAAUCGGAACGGAGGAAGUACGUUUGAUGAUUCAAGUGACAUUAACCGCAUCUGCCUUCCUGUAACCAUUACCAGCGCAUAUCUUUGAUGAUUCAACUGACAUUAACCAUGUCAAAUUCAGAUAGUGGGCCAAUCCCUCCCUCCCCGCCCCAACCACCAGCGACCCUUUUGUGUUUGGGCAAAUCACUGCCUCUUCUCUCCUAUCGGGUUUGGGAUUGUUUUCACAAGAGUAAUGCACUGAGGAUAAAUACCAUCAGGUAGGUAGUAUCCUUUGUUAUAGUGGUGACCAUUGAUCUUAAUAUUGAACUCUGGGCAGUUGCCUUCUGCAAGCCUUUCAAACAUCAGAGAACGCUGAAGCACGUUGAUGUCAUUGUGAGAGCCCGCCAUGCCAAAAAAAGAGUACCAAAUUCAAUGAUGUUGUGAAGCACGGCCUCAAGUAUGACAUUGCAAACUUUCACAUGACCUCUAGACUGCCCCUGCCAAGCAGAUGUGCAGUUCUUCCACUUGCAGUGCUUACAAUCUGUGUGCGACCAAGCAUCCUCGGAAAGCCCCCAUCUGCAUUGAUCGCCAACAACCUGGUGCAACAGUUGGCUCUCUCAAGUACUCCCGGCCAAACAUCACUAGCACAAUCUUGCAGAACCUGUACAUGGAUUCUAGGCAUGUGGCCUCACUCAUGCAGACAUACCCAUCAAUUAGAUCACAUGGUAUUUUGUAUGCAAGCACCGAAUAGCUGCAGUGCAUUUCUGCUAAGAGGAGAAGCCAACCUCUCCCAGGGGCGUCCUCCUUGCAUAUGAAAUAAUCAUCGUAUGCCACAACCCUUCGUGAAUAUGAGAACACAUGUCUAGCCAUCUGGAAGCGGCGCCGAAAUAGCUUGUGUUUGAAGAGUGGGGAAGAGGACUUGAAGUAGUCUUCCGCUCUCUCUAUUGUGAUUCAACGCCGGAGCAUGGCCCGAGAUUGAGCCCCUAAAUGUGGUCAUCGGCGACCAAAUUAGCAACCACAAACUCCUCAUCGUCCAACGAUGAAUCAUCCGAAUCGCAAAUGAAGUUGUCGAAAAAGUAUUCGUCUCCACUAUCCAUUUGUACCUUACGGGUGAAACGUCGAACACCUCACGGGCGUGGUUGAAGAAGCCGGCCGGCGAAGAGCCCCGCGCCUCUUCCAGACCAGGCAGUAGGCCUGUCGGCGUGGUGGCGGCCGUGGAGGAGAACGUCGAUUGAGGAAGCCGGGAUUGGAGCGUUGCCAANNNNNNNNNNNNNNNNNNNNNNNNNNNNNNNNNNNNNNNNNNNNNNNNNNNNNNNNNNNNNNNNNNNNNNNNNNNNNNNNNNNNNNNNNNNNNNNNNNNNNNNNNNNNNNNNNNNNNNNNNNNNNNNNNNNNNNNNNNNNNNNNNNNNNNNNNNNNNNNNNNNNNNNNNNNNNNNNNNNNNNNNNNNNNNNNNNNNNNNNNNNNNNNNNNNNNNNNNNNNNNNNNNNNNNNNNNNNNNNNNNNNNNNNNNNNNNNNNNNNNNNNNNNNNNNNNNNNNNNNNNNNNNNNNNNNNNNNNNNNNNNNNNNNNNNNNNNNNNNNNNNNNNNNNNNNNNNNNNNNNNNNNNNNNNNNNNNNNNNNNNNNNNNNNNNNNNNNNNNNNNNNNNNNNNNNNNNNNNNNNNNNNNNNNNNCCAACGGCACCAGAGGUGAGGGGGGUGGCAUGGUCGUGGGGGGUGGGGGUGGGGGUGCUACGACGGCGGUGAAACUAGGCUUGACUUGGCGGCAAGGGUACCUGUCGAGAGCGGCGUGUUGUCGGGGGAGGUUUUUGGGUGCGGGCGGCGGCCUGGGCAACUGGGCGACAAGAGUGAAGGCAGGGUGCCCGGGUGUCUUAGUUUUGGACGGGAGAGGAGGGUAAUUGCCAAUGUGCCACCGAAUGACAGGCUAGGGGGAGGACAAGGGCGGGCGUCGCGUGCGUCCACGUCAUGUCCGUGCUGAUGCAAACCCGACUCAAAUCUUGUCCUGAAAUGAGCCGCGAGCAGACAAAAAGCGGACACUCGCCCGUUUGCGUCGGCACAUUGGGCCGCAGUUUGUGUUCAUUUCGACCCAAACCGACGUGCAUGGAUAGAACGCGUCAGCGCAUUGGAGUUGGUCUUAGACACCACCCUCAUUGCAAGAAAUGUGCACGCAGUGGCAAAGAAAAGGUGCCAGACCAGGGGCACCCCACGCUCAUAGGGGUGGGGAACGACCCAACAUGGUUGGACGGUGGAGUGGCAGGCAGAAGGGGGCGUCAAGAGUACUCCAACAUCCUUUACAAGAGUAAUUCGGUGAUGGUCGAUGUAUCAACAUGUAAUAUCCACAAAUUUCCUGCGGCUCGAAGCAGCCGCAAAAACAAUAUAUGUGUACAAAUUAAAUAUGUACCCCGUGAGCUAGCAGAAAGUACCCAACGAAUCUUGCAUCGUUCAUAGGGGUGAAGGUAUACGUGUAUGUACUAUGUUCUGCUCGGUGACUCAUACAUCUCAAACUUACCUAUAAUUUUUGAUUGAUUCAUGCUAUUAUAAUACCAUCCAUAUCAAUUUAUAUUAUUAUUCUGAACUAAACUAUAAAUUCAAUGCCUAGAGCCAGUUACUGUUUUCUGCAUGUUUUUGAUUUGACAGAAAAUAAUUCGGCAUGCGUUAAGCCUGUCGAUUCGCAAAACAAUAAAUAGAAGUUAAACCUUCGCCAUGUGGGCCAACUUAUAAGGCGAGCCCACAUCCUGGGAAGGUGGUAAAGUUGUUCCAACCGAAGAUACCAAUGUUGUCCUCAUCAAAUUGGAAAAUAUGAAUUUUCUAGUUUGACCCCUUUGAACUCGUAAAAAAAUCGGUUUGAUUUCAUCUUGUUUUGUAUUAUUUGGCUUCAUUUCCUUCUAAGGCCCGUAAGCUACAUAUCUACCCAUCGAAACAUUGCUCAAUCGGCCCAAAAUAAAUUCCCCGAAAGCCCAAUCAACCCUGCAACAAAACACCCCACCUUUCCUCCUUUCUUUCGCCGCCGCUAGAGUUUCCUCUUCUAGUUAGGGUUUCCUCGAUCCCCAAUUUCCCCACCCCAGCCCUAGCUCCGAUCCACCCGAUGGCGGCCGCAGAGGGCAAGAAGAAGAUCAUCAAGCUCAAGAGUUCAGACGGUAAGGAGUUUGAGGUGGAGCAGGCGGUGGCCAUGGAGUCGCAAAUGAUCCAGCACAUGAUCGAGGACGACUAUACUGACAACGGCUUGUUGCUCCGCAAUGUCAACUCAAAGAUCCUCUCCAAGGUCAUUGAGUACUGCAACAAACAGGUCCAAGCAAAGGCCGUUGAGACAUCUGAUUUUGGUGGAGGAGCUAGGCCGUUAGGUGCUACAUCGGCUGUGCCUGCGGCGCCUGCAGAGGACCUCAAAAACUGGGACGCCAAUUUCGUCAAGGUCGACACGGCCACCAUAUUUGACCUCGCACUGGUGUGAUUACUUUCCAUCCUUUGAUUUGUUCCUUGACAUUCUCUAGAUCUAUCUUUUUACUAUCCCCCAUUGAUGGAAUCAAGAUUGUUUUUGUUUAGUGUGGCUUGUUACUUGUGUCUGAUUGAGAUUUGGAUAGAUUGGAAUAUUUCCUCGUACCUUCAUCAAGGUAGAUUUCACUCGAUUGUAUUAGGUUAGGUUACACAAUGGAUUAGGUUUAGGUCACAAAGAGUUGUUAUUGGCGAUGUAGAAAGCGGCCGACCAUACAUACUAACCCUAAUAGCUAGGUUCGGGCAUUAUCUAGGGAGCUAUAUUAAUUUACAGUUCCAUGUUCAUCUGGUCUAAUAUGCUUCACUAUAUAUGAAUAACCUAGAAACAUUUUAAAUUAUUAGAUUCACUAUCAUUUUGUUUGUAAAUUACAUAUACGGAUGAUGAUUGAGUGGUUUCUCUUUCAAUAACUUGCGGAAACAUCAGACCACACAGAGCAAUAUAUGGUCUGAUGUUUCUAUAUUUGUCACUGUUGUUUCUAGAUUUGAACCAUGCAUGAAUGUCCAUAUCUAGUGUGAAAUUAUGAUCUUGUAUGCUAGAUACCACUAUUGAUCUUUUAGAUACCACUAUUGAUCCAUGUCAUCUACGAAUGCCUUCUUCUAUCUAGCAUUGGUUGAGUAUUGAUUGUGGUUCUAUUAACAUUACAUCCUUGUAGCUAAAUCACGAGAUGAUACAUUGUGCCUGUCCAUGUUAGAAGUGAUGAUGCUUUCCAUCAUUUGAAAUGAAACCACGCAUGACUUCCCAUGGCCACUAUAAAAUCCUGAUCUUGUUUGCAAGAGUUUAGCACUAUUUACUUUUAGUUUCUUUUCUUAUAGUUAUCUUAUUUUAUCACAGAUAAGAUUUGUAUCUCACAUGUGGCAUCUUCACUUGCAAUACAUAUUCCAGUUUCAUAUAUUACUGACCCCUAAACACAUUUUUUGUGUUGUGGUUUGAUUUUACUAUGAUAGAUAACUAUGUUUCUAACUUUGUUGUUAUCGCCGCCUUUAUCAGCUGAGCAAAUCUUUUAAAUGCCACUAUAUUGAUCCAUAUUGGCUAUGAAUGUGUUCAUCUGUGUAUCAUUGCUUGACUGAUGAUUGUGGUGUACUAGCCAUACAUAUUGAUAUCCAAAUUAUUGGAUGAUGAAUGCAAUUGCCAAUGCAUUUUGAGAAGUGGUGCUUGUCAUCUGAACCCAUGUAGCUUAUGCACUUACAAAAUUAUCAUUUAUCAUGUAGGAAUGUAUGUAGCUGUGUCUGAUCUCACUCUAUUUUGUGACAGUUAUGUUAACUUUUCUUGACUAUUGAUCCAUUUAUGUUAACCCAUGUUAUGGUCUUUGAAUGAAUAUCUUUUGAUUAUUGCACACCUUGUUUUGUGUUUUAGUUUGUCGCAAAAACCUCUAUGUAGGUGGUAUAUGUAAUUAUCCAUGUUUUUGUAAACCAAUGCUUCACUCUGACACACCAUUAUUCCUUUUGCUCUUUUGCCCCCUCUCAGGCUGCGAACCACCUCAACAUCAGGGGGCUCCUAGACCUGACUUGCCAGACCGUCACCAACAUGAUCACGGGAAAGACGCCAGAGGAGAUCCGCAAGAUCUUCAACAUCAAUGAGAAAUUAAGACCCGAGGAGGAGGAGAAGAUCUGCAGGGAAAACCAGUGGGCCUUUGAGUAGAGGAACAUCUAGGCCGCGCUGAAGUAAUGAACACUUAGUAUUACCCAUGUCUACAUUUCAGUGUGCUUUUUUAUGUCAUAAUGGUUGUAAUGAACCAAGAGUCUAUAAGGUGGUGUUGGUGAACUUAUUCAGUGGUUAUGUUUGCAAAAAAAAUAUGGUGGUCAUUAAUUAUCAUUUGUCAAAUGAAUCGUUAUUGUCAAGUUGAUGUUUUGCUUGCUUAUCAUUAUUUUUUCACUGAUUUCCACCAUGUGAUUUGGGCUUCUUCGUUGGUUAUUCAUGUGUGUUUUGUUCAUCGAUCAAGAUGCAUGGAUGCUCUUGUUACUUAAGACACGGUCCUUGUUCUUCCCCUUUCUCUUUACAAUCCUAAUAAAAUAAAAAUAAAAGUUGUUGCUUAAAUUAUUUGAGGGAUCAAACUAAUUUCAGAAGACCUGAAAUUUUUAUGGUAACCACUUAUGACCAUGGCAAGGCCACACUAAAACAUAUAGGGUUUUAGGAUUAUAUUUACAAUUUUUUACAAAAAAUCCAUUUAAAUGAAUAAACGAGUGAUGUUAUUCUCUACUGACUGCAGAACCACGCCGCACCAGAAUCAGUUAACCCUCGUACACCUCUCCGUCUGUGACUCCACUGCCGUGUCUUCCCAAUACCAACUCGUUGCCGUCCCGGGCCUCGCCGUCGUCCACCACCUUGGUGCGCUCGGCACGGCGUGGUCAACGUGGUCAACAAACAAGAGUCAUCGGAAGAGGAUUAUACGUGGAGAGGCUGACAGUGGGGACGCACCAGGUCCAUGGACGCACACUGCAACCGCCUCCUUGUUACGCGGAAAUAAAAAUUAUUCCUCCCCAUGAAAGCUGGGACCCACCACGUAUAUCUUCGCAAGGAAGGAAGUGCCUCCUUAUGCCUGCUCCUGACAGCUGGGACCCACCAACAACAUCUUUGCUCCCAACGAAGUGACUCCUUAUUAUGGGCAAAAAAUAUAUGAUUCCGUCUCAGACCACUGGGACGCACCAGCUAUAUAUUCCGCCUCCUUGCCCCCCGACAGCUGGAACCCACCUGGUCGAAGCAUAUGUAGCGUUGUCUAUGUACAUACCGGUCGAUCGGUCUGUUUGCCACGAUGAACCAUGUCCGAGUAAGGAGCGGUAGCAGUUGAGGCAGUCCAGUCAAAACAGCGUACACGUACGUACAGCCAGAUGCCAAAAAAUACAUCCACGUACGUACAUACGGGUGGGGUCUCGAACACGUACUCGCGCAUACGUACGGCGAGGGCUCGUGUACAUGGAGAGNNNNNNNNNNNNNNNNNNNNNNNNNNNNNNNNNNNNNNNNNNNNNNNNNNNNNNNNNNNNNNNNNNNNNNNNNNNNNNNNNNNNNNNNNNNNNNNNNNNNNNNNNNNNNNNNNNNNNNNNNNNNNNNNNNNNNNNNNNNNNNNNNNNNNNNNNNNNNNNNNNNNNNNNNNNNNNNNNNNNNNNNNNNNNNNNNNNNNNNNNNNNNNNNNNNNNNNNNNNNNNNNNNNNNNGCAACUAACAUUUUUUAAGCUUUUCUUUAACAAAUUAAACCUUGCGAUAAAAUAGGUUGUCUAGAUAUGCAACUAAGUGGACAACCUAUAUGAUGCAAAGACAACCAGCACACAAGCAAACAAUAGAUACAACACAAGUAAGCUUGCAAAAGUAAAGGCACGAAAUAACCAAGAGUGGAGCCGGUGGAGACAAGGAUGUGUUACCGAAGUUCCUUCCUUUUAAGGGGAAGUACGUCUCCGUUAGAGCGGUGUGGAGGCACAAUGCUCCCCAAGAAGCCACUAGGGACACCGUAAUCUCCUCACGCCCUCACACAAUGCGAGAUGCCGUGAUUCCACUAUUGGUGCCCUUGAAGGCGGCGACUGAACCUUUACAAACAAGGUUGGGGCAAUCUCCACAACACUUGGAGGCUCCCAACAACACCAAGAAGCUUCACCACAAUGGAGUAUGGCUUCGAGGUGACCUCAACCGUCUAGGGUGCUCAAACACCCAAGAGUAACAAGAUCCGCUAGGGAUUAGUGGGGGGAAUCGAAUAUCUCUUGGUGGAAGUGUAGAUCGGGGCCUUGUCAACCUAUCCCGAGCAAAUCAACAAGUUUGAUUGGCUAGGGAGAGAGAUCGGCCAAAAAUGGAGCUUGGAGCAACAAUGGAGUUUAGGGUUAGAAGAGGUGAGUCUUCUUGGAGAAGAAGACCCCCUUUUAUAGUGGGGGACAAUUCCAACCGUUGCCCACCACUCAGCCCGCGGCCCAUGGAACUAGCGCUCCACAGGCGCGGUACUACCGCACUAGCGUGCGGUACUACCGCGGUGGACCGCGGUACUACCGCGAGCAAGGCAGAGACCUGACCAGGCAAAAAGGAGCACCGACAGGGCGCGGUAGAUCCGCAGGAGCGGUACUACCGCAGCCCCAUGCGGUACUUCCACAAGGCAGACACGGGCCAGGCCUGGUAGGCACAGAUGUAAAAAAUUACAUCCGUGACUACCUCCGCUGAGAAAAAUGUCGUGCAAAAAUCCGACACGGAAUUACCGCGACCGAGGGUGCGGUACUACCAUGAAGGAUGCGGAUGUAAAAAAUUACAUCUGCCCCUACCUCCGCUCCUGCUCCGGAACCUGGCCUGGUGCCACAGUACUACCGCGCCACAGCACGGUACUACCGCGGGGAGCGCGGAUGUAAAAAAUUACAUCCGCGUCUACCACCACUUGAGAGCGGUGCUAGACCAGAGCUCGCGGUACUACCGCUCGGAAGAGCGGUACUACCGUGGGAGCCUACGGUACUACCGUGCCGGAGCCCGGUACUACCGCUUGCUCCUGCGGUAGUAUCGCUCACAAGAGCAGUACUACCGCUAGCCUGAGAAGAGCAAGACUGAGGCCUUCAUUUCGCAGAGACACGAUGAGACGGAGGAACACUCCGAGGAGCUCAAGGAAAGGCGGUGCAAAAGGGAAUGUGUACGUGAGAUUCCACCCAAACCUUUCCAAAGCGGACCCCCUCUUAAUAGUACGGCUUUCCUACGACUCAACUUCACCGAACCAAACCGUAGAAAAAGGCCGUCUUCUAUAAUCUCCGAGGGGCAUCAAAUCGUCUUGUGUUUAGUCGUGAUAUAUCUGAAAUGCUCAAUACACACGAUUAGUCCUCAAAGGCAUUGUCAUCAAUCACCAAAACUACAUAGGGACAAGAAUGCCCUUACAGAGAGGCAAUGGAUGGCAGCAACGCCGUCAUGUUCAUUAGAAGCCAACCGGCUGGGCCGAAACGGAGAAACUGUGUCGUGUUCAUCGGGAGGAAACAUAAUGCGUCGUGUUUAUUGGGAGGCAAUGGAAUAUGUCGUGUUCAUUAGGAGCCAACCGGCUUAGAUGAAAUAGCCGAAACGAGGUCUGGCGUACCACAGAACGGAGGAAAUGGGCCUUCUGUUCGACCACAUAUGGUCGAAAUGGCUCCUGUUCAUCGAGAAGGGUCUGGCCUACCGCAAAACGGAGGAAACAGACUUGUAUUCGAGUGCCAACGGUCGAAACGGGGCCCUGUUGAUAGGGAGGGGUGUGGCGUACCGCAAAACGGAGGAAACGGACUUGUGUUGGAGCGCUGACGGUCGAAACGAGGUCCUGUUCAUCCACCAUCUACUGCUGUGCCCCAGCCUCCACGAGCUACUGUUCAUCCACCGUCGACCUCCUCCAGCCUCCACCAGCUACUGUUCAUCCACCGGCUACUAUUCGUAGAGGCUCCAGAGGGUCCUGUUCAUCCACCCCCAACCGGCUAGGGUGCGAUGGCCUCCUUGGGCUCCUGUUCAUCCCGCGGCAACGACCUACUACCAUGGGGUCCUGUUCAUCAAACCCCCACCGGGAACUGUUCAUCCACAACCAACCAACCGGCUCGACUCACCACGUCUUGACUCGUUCUACGUACCAUGUGCACGGUAGCAACGGUCACUGUUCAUCGAGAGUCAACCCAGCACUGGCUGGCUACGUCUCGCACGGGGGCUCGAUCGGCUUCAGUAAGCAGCAGAUGCGACCAAUCGCUCGGGUUCAGUUAGCAGCAACAACGAAGGAAUUGCUCGGGUUUAGUCAGCAGUGAAUGAAUCACUGGAGUUCAAUUAAUAGCCAAGGGAUCAAUCGCUCGGCUUCAGUAACGUAGCUAGCAGUGCGAUUGCUCGGUUUAGUUAGAGCCCAACGCCUCGCACACACUCAUGUACACGAGAGAAACACACAAACCACAAUGCAUUGCCCAGCCCCGACCUCCCACCGUAACCUGGAACUCCCUGAUAUUUUCCUCGCCCUCGCUUCUACCAUGAUUUUUCCCGUCAUGGACGGCCCAAAGAAUGUCAUGCAGCCGCGUCUCCGGCCUGCCCAGGACGGAAAACCCAUUUUCAUGGACCUAUCAUCCCAUUUUCAUCCUGUGAAAUCUAUGAUCCUAUUCUCUAUAUAUGCAGCAUGGUCUAUUAUGUAGCAAUAGCACGGUCUAUUAUGCUCUGUUACCGGCAGUAAUGUCAGUUGUUCUCUAGUAUUUGUCAUCAUAGUGCUCUCCUUCCCGUUGUUCCAUAUUUUGCAGCUGCAUCUUUGAUGUGUAUACGUUGUUGAUGUGUUGUCUUGGUAUAAGUAAACCUGACUACUUCUGUCCUUUGUCGUCAAAUGAAGUCAUGAUAUGUUGUUAGCAACCUAGGACAGGAGGUAUUUGUUCAAGUUUGCAGUUCCUAGAUCCAUUGCUGAUGAAUAUGGAGUCAUUAAUAUUUAUCCUAUUUUUCCAAGAAAUGCUUCACUUGUAAGUUAUAACACCAGUCACGGACAACACACUUAACAAUUUUCGCGUGUCCCCUAUUACAUUUGACAGGGUCGAUUCGAAAUCCUGUGCCUCUCUGGAUCAUACCUGGUUAUAGAUGACGGUGUUUCACGCACACGGAAUGGAGGUCUAUGCAUAGAGCUGUGUGGCGCUGAUCACAGGGUGAUUGGAGGAAGCGUUGGUGGAGUCCUGACAGCAGCCGGGACAGUUCAGGUGAUCACUCGCUUCUUUUUUUUCACUGAAACAUCAGCAUUUCAUUAAUUCAUCCUUGGUCUGUUGUGUUCCAGAAAUGAAUGAUGAGGUGAUUGUGCGUCUUGGUGCAGGUGAUUGUGGGGAGCUUCAUGUACGCGGGGUCGAAGAAGAGCAGGAAGGGCAAGGCCGGGGAGGAGUCUGCUGUGGCGGAGGAAGAACAGACCGGCGAUGCCAACGGGGGCAGGGGCAGGGGUGGAGACGGAGUUGGAGUCGAGGCGGAGGAAGAGGGCCUUCGCCGCUGAUGCCGAUGCCCCACGGAGAGGAGGAGCUGCCGUUGGACGCGAUGAUGAGCAGGUGGACGGGCAUGAUGCGGCAGAUGGAGUCGCGGUCCUGCGGCAUCGACAUCAACUCGAUCCGGGAGUGAAGGAUGUAGACUGUUUAAUUAGUUUGGUACGGCGGAAGUUGAGCCUAGGCUAGCUUAGCUAGUGGAUGAUGGAUGAUUCUAGGGUUUGGUUGGGUUGGUUGUGUUCCUCUCCUGCGUGGGUUUAAAAAGAAGUCUAGUUAGUAUAAUGAAUGUCGUCGUCGAGUAUGAUCAGUUUAACCGAUGAUGUUGGCGCCGGUCGGUCGGGCGGAUCUAUGAUGGAAAUAGUGGAUUCGGUUGUUGGUGGAUGGUCUGGUCUGGUAUGGUAUGGUAUGGUAUCAUGUAGUUAUAGGCAGCAGCAAUGAGCAACUUGU
rnacentral:lncRNA from 1 species